AACAGACUGAAUUCAUUAAGACAGAAGAGUACAUAACUCAGAGGUGAAUCCUACACAGCCACUUCUACAGAACCCCAAAGAUGUAAAAGGUCAGGAACAGACACCCAAGCACAAAUGCAGAGGUUGAAAGCUCUGAGGAACUGGGUAGCACCAAAUAAAUGCCAGAAGUAAAUGCUAUCACCAUUCCUAGGAUGGAAACGUAUGUGAGUAUGGCUGAAAAUUUUAUGAAACGUAGAAGCAGAUGAUAGUUUCGUUCCAGUGAAGCAAAAAAGUGGAGAAACACUGCUGCAGUUGAGCAAUAGAAAGCUAUACCAUCUGACAACAAGAAGGCCUUGAAGGCUAUCUUUGUUGAGAGAACUGCUUUACCUUUGUCGGGGCCUUCAUCAUUGUACCCACCAGGUAGAGUAAAGCCUGCUGCAAAAGUGACAGUUGCUAUGAGCGUCGCGACCAAUAAAUGGGUGUUGGAAAUGUCCUUGAGACGAUGAGAUCGAAGUUGCUUUUCUUUCAUGAUUUCUCUGUUCCUAUCAAGAAGUAUACUCAUAUUGCUAGCAGUACGAGACGCGCCAUCACUGCUCUGAGUACUGGUCUCGCUAGCACUACGAUAUAUGCCAUCACUGCUCUUUUGAUGUCCAUUGUUAUCAGUCCACAUAUUUGCAUUUUCCUGGUAUCCUUCAUUGUCACCAUUUUGCAUAUAUGCAUUUUCUCUAAUGACCAACCGGUGUAAACUUUGUCGACCACCAGCAUGCUCCAACUUCCUCAUGAUCCAAUACUGGCAGUCAUUUGAAAGGAAUUAGAAUGAACUUUUAAAGCAAAGCUAUGGGAAAAUUUUUGAAUCAAGCAUUGAAUCCAGUGGCUAGCUCUUAAAGAGUACAUCAAACACAUUGAAUAAUAUUAGCCAUCCAUUUCAGAUACUUUUUUUUUUUUCUCUUUUUUAAGUAAUCGCUUAACAGAUUGAAUGGCUAUAAUCAUUCAACAUGAUCUUUCUUUAUCAAAUAUCUUCAGAGAGAUAUGAGAAGCCUCACCAUGUCUAAUUAAAAUUUGUCUCAAUCUUUACAGUAACGUACCUUGAUUAUUUCUCCAAUAUCCAUAUUUGACUGAACAAUGUCAAUAGUCUUCAAAUACUCAUUGUUCAUUGCCCUUUUGUCCACUCUAUCGUCUGCAGCCAACAUAUUCACAACCCCGUAAUGUCCAUAAAUGGCAGCUAGAUGAAGUGGUGUGUUACCUUCCUUAUCUGGCUCAUUUAUGAUACUUUCCAAGUUUGGCUUCUUCAGGAUAUAUUUAACAACGCUAGCCUUUCCAUAUUGAGCUGCAAUAUGAAGAAUUGUGCGGCCUUUGUUGUCAAUCAAAUCAUAAACAUCUGGAAGACAUGUGAUAAUCUUUUCCAUUACAUUAGUGUGGCCCUCUUUGGCUGCAAUGUGGAGAGCACAACUGUGUUCUCCAUCCAAUAUGCCAGCAACAGUUUUGUCUUUCGUCAGUAACUUCUCAGUUGCUUCGAGGUGACCCAAGUGGGCAGCAUAAUGAAGAGGGGUCCACCCAAAUUCAUCUGGCUUUUUUAUCACAUCCUUCUUCUCUUCAAAUAGUACUUCCAUAAUAUCUAGACAUUGGGAGAAGAAGGUUAGAAAUCUUAAAAAGAAGUGGAAGAAUCUACUUAAAUAGCAUUUCAUACUUCACCAAAAUUCUGUCGAGAAAUGGAAGGCGACCAAAACACCAUUUCCCCCAUAUUUUAAGCAUAAAAAUGUCCUCAAUAAUGAUCCCCUUCAUUUCCAAAAAAAAAAGGGAAAAUCCUCAUACAUCUUGAUAAAUAAACACAUGGCUUAAUCAGUUGUAUGGUUUGAAAGUCUUUUCUUUUUACUUAUAUAGGAAUGGGUGUUCAAAUUGGGUGAGAAUGGAGAGAACUCUCCGCUCAUAAGCUUUUUGCAGUAAAAAGGAAAAGGGAAAAAAUCCAACUUCUUAGGCUAUGUUUGGUUCCCGGAAAAUGCAAGAGAAAGAAAAUUGGAAGGAAAAAUGGAAGGAAAGAAAAAACUAAGAAAAGUAAUAUAAUUUUUUUUUUCACUUGUUUGGUUAUCCAUGAAAAAUUUAAGGGAAGAAAAAAAAAAAGAAUUCAUUUUUUUUUUGUUUGGUUAAUCACGAAAAAAAAAGUUAAGGAAAAAUGGAAGGAAAACAAAAUCAACAAUUUGUCUUAUAUGGUUAUCAAUUUGUUGAAUAAUAAAAUAAAUUUUAUGCUCUUAUUUUCUAAAAUUAUGUUACUAUACUAAUGCUUCGAUAAUCUAUAUGAUAUAUCUAGAUUGAAGUAGCAUGACCUAGUACAAAAUUUACAUUUAUUAUUGUUAAAUUAUAGCCAUGGAGAAUUGAAGUAAUGUUAAAACAACAUCAACAAAGAAACAGAAAAUGCAAACCACAUGAAAAAUAAAAUAAAAAAACAGAGAAAAUCUCUACUAGCAUAUAAGAGUUUGACAUAACGACUUGAAGUGACUUAAUGAUUUAAUUUAUUUAUUUUUAUUUAAUCUAAAUUUUUUUCAGUUGAUUGUUUUAAAAAAUAAUUAUAUAAAUAUAAAAAAUAAUUAAAAAUAAAAUAUUAAAUAUAAAAUUUAUUUUUAAAACAUCAAAUAUAGAUUAAAAUAAUUCCAUACCCAUUUUUGUUUUCCAAAAACAUUAAAAAAUUGUUUUUAAAAAUUGUUUUAAAAAGGGUUGGCAAACACACCCUUAUUGAAAAAAAUAUACAGUAAAAAUAAAAAAAUUAUAUAUAUAUAUAUAUAUAUAUAUAUAAAAAGAAAAAAAAGAGAGAGAAGGGCCAAUAGAGUGGGUUUACAGGGGGGGCAUGUGCUCUUCCAUUCAAACUUGCUUUCAACUAUUUUACAGUUCGACUGUCUUAAAAUCGAAUGGAAAAUGAAAGCGUUUCAUUCAAAACGCUCGUUGAUCUCCGAGAUUUCGCCUCGGCUUUCGUUUUAUAAUGCCGCUCAUCAGAGAAGUUUCGGAAGUUUUGCUUAAAACCCUACGAAAUUUCCUGAGCCCUUAUACUGAAGAACCAAGUAUCUCUUCUUUGAAAUAUUUGUAUUGAUGCUUUGUUUGUCUCGUGAGAAAAAGUUAGGGUAAAGAAUGGGAGUGAGGAGAUUUAGAGAAGGAGAGGGGAAAAAAAUGUAAAAAAAAGAGGAUUUUUCCUCUCAUUUUCAGGUAGCCAAAUGAUGGUGAUGAACUUAAAUGGAUUGGGGGUUUGGUAAAUUAGGCCUACACUAUAGUUUUUUGUUGAGAAAAGUAGGGGAAAAAUAAUGGGAGAUGAGAAAAUUUGGAAAAGAAAAUAACCAUCUAUUUUGAAGAAUUUAUUUCAUCCAUGGGAACUUGAUUUGAAGAACGCUAGAGUUGUUGAAAUCUUUGUCAACCACCGCAAAGCCUGGCGUAGGGAGGAGAAGCGUGUGGUGGACUAGAUCCACGCCGCCGCAGAGGAGAUCGCCUGCCUGAGGGCCAAGGUGGGGGAGCUAGAGCAGUUCGAGGUGGAGCUGAAGGCCAUGGUGGAGGAGCUAACCAGGGAGGUGGGGGAGAGGGAGGAGAUGCUCGGUGAGGACGAUACACAAGCCCGAUAAAAUUUCCUCCAACUUUUCCCUUCUCUUUUUCUCUUUAUUUUCCUCAUUAUUUUUCAAGGAAACUAGUUGGGAAAAUAUCAUGAUAUUUUCUUUAAUAUUUUCCUUUAUAUUUUUUUUCCAUCACAUUUUCCAUGUCAUCCAAACUAAAGAAAAUAAUUUUUCACAUGAUUUUUUUCCUUUCCUUAGCAUUUUUCGGGAGCCAAAUAUAGCUUUAGUAAACAAGAAUGAAAAGGGCAUAGGAUCUUCUUACUUGAGCUUAAUUAACUUUAAAAAGGGGACAAAAGGAAUUGAAGUCUUAUUAAAGCAGAGGAAUUUACCAAUUUUAUCAUUUUUUCCUUUGAAGUAUCCUCGUACCCGAAAGAAAAAGUUCGUAACCACACGGCCAUGUUUUCCCCGAAAGAAAAAGUUUGUAACCACACGGCCAUGUUUUCCCCGAAAGAAAAAGUUUGUAACCACACGGCCAUGUUUUCCCCGAAAGAAAAAGUUUGUAUCCACACGGAGAUGUUUUCCUUUGAAGUAUCCUCCUACCCGAAAGAAAAAGUUUGUAACCACACGGCGAAGAUUUUCUAGAGAUAAUUCGGGAACUUCUUGGCCUGCAGCAUGAUAUAACAAACUAAAAUCAGUGGUAUCCCCAUAAAAAUAACAAAGAAGGCCAAAAAAAAAAAGGUUUGCCUUUUAGUUUGUUCAUCUUGCAUAAGGGAUUGAAAAAAGGAAAAGGAAAAAAAGAAAUAUUUGUUGAAAUAAUUUUCAAAACUUCAUUCCAAAAAAGGAAAUAAUGAAAGUUGAUAUUUUUCAUCUUCUUAAUUUCUUUUCUUCAACUUCUUCCUCAUUUUUCUCUCCAGGCAUGGUGGUAAGACUUGGGUCUUAGAAAGUCAACACCCAAAUGCCUGAAGACUUGGGUCCCUUUUUUUUCUUUUUCUUUUUUGUCACAAGAAUUAUCACUGGUUGCAUGCCCAAAUUAACUUGAAAAAGUAAAACAAAUCAACAUUAGAAAUGAAGAUUUCAGAUAUAUUCCUACUAACCAACAUUGGAUUGUGUUCCUGGAAACCAUUCUCCUCCUAGAUGCAGUCCAAGUCCAUUUACAGACAGCUCGGGUAUGGAUUUACCCAGCUCAGGACCUACAAGUUAGGGAGAAUCGAAGAAAUCUUAUAAGUAUACAAAAGCAAGAAUGAACAUAAACUUUUAUGCAUAGAAAGAUUUUGACCUUUAUGGGUACGAAUCACAGCUGCAUGUAAAGCGGUCAUCCCUUUCGUGCCCUCACAGGAACAUUCAGAACUGUUUCCUUUCAACAGUUCGUUAGCAAUCUUGAAAAACCCCCUUUCCACAGCCAAAUACAAGGGGGACUCUUUAUGAUUAUUAACCAAAUCCAACAACUUAGGAUUUUCUUGAACCAACCGGUUCACCACCUCAAGAUGACCAUUCCUCACAGCCACAUGCAGUGCCGUAUCAGCCCUCUCAUUCUUCAUUUCCAGUGCUUGCUUGGCAUUUUUACUUUCAAGAAAGCACUUAACCAUGUUACUACAGCCAGUUCUCGAGGCGAUAUGCAGCGGAGUGUCGCCUUUGAAGUCAGCUCUAGUCAGAAGCUCUGGAAACUUCUCAACAAGAGCUUCAGCAAAGCCUAUGCACUUGAAAUUGGCAGCAAUGUGAAGAGCAUUGCGUUUCUGGGAUGUGGCUUGGCAAGGAAUACUCUGGAGGCUAUGUGGCUUCUGCAAGUAGUCCUUAUCCCCAGUUUUAGCAGCUAUGUAAAGAUCAGUAUCCAUGUCUUGACAAGGGAAAUCAGAAUCCAUGGGGAUGCUUGCUAGGAAUCUCCUUCUUUGCAGUCUACGUAUAUAUUACUAAAAGAAUAGACCAGUCCACAUCAAAUGGGGUACAGAGCUUGGUCAACAAUAAUUGCACCUCUCACCUACUGCAUUAACAGAGCUCAUAUCAUCACAAAAACUUUUUAGUACAUAUAAAUAAUUUUGUUUCAUAAAGUAUCAUUAUUAUUACUUCAAUAUAUAUUAGUUUUAUGAAGGGUUUAUGAUUGUAGACGAGUCAAAAUUCAUCCAUUUUGGUUUUGUUUAUCACCUAGUGUGGGCAUUUUGGCUCUUUUACGGUGUGUCCAUCGAUGCAAAUGCUUACACAAAGCUUCAAUGAAUUUUGUGGCACCCACCAAAGCUCCCAAUUCAGAAAUGUUGUUUUUAAAAUAAUAACAGAAUUGAGUAAUUUUCUUGCUUUCUUAUCUCCAAUGUUUUUGCUAAAUACUUUCACUUUUGGAGCUUGGUUUUAUUUCUGAUUUCGUAAGUCCUAAGAUAUCUACUACCAUGUACCUUGAAAGGUUGGUGUUGAAUCUAUUGAUUAAUUGUAUAUGUUAGGACAAUGAGUCUUCAUCAUAAGUUAGCAAUUUUGUUCCUUUUAAUUUUUGGCUUAGGAAUCUUUUUAAAUAGUGACUUACUUUCUAUUAAAGAUUCAAGGUUGUUGUUCGAUCAACUGAAAAGUCAUAUGUAAAUCUAAAAAGGUUUGAUUUGUGGCAAGUUAGGUGUUUAAAAGGUUUAAGUGGAUUGGUAUAUUUUUUAUUGGAUUAAAAAUGUUUUAUUUAAUAUUUUGAAAAUGCAAGGGAUGCUCGAGUGGUGGAAAUAGUGCUUAAGCGUUGGGACCACUCAAAACACUUAUCCAACACUUAAGUGAUCAAGGCACUCAAGUGGUAGGUAAGUGCGCUCAAGUGCUCGUCCCAAAUCUGUGAAAAUAUGGUAGAAUAUUUUUGGAUAAUUCAUGCAAAUUGAGUUUGGAAACUUCACUAUACCAAUCCCCUAAGGCUUGGAGGCCUAUAUAAACCCAUUAUAACCCUUUUAGUAUGAAGUGUAUUAAAACCAAAUGGAAGAAUAAAUAAUCAAAUGGAAGAAUAAGACAAUUAAGGAGAAAGAUUACAUGAAGAUAGGACCUUAUGCUUCAACAAUAAGUAGCCUUAUGUAUGUGAUGUUGUGUCCUAGAUUAGAUGUUUGUUUUACUGUAGGAAUGAUGAGUAGAUAAUAGUCCAAUCCAAGUAUAGAGCAUUGGACAACGGUCAAGUAUAUACUCAAGUAUCUUUAGAGAACAAGAGAUUAUAUGCUAGUGUAUCAUUGUGAUGAGUUGUUACUCGUUGGGUACAUGGAUUUAGACUUUCAAUCUGAUAGAAAUUCUCACAAGUCUACCUUUAGGUUUGUGUUCACUCUAGUGGUAGGGUUGUUAGUUGGACAAGUUUGAAGCAAUCCUAUAUUGUUGACUCUACCUUGAAAAUAUAGUAUGUUGUUGCUUUUGAACCUGUAAAGGAAACCGUUUAGCUUCGAAAGUUCCUGAUUGGACUUGGGGUAGUACUUUUGGUUAUGUCACCCUUGAUACUAUUUUGCCAUAACAAAGAGACGGUAGCACAAUCUAAAGAACCAUGAAUCCAUUGGAAAUGUAAACAAAUAGAGAGAAAGUAUCGCUUGAUACAUAAGAUAAUAAUGAGAUGAGAUAUGGUUAUGGAGAAGAUUGCUUCAAUGGAGCACCUAGCAGAACCCUUCAUGCAUGAAGACUUUGUCUACUAGAGUCUUUGAUGAUCAUAGGGAUAACUUGAGUCUCAAAUGUGUUCCAAGCAUGCCUUAGGGCAAGUGGGAAUUUGUUGGGACUUAGCCCUAAAAGGUAUGACAUGACGUAAUAGAUUAAAAUUUAUUUAUAAUUUUAUUUAUCUAUAUUUCUUGGUUUUCCAUUUAUUAUCUCAUAUGUGUUAAUAGGUUAUUUGAGCAUAAAUGUUCAUAUCUCUUACAUUGUAUAUGACUUGGAUGCAUUAAGAAUUGCACAAAGGAUACAAGUCAUAGGUUCGUUGUAAGUAGAUAAGUUGUCUAUAGUCAAUUCAAAGAUUUGGGAAAUCUAGUAGAAAUUAUAGUGUAGUGCCUCAUAAUUUGAGGGAUGACUUAUCUUGGUCAUCAAGAUAUCUUUUCCAUGGUGAGUGCACUAGUGUAUAUGGUUACACAUUGGAUAGUACCCAUGGUGAAUCAUGACACAAGGCUAUCAAUUAUCAUGAUUCACUAAGCUACUAUACUGCAUGGACUCUAAACCUUGAGAAGAUAUUGAACAUGUGCCCAAUUUAAUGAGAGUCUUUAACCUAUAGGUGAGAUCCUAAGGUGGUCAUAUAUCCUUAUGGAUUUGGUCACUACUAAUAAAUGUCGUUGGCAAUAGGUAUUUUCAAAAUAGGCACCCUGAUAUAUCAUAAGUUUGAGACUAUGUGUCCUCUUGGGUGAUUUAAAGGACAUGUGAUUUAGAAGACUAUGGUCAUAGCAUUUCCUUUAGUAAAAAUUUGACAUAUGCUCUUUGUAAGUAGAGUAUGUCAAUUGGUCACAUAAUAAGUGAGGUAUAUAAUUCAAGGAUUAGAGAAGUAAUCUUGAUAGGUAAUAGUAUUACCUUGUUAGAUUAUGAUACAAAUUCAUAAGAGGUCUGUAUGUAGUGGAUAGUAGGUCACAGACACAAGUUUUGUCUCAUUAUUAUUUACAUAAGGUAUUGGAGUACAAUUGAUUCUCUAUAGUGGGAUGUUGAAUUAAUUUCCAAAUUGGAUUAUGAGAAAGUGAAUACUCUUAUGGGUUCAAUGGUCCCAAUUCAAGCUUAUAUACCUUGAUGGCAUAGUUUACAAGGGUAGGAUUGACACUAGGUUCACUUUUAUGCAAAAGAGUGUUUUGGUAAUUACGUGAGGUUGUAUAAAGGAUAGUGAACAAGGUCUUUGGAUUGAUUUAAUUGAAUAAUUCGAUGGUUCUAUGAGGUUAAUUAAUCAAUUAUGACUCAUUUUGGCUAGAUUAAGUGAUCCAAGAUCAAUUAGGAAAUCUUAUAAAUUCCCCUUUAAAGAUUAAGGUUCCCAUGACUUUUGAGAAGAGAGUCAUCUUUCACCUCCAAAGAGUUUAGAGCCAUAGCUUCCUCUCUUCAAAAGAUCCACUCUUUGAAGUGCCAAGAUUGAAAUGUAGUCAUUAGGCAAAUGAUCUUGGGUUUAUAAGACCUCUUGAGACUUUAGGCUUCAUCUUCACCGUGUGGAUUAGAUUUGGGAACGUCUAAAUUGGAGGUAAAGUUUUCUAAAGCUUUUAAUCUAGAUUCUUUAUUGUUAAAAAAAAAUAUUAUUUUUGCUUCCAUUGCUUAGAAUCUAAAAGCCUAGGGCAGAUUGCAUGUAUCUAUAUAAUUCAGGGCUUAGGAACAAAGUAAUUCAGGGUUCCCAUCAUAUGGUGGGAAAGGUGUAUCAUUCUUCUUUGGUUUAUGAUAAGAUAUGUUAUCGUCAUUGGAAAAUAUGGUACCACUUUUUUAUUAAAAAAAUGAAAAAAUAAAAAAAGGUAAAGCUAAAGUGUUUUGAAAGUACCACUAUGCUAAAAGAAUGGUACACUUUUAAUACACUUUAGUGGUACCUUUUUUUUAAUAAAAGAAUGGUACUCUCUUUUUCAAAGGUUGUGUUGAUUGAUGUUAUCAUGUAAUAUCACCCACUAGAUUCAAAUUAUUUCAUCAUUAGAUAAGAACUCAUGCACAUAAUGAGUGGUAACAGACCUUAUCCUAAACAAAAGAAGAAUGGUACAUUUUUUCUAUCAUAGUGGUACUUUCAACUGAGUUCAAUGGUACUUUUCUUAUAAAAUAAUGAUACCUUCUUUUCCAAGGGUUGUGUUGAUAGGUGUUAUUACACAAUAACAUCUACUUAAUUCACGUUAUUUCAUCAUUAGAUAAGACAUCAAGUACAUAAUGAGUGUUAACAUACCUUCUAUAAACCAAAGAAAAGUGGUACAUCCUUUCCACCAUAGUGGUACUUAAUUUUAACGUACUUUAGUGGUACUUUUUUCAUAAAAGAGUAGUAAUCUCUUUUUCAAGAGUUGUGUCGAUCAAUGUUAUUGUACAAUAAUACACCUAAUUCACAUUAUUUCAUCAUAACAUGUAACGAAGAAUAACAUGUCUUAUCAUAAACUAAAAAAGAGUGACACAUAUUUUCCAUCAUAAUAGUACUUUUAAUAUACUUGAGUGGUACAUAUUUCAUAAAAGAGUGCUACCUUUUGAGUCAACAAGGUGCACAACUUAAGUUGUGCAUUACUUUGAGGUGCACUAAUUUAGUGAUCGAAGAGGAUGCACUAUUUUUUAUUGGCACUCUUAAAAGGUGUCCAACUUCAAUAUGCAAAAGUUUUUAUUUUUAAUAAAAUUAAUAUAAAUGAUUAAAUGUAAUUUAUAUAUAUAUAUAUAUAUAUAUAUAUAUUAUUUUAUAUAAAUAAAAAUAUUAAACAUUUUAACCAAGAAAAAAAAAUUAAAACUAUGGUGAAAUUAGAACCAUAAACAAAAAGCUAAAACCAUAAUCAUUGAUUCUAAUUUUCAUAUGAAAAUUUAAAAAUUUUUAAAAAUAUAACAAUAAAAUAAUAUCGCAGGAUAUUUUUAUUUAAUUUAUAUAUGAUUAGAUUUAUAAAACAAAUAAUAUUUUUUUUAGUAUGGAUAUAUAAAAUCUUAUAUCCUAAACCUCUAAAUUUUUUAUUAUAUAUUUAUUUUUAUAUUAAAUUUGUUCUCAUUAAUUAUUUAUUAUACAUUAUUAUUAUUUAUUUAAAAUAUCCAUAAAUAAUUGAAAUCAAUAACUAUAAAAAGAUGAAAUGGUGACAAAUUUUGAAAUUAAAAAGAUUUCAUGAAGCCAAUACAUUAAAAAAAAAAAAAACAUUGUAGAGUGAAAAAAAAAAAUUUCAUAUGGUAUGGUUGAUUGUCACACGAUAAAGUUUUUAAAAAAUAAAAAUUGUUAUAGUUCAUGGUAGGUAGGAGGAGAAAAGGGUAAUUUUAGAAUUUUGAUGAAUAUAACUAUUUAAGUGUAUAUUUAUAGGAUUAGUUUUUGUAAGUGAGAAGUCAAGUCAAACCUCUAAAAAAAAAAUCUUUUUUUUUUUAAGGUGCACAUGAUUAUAUGAUUCUUCCUAUCUCAAGGCUGGGGCCCAUGCUGAAAUAAUAUGUCAAUAACCCUCCAUAAAGUAGAGUUGUAAAGGCUACUUCCCUUCUGUCUCUGAUAUUUCAGUCUAGUGUGGCUGCUUUUAACGCUUCAUCUACCUCAUCUUCUUUUACGUUGAGCGUGGAAUCCACCAUCAUCUCUAGCCUCAGCAUAUGAUUUGAACUUAGGAGUACCCACACUGACUUUUCAAGUUUUGUCCAGUUGAGGAAACGUUGAAAAUUAUUUAGCAGAAGACUGAUAAUGCAACCUUCUUCAUAAGAUGGGUGAUUUUUGAACACUACUGUACUCUAACCAAAUACCAUUUGUGCUUAUAUACGUACGUAAACGUUAUAACAAGACCAAUCAAGCAAAAUUAUCAUUUUGGUGGAUAAGGGUGUUUUGAGCAGCAUUAGUACAAAAGAAUCAAUUCUCUUCCCCAAGAACAGACGAAGCUCAGUUGUCCAAAAGUGGGGUAGAGGAAGACUGGAAGAGCAGUCCUUGUUAAAAGCCGAUAGCCUUUUCUCUCAUUCCAAAGCAUAUGAUGGACCCUCUAUGUCCCCUCAUAGGUUAUUAAAAACGUACCAAAUGGGAGGGCCAUCUUGUUGGAGCACCGCAUAUUUGACAAAAUAUCUGAAGACCUUCACUGAAUAAUCCAAUUCUGGAUUUGGCUGCCUCCUUAUCAGUCUUUCUUUAUAGCCCCAAUUAUUUCUACCUUUUGGGACGGUGGUAGUGAGCAGAUAAUAUGGCUAUCGAGAUGGGAUUCACACUUCUUGUGGAGUGGUAGUUGUUGAACGUCUGGGUAAAAGGAGCCAUCUCCACUGUGAUACAGUGGAUGGAAUAUCUUUUCCCCUUUAUUACGCAAAUACUUGUUUAAUAAGUUCUUAUUCUCCUGCGAGUAACUUGCGAUUGAUUGUUUGAAUAGGUAGGGAAUUUGUUUAAAUUAGUUCCCCAUCCAUGCCCAUUAGAGGUUCUGAAAUUCAUUUGUAACAUUUAUGAUUUUUUGGAAAAUAAAAGACCUACUCCAAUAAUACCAAUAUGAAUGGUACCACCAAACUUUCGUACGUAUCUAUAAAGAAGGAGAAGGUGCCCAAACAAUGUAUCCAGAAAAAAACAUUCAAGAAAAUAAUCCCAACUACUAGAUUUCAACAAGUAGGAUUUUGAGCAUAAAAGAAAUAAAAUAAAAUAAAAAUAAUGACGGCUUCGAAUGACAUCACUGACCCAACGCAGGCAGAGGAGUUAGGAGUUGCGUGGAAAUUGUGAAAGGCGUAGAUCACGCCACGUGGAAGCAGUGGAGACAUGGCCAGUAGGAUAAUUAAUAUCCAUGUGGAUAACAGAGUGGAUCAAAACAAUGCCAUUCCCAUCAUGAAUGAACACUCAUUAACUUCUGCGUUUACUUGACUUUUGAGAGAUUUGCAAAACAUGUAGAGAGAGAUAUCACUGGAAGAGUUUUCUUCUCAUUAAUCAUGUUAUGACUUUUAGUAAUAAAAUAAGUAUGCAGCUGUUUAGAAAGAAAGAUCAGCAUGGGUAGUUGCAACGCGCAACAAAAAGUCCCAUCAGACUUCUCAUCCCUGGGAAUCUUACACUCGCUAGGUAGACUAAUCAAACCAGGACCCAACUGGUACAAACUACUGUUUCAACCACUCAAUAUUUAAGGAAUCGCUUCCUAGUCACUAAGAACAUAAACUAAUCAAACCCAACCUGGCACAGGCUACCUUAUCGACUAGUCAGUACUCAAGGGAUCAUUUCCUAGUCACCAAGAUCGUUAAUUUAGAAAAUCUUACACUGAAAAAUGACCUAUUCAUCUGCAUGAGCAUAUGCUUUUCACAUCCCACUGAAUAUAAUCUUAACAUCUGUUUCAUUAGUAUGAUUUUCUCUUAAGCUAUUGACUUCAAUAUUUACUAGGAAACGAUAUCAAAGGGAAAAAGAUUACCAAUUCAGAAAAAUGUAAAGCAAGGUACAAAAUACUAGAUGGAGAUAUCUCAAAGAAAGAAAUUCUUUUCCUAUAGCUAAACUAAUGCACACGAUCAAAUCUAACACUGACAUUUGUUCUUGGAGCCAGACAGAAAGCCAAGUACAGAUACAGAGUGUUUUCAAGAUGAGAUUAUUUGGUGUUUUUAACUAUUUAAGUUGAAUGAUGAAAACACAUGACUUCAACAAUGACAAACCAAAUUGGUUAGUAUCCUGCUUAAUAACCGUAGUUUGCUCCAUUCACCGGGCCAUAGCCUCCAGUGUGGCUUGCAUGUGCUGGGUUGGAUGCAGGAGAUGCAUACAUCGAACCAUGAGCUGCAUAAGAAUUAUAGCCUGGGUCAGCAGAUCCACCAGUUUGGGCCUGUGCUGGUGCAGCAGCUUCAGCCAUAAAAUUCUGCAACACAAACAAUCAUUACAAGCAGACAAGUCCAAUUUGAUUACAUAAUGAAGCAUUGACAAAGAAUAAACAAAAUUUUAAUGGAAAAAUCGACUUUUUUGGUUGAGUAAGAUCCCAAUAAAACAAUAAUUAAACAAUUCUAUAUUAUAAGUAAAAAUCAAUGAUGAAGCUAAAUGGAAAAGAAUGAAGUCCAACUGUCUGAAUUGCUGACCACACUUAACAUUUCAAUAAUAUAUAUCCUAUAAAAAAAAUUCUUUAAUUCUUUAAUUCUAGUAAUAAAGUCGGUCCCACCAUACCUACCCCCACACGCACCCAAACACCACAUACAAGGAGACAUCAGAAACAAUGAUCUAAUGCUAAGCAAUGUCAUUAUGCAAAUGGAAACUGCAAUAUUAGCAAAGACAAACCAACAACUUGGUAUCAAAAACAGGGAGGAAAAGUGCCUGUAUCAGUUGCUGAGCUGCUUGGACUUGGGAAGCAGUUCCAUUGAUUCACGUGGCUACAAAAGACUCUUUAGGAGAAAGUUGAGGAGUUCACAUGUGUAUAGGAAGAUGUUGGGCUUUGUGGAGCCUAGUUUUGUUUGAUCCGGUUUGACGACCCGACCCGAAUAAUAUUGCAUGACCUUUUUAAUGGGAGAUUUAUUGAGGCCUGUUGGGCCCGUUUAGCCCAUUGUGGAACCACCUUUUGUAAUUAGGGUUUUUUAGUAUGGUAGGGUUGCCGUGCUAUAUAUAUAUAGAGAAUAUUGUAGCCGCCAAGUUGUACUCUGUAUUCUUCCCUGAUAAUAGUGAUAUCCCUGCAACUCCGUGGAUGUAGGCAAAUUGCCGAACCACGUAAAUACUGUCUUGUGCGUGUGAUUGUUUUUCUUUGACGUGUGUUUUUCCUCUAAUUUUUUGUUUCUCACGGGUUGGGAAUUCGGUUUAAUUCCCUACAACUGGUAUCAGAGCCUAGGGUUAGGUUUGAGUGGGAGCAAUGGCAGAGAAAGCAGGAAAGGCGUCUGGAAUAGAAAAGUUUGAUGGCACAGACUUUGCGUAUUGGAGGAUGCAGAUUGAAGAUUAUCUCUAUGGGAGGAAAUUACAUCUGCCUCUUUUGGGGACAAAACCUGAGAGUAUGAAGGCUGAGGAAUGGGCGCUUCUUGACAGACAGGUNNNNNNNNNNNNNNNNNNNNNNNNNNNNNNNNNNNNNNNNNNNNNNNNNNNNNNNNNNNNNNNNNNNNNNNNNNNNNNNNNNNNNNNNNNNNNNNNNNNNNNNNNNNNNNNNNNNNNNNNNNNNNNNNNNNNNNNNNNNNNNNNNNNNNNNNNNNNNNNNNNNNNNNNNNNNNNNNNNNNNNNNNNNNNNNNNNNNNNNNNNNNNNNNNNNNNNNNNNNNNNNNNNNNNNNNNNNNNNNNNNNNNNNNNNNNNNNNNNNNNNNNNNNNNNNNNNNNNNNNNNNNNNNNNNNNNNNNNNNNNNNNNNNNNNNNNNNNNNNNNNNNNNNNNNNNNNNNNNNNNNNNNNNNNNNNNNNNNNNNNNNNNNNNNNNNNNNNNNNNNNNNNNNNNNNNNNNNNNNNNNNNNNNNNNNNNNNNNNNNNNNNNNNNNNNNNNNNNNNNNNNNNNNNNNNNNNNNNNNNNNNNNNNNNNNNNNNNNNNNNNNNNNNNNNNNNNNNNNNNNNNNNNNNNNNNNNNNNNNNNNNNNNNNNNNNNNNNNNNNNNNNNNNNNNNNNNNNNNNNNNNNNNNNNNNNNNNNNNNNNNNNNNNNNNNNNNNNNNNNNNNNNNNNNNNNNNNNNNNNNNNNNNNNNNNNNNNNNNNNNNNNNNNNNNNNNNNNNNNNNNNNNNNNNNNNNNNNNNNNNNNNNNNNNNNNNNNNNNNNNNNNNNNNNNNNNNNNNNNNNNNNNNNNNNNNNNNNNNNNNNNNNNNNNNNNNNNNNNNNNNNNNNNNNNNNNNNNNNNNNNNNNNNNNNNNNNNNNNNNNNNNNNNNNNNNNNNNNNNNNNNNNNNNNNNNNNNNNNNNNNNNNNNNNNNNNNNNNNNNNNNNNNNNNNNNNNNNNNNNNNNNNNNNNNNNNNNNNNNNNNNNNNNNNNNNNNNNNNNNNNNNNNNNNNNNNCAUCUCAUAACUUUUUUCCCCUCAUGACCUAGAAUAUUUAUAGAGAUAUUUCCAACAACCUUCCUUAUUUUAUAAGGAAGUCUAAUAUUAUAAUAAUAUAUCAACCUAAAAAUAUUCUAUAUAAUAUUCUUUACAAAAAGGAAUCUAUACUAAUUAGGAAUUUGGGACACUUCCUAACAAUCUCCACCUUUGACCAAAUUACAUGAAGUUAAUCUUCAAUCUCUCCAUGACACAAACCUUUUUGUAUCAUAUCACCACGAAAGAGCAAUCGACUCCACCUUCAAUGAAAAUUCCUUUUGUUUUCAUCUUGUGUACUUUGUGAUCUUUUACUCUUCCAGAAAUCUUCAACCCAAGCUCUGAUACCAAUUGUUGUGUCAAAAGGAAAACUACCAGAAUUGAAGUCCAUUGAUUUUGACAUGUGUGAAAGUUGCAUCUUAGGAAAGCAAAAAAAGGUGAGCUUCUUGAAAAUCGGCAGGACACCGAAGGCUGAAAAAUUGGAACUAGUACACACUGAUUUGUGGGGGCCUUCUCCGGUUGCAUCCCUAGGAGGUUCAAGGUACUACAUCACCUUUAUUGAUGACUCAAACAAUCACACACACAGUACACGAGAUUUUAAUGUGGUUCGGCCAACCAUGCCUACGUCCACGGAUGAGAGAGAAUAAUUCCACUAUACAAUAAAGAAUAUUAUAGAGGAUAGAACCAGAUACAACUAUUGGGUUCCCCAAACAUCCCAUGUUUCCCCACUCCUUGUAUCCAUACCUUACUACGAGUCCUCUCGCUCCACCAGGUACCUCCCGUUCUUCCUCACAUCUCUAUCCACCUCGUAUAGUCUCUAUAGGCCCAUCUCCAUCUCAUAACUUUUUUCCCCUCAUGACCUAGAAUAUUUAUAGAGAUAUUUCCAACAACCUUCCUUAUUUUAUAAGGAAGUCUAAUAUUAUAAUAAUAUAUCAACCUAAAAAUAUUCUAUAUAAUAUUCUUUACAAAAAGGAAUCUAUACUAAUUAGGAAUUUGGGACACUUCCUAACAAUCUCCACCUUUGACCAAAUUACAUGAAGUUAAUCUUCAAUCUCUCCAUGACACAAACCUUUUUGUAUCAUAUCACCACGAAAGAGCAAUCGACUCCACCUUCAAUGAAAAUUCCUUUUGUUUUCAUCUUGUGUACUUUGUGAUCUUUUACUCUUCCAGAAAUCUUCAACCCAAGCUCUGAUACCAAUUGUUGUGUCAAAAGGAAAACUACCAGAAUUGAAGUCCAUUGAUUUUGACAUGUGUGAAAGUUGCAUCUUAGGAAAGCAAAAAAAAGGUGAGCUUCUUGAAAAUUGGCAGGACACCGAAGGUUGAAAAAUUGGAACUAGUACACACUGAUUUGUGGGGGCCUUCUCCGGUUGCAUCCCUAGGAGGUUCAAGGUACUACAUCACCUUUAUUGAUGACUCAAGUAGAAAGGUAUGGGUUUAUUUUCUGAAAAAUAAAUCUGAUGUAUUUGUAACUUUUAAGAAGUGGAAGGCCAUGGUUGAGACAGAAACAGGUUUGAAAGUAAAAUGUUUGAGGUCAGAUAAUGGAGGAGAGUACAUAGAAGGAGGAUUCAGUGAGUAUUGUGCUGCACAGGGAAUUAGGAUGGAGAAGACCAUUCCUGGGACACCACAGCAGAAUGGUGUGGCUGAGCGCAUGAACAGAACUCUCAAUGAGCGUGCUAGAAGUAUGAGGUUGCAUGCUGGACUACCAAAAGCUUUUUGGGCUGAUGCUGUUAGCACUGUUGCUUACCUGAUAAACCGAGGACCAUCAGUUUCCAUGGAGUUCAGACUUCUUGAGGAGGUUUGGAGCGGUAAAGAGGUGAAGUUUUCACAUUUAAAAGUUUUUGGUUGUGUUUCUUAUGUUCAUAUUGAUUCUGAUGCUCGUAGUAAACUUGAUGCAAAGUCAAAAAUAUGUUUUUUCAUCGGCUAUGGUGAUGAGAAAUUUGGCUAUAGGUUUUGGGAUGAACAAAACAGGAAAAUUAUCAGAAGUAGAAAUGUGAUAUUUAAUGAACAGGUUAUGUACAAGGACAGGUUAACUGUAACGUCAAAUGUUACAGAGAUAGAUCAAAAGAAAUCUGAGUUUGUCAACUUAGAUGAAUUGACUGAAAGUAUUGUCCAAAAAAGGGGUGAAGAAGAUAAGGAGAAUGUAAAUUCAAAGGUAGAUUUGAGGGCACCUGUAGUUGAAGUUCGCAGAUCUUCCAGGAACAUUAGACCUCCACAGCGUUAUUCACCUGUUUUAAAUUAUCUCCUGUUGACUGAUGGUGGUGAGCCAGAGUGUUAUAAUGAAGCCUUGCAAGAUGAGAAUUCAAGCAAGUGGGAGUUAGCCAUGAAGGAUGAGAUGGAUUCCCUGCUGGGGAAUCAGACAUGGGAACUGACUGAAUUGCCAGUAGGAAAGAAGGCUUUGCACAACAAGUGGGUAUACAGAAUAAAGAAUGAGCAUGAUGGUAGCAAACGUUACAAGGCCAGAUUAGUGGUUAAAGGGUUCCAACAGAAGGAGGGCAUUGACUACACAGAGAUAUUUUCUUCAGUUGUGAAGAUGUCAACAAUUAGACUUGUACUUGGAAUGGUGGCUGUAGAAAACUUACAUCUUGAGCAGUUAGAUGUGAAGACAACAUUCCUUCAUGGUGACUUGGAGGAAGACCUUUACAUGAUUCAGCCAGAAGGGUUCAUUGUUCAGGGACAAGAGAAUCUAGUCUGCAAACUGAGAAAGAGCUUGUAUGGCCUUAAACAAGCUCCUAGACAGUGGUACAAGAAGUUUGACAAUUUUAUGCAUAGAAUUGGGUUCAAGAGAUGUGAAGCUGAUCAUUGUUGCUAUGUUAAGUCCUUUGACAAUUCUUACAUCAUAUUACUGUUGUAUGUGGAUGAUAUGCUUAUUGCAGGGUCUGACAUUGAGAAGAUUAAUAAUCUGAAGAAGCAAUUGUCCAAACAGUUUGCAAUGAAGGAUUUGGGAGCUACAAAGCAUAUCCUUGGUAUGAGAAUCAUUAGAGACAAGGCUAAUGGUACAUUGAAACUUUCACGGUCAGAGUAUGUGAAGAAAGUUCUCAGCAGGUUCAACAUGAAUGAAGCUAAACCAGUGAGCACACCCUUGGGUAGUCAUUUCAAACUAAGCAAAGAACAGUCACCGAAGACAGAAGAAGAAAGGGACCAUAUGAGCAAGGUGCCCUAUGCCUCAGCUAUUGGCAGCUUGAUGUAUGCUAUGGUGUGUACAAGGCCAGACAUUGCACAUGCAGUGGGAGUUGUGAGCAGAUUCAUGAGUAGGCCUAGAAAGCAGCAUUGGGAGGCAGUCAAGUGGAUUUUAAGAUAUCUGAAGGGUUCAUUAGAUACAUGUCUUUGCUUCACAGGUGCAAGUUUGAAACUGCAGGGUUAUGUAGAUGCUGAUUUUGCUGGUGAUAUUGAUAGUAGAAAGAGUACUACUGGGUUUGUUUUUACUCUAGGUGGUACAGCUAUAUCAUGGACUUCAAAUCUACAGAAGAUUGUUACUUUGUCUACUACAGAAGCUGAGUAUGUUGCAGCAACUGAAGCUGGAAAGGAGAUGAUUUGGCUACAUGGUUUCUUAGAUGAAUUGGGUAAGAAGCAGGAGAUGGGCAUUCUACACAGUGACAGUCAGAGUGCAAUUUUUCUUGCCAAAAAUUCGGCUUUUCAUUCAAAGUCAAAACAUAUACAAACAAAAUACCACUUUAUCCGUUAUCUUGUUGAGGAUAAACUGGUAAUACUUGAGAAGAUUUGUGGAUCUAAGAACCCUGCAGACAUGUUGACUAAGGGUGUCACUAUUGAGAAGUUGAAGCUGUGCGCAGCUUCAAUUGGUCUUCUAGCUUGAGGACAGGAGGAUGAGUUGUAGGGAUAAGGGAUCGUUUCUUGGAGGAUAGCGGUUUGAUGUUGGUGAUUGGACUAGUCUCCAAGUGGGAGAUUUGUUGGGCUUUGUGGAGCCUAGUUUUGUUUGAUCCGGUUUGACGACCCGACCCGAAUAAUAUUGCAUGACCUUUUUAAUGGGAGAUUUAUUGAGGCCUGUUGGGCCCGUUUAGCCCAUUGUGGAACCACCUUUUGUAAUUAGGGUUUUUUAGUAUGGUAGGGUUGCCGUGCUAUAUAUAUAUAGAGAAUAUUGUAGCCGCCAAGUUGUACUCUGUAUUCUUCCCUGAUAAUAGUGAUAUCCCUGCAACUCCGUGGACGUAGGCAAAUUGCCGAACCACGUAAAUACUGUCUUGUGCGUGUGAUUGUUUUUCUUUGGCGUGUGUUUUUCCUCUAAUUUUUUGUUUCUCACGGGUUGGGAAUUCGGUUUAAUUCCCUACAGAAGAUUGAUUCACAAGGCCCUUGAAAAUUUUCUAUUUAAAGCUCUUGUAAGGAAAAUGGGAGACAUAUCUUCCUUCUCCAUCAUUCCUUCUUUUCUCAUUUCUUUUUUCUUGAUAUAAAGCUAAGGAUUCUCUCAUUUCUUUCUUCUUCAUUGUAAGUUACUUGAUUGAAGCCAAAAUAUGUGCUCCAAUGGCACAUAUAUGAUGUUAUAAUUUAUGUAAUAUAAAAAGUUCAAAUCAUCCAACUUAACUUAAUUUCAUGCUACGACCAUAGUUAUGGAUCUAACUUUUAUUUUGAGCCUAAUUCUAAGUUUAAGGGAUGACAUAAAUGGAUAAGUGCAAAAGUCAUUAUCAACCAAGAAAGUAGAAGGGGUUAAAUUAUAACUAAGAGACUCAAGACUUAUGAACCAUGAAAGUCCAAGAAAGGGUGUAAGAAGCAAGCCAUAGGCAUGAAAUACCAAUAGUAGAUGUUAUGGAUUGAGAUAGAGGGCAAGAAACCAUAAUGGAGGAGGUUUGAAGCAAAUGUAAUCAAGUUCACAUGAAAUUUUGGAACUCAAAAUUUGGCAGUAAUAUUUACUUUGACUUUGAGAUAAAGUUUAGAACACUUUUUGAGGUCCAUUUUGGGAAAACUAGAUAUUGUUUCGAAGCUUGAGAAGUCAAAAGUCCAACGCUUCAAAUGAUGCACAAAUCGGAGUUGAAAUGAGGAAGUUAUGUGCAUUUGAAGCAAACUAGGGAAAGAAAAAUGUUGAGUUUGAAAUUGACAUCCUGAAUUCGAAAUGGUUUUUGGCUAGUUAAAACUCAAAAGGAAUGCAAGGAUACUUGUCAUAGAGGCUAAGUUUUAUCCUCCUACCUAUUUCAAAUAGGAGACAAAUUUCAAACCCAAAAACAUGCAUGGUGGGCCAUUUAAAACUCAAAGGAAUGCAAGGAUACUUGUGGCAAAAGCUAAGUUUGAAUCCCCCUACAUAUUUUGAAAAAGAGACACACAUUUCCAACCCAAAACUAUAGUGAACAUGCAUGGGCAGUGUGUGAGUUCUAAAUUCACUGUGAAUUUGUGGAUGUCACCAUUUUUUGUAAUAGACCUUUCGGAUAUCUAUCUAGCCUUCACAAUUAUUAAAAAGUAUUUAUUCCAAUAAUUAUGAUUGUAACCCUACAAAUAAGGUUAAGAAUAUUAGUGGAAAUUUAUAACUUCAGAGUUCACUUUCUUAUCUAAUUUUCCUCUCCUCUUUAUUGCCUUCAUUUACAACAUCAAAAAAAUUAUUAUUGUUUCAUCUACAAGUUGUCUAAAACUCAUUAAAUUCAGAGCAUAGAAGUAUUGAACAUUCUCAUAUAUAUACAUUUGUUUGAGGCUGUGAUAACAUACAAUUUUACAUUAUAUAUUAAUGGAUAUAUUCCUACCGUCAUAUCUUGUAGUGGAUCACACUAUCAAACCUAGAAGUAUUCGAAGGAAUUACCAAAAACCUUCUAUUAAGUAAAUACGCAGAGAUUUUAGAGUAAAAUACAGGCAGUUCCUUACUAAGAGAGUAUUCCAUCUAUACAUGAACUAAUGUAUAUAUUGUCUAUAAAUUAAUUGUGAAAUUAAGAAUAUACAAUUAAUAUCACAUUCUAUUCUAUGGUUCUACAGAAUCCCAAAGAUGUAAAAACUCAAGAAUAAACACCCAAGCACAAUUGAAGUUGUUGAAGUUGAGAAGGAAUCAGGUAGCAUCACAUAAAUGCCUGAAGUAAAUGCUAUCACCAUUCCCAGUAGAGAGAUGUAAGUGAGUAGGGCGGAAAAUUUUGUGAAACGUGGAAGCAAAUGAUAGUUUUGUUCCAGUGAAGCAAAAAAGUGGAGAAACACAGCUGCAGAUGAGCAAUAGAAAGCCAUAGCAUCUAUUAUCACAAAGACUUUGAAACAUGCCUUUGUUGAUAAAACUGACUUACCCUUGUUUGGGUUAUCUUCAUUGUACCCACCAGGUAGAGAAACAAGCUGCAAAAGUUACUGUUGCUAUGAGGGUUGCCACCAGUAGAUGGGCGUUUGAUACAUCCUUCAAAUACUUAGAUGUGAUAUGUUUCUUCUUUACAACUUCAUUAUUCAUGUCACAAAGCGAUUCACUUGCAUGAAGUGAUGUUCUCUCUCUGUCCUCUCUAAGCUCUAACUCAUUUAUGCCUUCAUUCGGUCCUUCAUUGUCAUUGAUUGUUCUGUCUGUGUUCUCUCUAACGAUCAGCUGCUCGAGACUUUGUUGAGCACCGCCAUUCUCCAACACUACAAGGAAAAACAUAUGUCGUGACAUUUAUAAUGAGUCACCCUAAACAUAGGGUGUCGCUACAACAUAGUGUCACCUUAUCCACUGACACCAUAGAGAGUACCAAUUGGUGACGUAUUUGGAAGAGACACCAAAGCAGAUAAAUGGUGACACAUUUAGAAGCGACACCAUAUAUUUUUAGUGAUGUUUAAUUUGAUAUAGAGUUGUGUGAGAUAUAUAAGGUGUCAUAUUAAAUGCAUCACAUUUGAGUUAUGAUGUCAUGUUAAAUGCAUCACCUUCGAGUUAUGGUGUCACAUCAUUGCAAAUGAUUAUUGAAGAUAUGGUUGGUUUUUUGUUGAUUAGCCUAUAGAUUUUUGUAAUGCUUAUUAAUAAAUAAGAUCAACGUGUGUAAAUUUUGUCCAUAAAUAUAAUAAUCAUAUUACAUUUAACUUAUAUUUUCAUAAUGCUUAUGAAUUAACUUGUAAUACAUUACAUCAUCCACUAAUAUUUGUAUAUCAAAUGUUCACAAAACAUAGUAUAUCAAACCCACCAAAACUAAAAAAGAAAAGUGAAUACACAUUAUAACAUGAUUUAGAAAUGUUAAGCAUCUCAACAUUCAUGUAUACUUGCAUUUCAUAUGCAUAAAACCGGCUAACCAUAAAAUGACACAAGAGUUGCAUCCAAAAACCCAAAAUUCUCAAUUCCAAAUAAAAUAACAUUUAUGUAGUAUAAUGUAUGACAUAAGAGUCACAUCUAAAAAUCCAAAUCUUGAUGCCACUUUCUCCUUUCUUUUUAUUUUUCAUACUGUCCUCCCAAGAGUGUAUACCUGCAUUUUAUAGUUUAAUGAGUUUUAGAGUUUUUAUUGAAAAUAAAAAUGUGAUGUUAUAAAAAAUAAACAAAUCUAAGUACUAAUAUUUUUUUUCUUUUUCCUAUUUUGAUAUAAAAAUAGUUCGUAAACAAUAAGUAAUGCUAUAUAAUACCAAUGGAAAAUUUAUAUAACAACUAAGGGACUCACCAUGCAUGAUCAUGAUACAUCAACAUGAUUCAUGAUUAGUUAUAACACAAAAGUAAUCAAUUGUCCUAUAAUUUCAUCAAAUUCUACUUGAGAAUAUGUUUUUUUUUGUCAUCAAACUAAAAUCAAAUGAAAAUAACAUUAAUAUCACAAUAAUUGGAAGUAUGAAACUCUGUACAAUUCAUUAAAUGAGUAAAACUUUUAAUGCAAUAACUGUAGAAUCAACCAUUAUCUCUUUAAUGAAUCUCAUAACAAAAUAGUCACAUUUGAACCAAAUAAAAACAAUUCAAGAAAAUAAAAAAUAAAUAAAAACUACAAAAUAAAAAAUAAAAUCUAAAAUUUUAGAAAAUACUAAUCUUCCACUUAAAAUCUACACUUUUUAAAUUUAUUUUUAUAAUUCAUUAUGCUUUUAAAAAUCAUUUUUAACAUCUAAUUCUUUUUAUAUUUUUUUUAUUUCUUGGAAGGAUUUUCUUAAUUUCAAUUUUUUUUUAAUGUUCAUUUUGUGAAAUAACAAUGUCCAUUAAAAUUCAUCUCAAUUAUAUAAAAUAAAAUUUUAGUAACAAAAUAUAAAAAUGUUUUUAACUACUAAUAUGAUAGGACAUGAUUUUAUAACAGGUAUGAAAAUUGUGUAUAUAAGACAAAAAAACCUAAUUCACUAUUAAAAAAUGUUAAGAGAAAAAUUAGUAUGAGAAAGAAUUAAAGAACCUUUCAUAAAAAUUAUUGAUUUUUCAGUCAUAACUCCAAUUGAUAUUUUUUUUUCUAAGUAAAAUAAUUAAUAGAAAAUUUGGAUAUGAAAAAUAUGUUCAAAUAAAAAUAAUAAUAAAAUAAAAACAUCAAAGGAAAAAAUAUUCAAUACUUUAAUUUUUUACUUUUAAUAUUCUGUAGAUCAAUAAUUAUCAAAUAUAAAAAAGAAAAAUGAAGAAAAGGAAGAGUUUUAUGGAAGGAAUUGGAAAAAAUUUUGUACUAAAAGGAUUUUAUAGAAAUUUCUUAACCUUCAAAGGAAAAUUUCAUCAUCAAUCUCAAAUUACUCCAAAGUUUGGUUAAUGCAUAUAAAAACAAUAAGAAAGGAAGGCAAAAAUAAAACACAUUUUUAGAAUCCUUUUGCGGGUGAUGACAAUAUUGAGAAUAAUUUUCUCAAAAAUUAUUUUCCAAAUAUCACCAACCAAUAUCCUCAUCAUAACAUACUAUAAUAUUCUUAAAAAAUAAACAAACAAUCCAAUAAAAGGAAAUUUCAUAGAAAUCAAAAGAAAAUUAUCAAACAUCUCCUUCAAAAAAAAAGAAAAAGAAAAAGGAAGAGUUUUAUGGAAGGAAUUAAAAAAAUUAUGUAAUAAAAGGAUUUUAUAGAAAUUUUCUAACCUUGAAAGGAAAAUUUCAUCAUCAAUCUCAAGUUACUCUAAAUUUUGGUCAACACAUAUAAAACUAUAUAAAAAAAAAGGUAAAAACAAAAAGCAAAAAACAUAUUUUAAGAAUAUAAAAAAUAUGAAUAGAACAAGAUGAGAUAUUAACCAUAAUACCAUGUAAAAGAAUAGAAAAAAAAAAUCAAAAUGUAAGAUUUGAUCAUUUUUAUAAUUAUAAAAAUUUUCAUUCCUAUUUAAAUUAAAAAAAAAAACAAUUCAUUUACAUUAAUAAAUAAAAAAUAAAAUUAAUUUCUCAUUGUUAAUUCCAACAUUCCAAACCGACUCCAACAUGAUAUGGAAACUAUUUCAUUUUUCAUUUUAUGGGAGAUGACAAUAUUGAGAAUAAUUUUCUAAAAAAUUAUUUUUCAAAUAUCACCAAUCAAGAUCCUCAUCACAAUGUACUACAAUAUUCCUUGAAAACAAAUAGAAAGUCCCAUCAAAGGAAAUUUCCUACAAGAUCAAAAGAAAGUUUCAUGUUGUAAAAUGUUUCUCUCAUUCUAAGUAUAAAAGAUAUUUAAAAUCAUUCAUUUUGGGGUUUAUGGGUUUAACAAUGAACUAGAAGAUAUGGUGGAAUGUUAAACCUAGUUUUUACUUUCUUACAACUCAAUAAAAAAACAUUAUUUACACAAUCCAUAUUACAAAUAUACCAAAUCAAUAAACAUAAAUCAAUUGUGUUAAUAAAGAUUUUGACAUUAAUAAAAAAAAAAUGAAAAUGAUAAAUCUAAGAUAUUUUGGGUUACCUGAGAAUCCACGAAGCAGAGAAGAGCAGUUGUGUGUUAACUAUGAGUGUGAGAAGAGGUAGAGGAAAACUUUGGGUGUGAGAAGAGGCAGAAGAAAACUUUGGUUAGGGUUAUGGAAUGAGAUUUUUUUGGAUUGUGGGUAUGUGGAAACAAUGACUUUUUUAUAUACUAUCAUUAUUCUUGAAGUAGGCCCAUUAAGUUAUAAUAUUUUUAAAAAAAAUUAUUUUAUAUGGUGUCACUUUUCGAAAACUCACACUAUAAAUCUAAAAUUAAUAUCAUUGAUCCUAAUUGAAAAUUUUUAUAUAAUGUGUCACCUUUUUGGAUUUUAAAUCAUAUGGUGUCAUUAUUUCAUAAGUGACACCACAAAUUAUUUUUGUAGUAGUGCAACUUCCUCAUGAUCAAAGAAUGGAAAGUUUUUUUAAAGAACUUAGAAUAAAAUGUUGUUUUUAGAUACCAAGGCACAUAUAUGACCAAAAAAUUCAAUUAAGGCAACAUAUUUCUUCUGUCUUUUUUUUUUUUUUUUCUUUUUUUUCAAGUUUCACAUAUUUAAAGAGAAAUAAAGCAGUGGAACCAAUGCAUAAUCUAAAAUCAUCGGUUUUCGAUGCACAUACCUUUUUUAUUUCUCCCAGAUCCAUAUUUGAUUGGACAAUGUCGAUAGCCUUCAAAUAUUUCUUGUUUGAUGCCUUCUUAUCCACUCUACGAUCUCCGAGCUUUGACCCAAAAUGCUACACUUUAAAAAAAAAAUCCAUAAAGUAAACCUAAUGUGAAAAUAAUGCCCAAUCUAGUGCGUUUGUGCCACAUAGAUUACCACAUCAUAAAAUCGUAGUUGGUAACUACGGUUUUAUUUUUUUAAAACAUUCAAAACCGUAGUCACCAACUACGGUUUUAACUGUUUUUACAAAUAGUCAAAGCCGUAGUCACCAACUACGACUUCAACUUUAAUUUUAUAUAUAUAAAUAAUUAUAUUGCUUGAUUUAAAAUAUUUAACUUUAAUUUAUUUAAAUAAAAAUAUUAUAUUAUUUUGAUUUUAGAUAGACUAAAAGUAUGUGAGUGAUUUAAUAAAAAUAUUUAACUUUAAUUUAUUUAAAUAAAAAUAUUAUAUUAUUUUGAUUUUAGAUUGACUAAAAAUAUGUGAGUGGUUUAAUAAAUAUAUUUAACUUUAAUUGAUCUCAUUAUUUAAAGAAUAAUAAUAUAUGAAAUUAAAUAAUUGAUGUCUUUAAUUUGAUAUAAAAAUAUUUUGGUUUAGUUUUAUUAAAAUAUUUGACACUAUACUCAAUAUAAAUAUAAUUAGUUAUAAAUAUACUAUUUUAUGCCCUCAUAAUGAAGAAUAUUAUAUUAUUUUGUAACUUUGUACAAAAAUUAAAGCCAAUUAUGCAUUUGUACAAAACAUAAUAUGACUUCAAGUGGGUAAAUAAUUGGAAAAUUACUUAAAUACAACAAAAAUAAUUUUAUUUUCUCCAAUUUUUUCCUUUCAAAAUGGGAUCAAAAUGGAAUGGAAAGGCUUAAAAUUUUAAACUUAAAAUGCCAACCUAAUAGAAUUUGUUUUUCCACUUCUUAAAAUAUAGAAUUGUAGAAAGAAAAUACCUAUGUUUUUCCAAUCAAUUCACCAUUUAGUUUAACUGUUUUGGUAAAUAAAUGAAAAUGCUUUUAGAACAUUUUUGUAAAUUCAUUGAGAAUAAGAAAAAUGUUCCUUAUUGGGUUUUAACGGGAGUUUUGGACAAAAAUGAUUUCUUUAAAACAAAAAAUUCAUAAAUUAAUUUUAUUCUCAAAAUAAUUUUCAAUGUGAUGUGUGUCUUAUUCAUGAGGGUAUUUACAUCAUAAAACUGUAAUUGGUAAUUAUGAUUUUUGAUUUUUUUUUAAAUAGUCAAAAUAGUAGUUGGUGAUCAUAGCUCUAAAUUUAAACCUAAAACCAAUUUUUUUAAGUUCAAUUUUUUAAAUCAUGCGAAUGUUCAAUAUGCGAUGGUCCUCUCCAAUAACAUGCAAAAUAUCAAUAGCAAUUCGAUGAAUGUUGCCUAAUGCACCUGAAGUAGGCUCAGCAAAUCGACUAGCAAUCUCAACCAUACCAGUGAUCUAUUAAAAAAAAAAAAAAAAAAGUUAAACAGACAAAGAUGAUUUUUAAUUAAUUAAAAUUUAAUAAACCAUUUAUAAAUUAAAAAAAUCUUACCAACAACUGAGUAGCUGCUGCUGUACUAUGAUACCUCAUCUGAUCUCUAUGGAAAGGGGGUGUGAUCAAACGUCGUGUAAUACGUCGGUACCACUCUAUAUAUGGAUCAUGAAACUGCAUAGCACCCACCAUAGGUGGUGCCGUCACAAUACGCUCUGCACGACUAGCCCAUAAGGUAAUAUACUGUGCAUGAAAUGCCUCCCAAUCAUACUUAUGUCGUCCUCGCCUAUCCAUGGAAUGGAGGUGUUGCUCUAUGGAACAAGAUGGAGGUAUCCCUUGUUAGAGGCCAAACUAUCGCAACACUCGCUCCGGUCGAUACCACUCGACAAUGUCAAAGCAAAUAAGAGGUGACAUCAUCCUCUAAAUCUCCUGGUCUGCUAGAGAUAUCGCUGGAAGAUGGGCAACUAAGUCUUCCAUGUAAGGCUCCCAUAAAACCUGUUAAAAUCAACAUUUGAAAUUAAUAAAGUUAAUGUUUAUAUGGUUAACAAUAGCACAUUAGAUCUUAUAUGUACCUGGUCAUGGGUCUGUGCAUCUAAUUGGUCUCGAUAAAAUGUCAACACACGUGAUGGGUUUUGAGCCCAUGAUAAAGGUACUCUCCACCUACAUCCUAACGGAUCAGCUAGUAAACCCUCAUGUAACAAUGCCUCAUACUGUAAUCCCUGCUCUAAAUGCUCAACUGGUAAAUCAUUGACUGCAUCAUCCUCUAAAUGCUAGGCUGUUGGAGGGGUUGGUGGUUGACCAAAAUAAGGUCGACCCAGGUGGAGUCUCUCCCAAGACCAUAACUGCAAAAAAAUGUAACAUUAAAAUUUUACUUAAAUUAUAAACUUGAAACAACUAGAAAUUUCAAUCUAAUGUGAAUAAUUAAUUAUACCUAUAAUAGUGUGACACAUCCAGCAAUAUCGGUGGCACCAUCCAAACUCACUCGACACAACUCCCUAUAUAGGUGUGCUAAUACUGCACUACCCCAACUAUACAUAGAUGUCUAAGUCAAGUCUCUAAGAAGUGGGAGAUAACACAUAUGUAUGUGAGUACCCUUCUUGUCUGUAAAUAGAGUUGAACCUAUGAGUUCUAAUAUGAAAGCACAUGCAUACUGCUCUAAUGUGGCAUCAUCUAAAUCAACUGGUGGAUGAGAGAACUGGUGACAUAGCCAUCGUGUCGAUAUCGCUGAUCCUUUAAUCUCAGAUGUAGGGGGAGUCACCCCUAAAAGUUCAUAACAUAGCAAUGACCAAUCUAUAUCACAUGUGCCAGUGAUGGGAAGCCCAUGAAUACGAAGACCUAAUAUGACAGCAACAUCCUGUAAAGUAAUGGUCAUCUCCCCAACAGGUAAGUGAAAUGUGUGUGUCUCAGGACGCCAUCUCUCAACUAGACUAGUGAUCAAUCCCCAAUCUAGUGUAAUGUGUCCAAUACGAUAUACACCAUAAAAUCCAGAUUGAAUAAUAUAAGGUCGAAGACGAGGAUCCAUCUCCCACUCCCGCAUAAACCUAGAUAUAUGUUGUCAACAAGUCAAGACUGAAGCAAGCUGUAAAAAUACAAAUAAAUCAUUUAGAUAAUAAACUGUAAUUUUUUUCAUUCUUUAAAGAGAUAUUAUGUGUUUUCAUAUACAUACCUGACCAGAGUCAACUAAAUGAGACCUAUGUCUAUCAUGUAGAACCAAAAUAGACAUAUCUAAUGGAUCUGGAUCAGAACUAUGUCCUCUAUACUCCAUAUUUGUAACAAAAUUGUGAAGAUAAAUAAACAAUACUUAUUGUUUUUAAAUAAAAAAAUAUUUUUAAUGGAAAAGUUUUAAAAAUUUAUGGAGUUUUCCAUAUAUUAAGUAUAUAUCAGUUUGAUAAAUUUAAGUAGAUCAAUUCAUUUAUGACCAAUAAACAAGUCAUACUAGUUUAAAAUAAAAUUAGAGAUACAAAUACAAUGAAGCAUUUUGUUAACAUUUUUAAUAGAAAAUUUCAAAAUUUUGACAGAGUUUCCCCUAUAGUAUGGACAUUAUUCAAAAUACAAAUAACCUGAUUAGGCAAAUAACAUCAAUAUUUAUAAUCAAACCAAAGCCAAUAAUUGAAUAAAGGUAGUAUCAUAGUAGCUUACAUCACAAUAUCCAAGAAAAUUACAUGCACACAUCACAAGGUCUAAUCAACUCUAUUACUGUUUUGACAAGAACGACGAUUGUGGCCACUUUGUUUGCAUAACCCACAUGUAAUAGAAGUCUUGCCAUCUCUAACAUCCAUUUCAUUAUGCAAACGACUUGAUUUAGGUCAUCCACUCCAUGCACGUUUCAUCGACUCAGAAGGCAUGAUAAUCGGGCCAUCAUAAGGAAGCCACUCAUAUACAUUGAAAAUGGGAUGGAACAAGGGUGCCCAAGUAUUAUAGUACGAUUGUGUACUGUAGUAGUGUUGAACAAGUGGUCUAAAAUCAAUUGAACGAAAAUGACAUGCUGCUAGAAUAUGACUACAUGGGAAUCCAUAUAUGAGUGUUUUACCACACGUGCAUGCAUACUCCUGUAAGUUGACGCGAUAUGUUCGACCACGAGUUGAGCUACUCUUAGUACCCCUAUUACUCUUCACAUGGAAUUGUCCUUAGAUGUGAUCAUAUAAAAUAAUCUCAUGAGAUCCCACCUUAACCACAUUUGCCUUCAUCUUAGCAUCAACAUAUGGAGUGUAUUCCUCACUUGAAGCAAGUCGAUUAGCACCUUGUUCCCUUCUCACAACAAAGUAACUAUUUAGCCGAAAAAAUGUCAAUUGAACCAAAGCAGUUACGGGUAAGCUACGAGCCCCUUUAAGCACACUAUUGAACAUCUCCGCCAUGUUUGUAGUCAUGAUGUCGUACCUUCGACCUCCGUCAUGAGAGAGUGCCCAUUUCUCAAAAGGGAUUGCUUCCAACCAUUGUUGUGCGGCUGCAUUAAUCCUCCCAAUUGUGUUCAUAUGUUUAUUGAAUUUUUCAAUCUUGGUUGCUAAAGCUUCUCUGCACAUCAGAUUUUUUAAUAUUUUAUCCUUGAAUCGAGUCAUAAAAUUGCUAGCAAGAUGACGCAUACAAACCCUAUGAUAUGCGUAUGGCUCAGACCAACCAAGAUGAACAUCGCUCAUUGCAGCCAUAAUGCCUGGAUGUCGAUCUGAUAUAACACAAAGUUUCUUCCUAUUAGUGACUCUUGUUCUAAUACAUGCCAAAAACCAUCCCCAACUAUCAAUAUUCUCACCCUCUAUUAGGGCAAAAGCCAAUGGGAAUAACUGAUUAUUUCCAUCACAACCCAUAGCAAUCAUUAAAGUGCCUUUAUACUUCCCAUACAAAUGUGUACCAUCAAUACUGAGUACAGGCCGACAAUGCUUGAAUCCUUCAAUAGAUGGCUGAAAUGUCCAAAAAACUUGUUGAAAUAUUUCUGUAUUCUCCAUAAUACCAAGAAAUGUUUUUGAAAUUACAACACAUCCUGGAUUUGCCUGCUCUAAGGCAAUGAAAAAAUGUGGCAGCUCUGUAUAUGACUUAUAAUAAUCACCAAAUAAGUUUGUAAGAGCUUUAAGCUUUACUUUAGAUGUCUUCUUGUAUGAUAUUUGGUAUCCGAAUUUCUCCACAAUACUUGCUUGAAUAGCAGCCACUGACAAUGUGAAUUGUGCCUUAAUCAUUCCUUGGAUAUGAGCAGCAAUCAAGUUGGAAUCUAAUUGUUGAUGAUCCCGAUUCAAGCAAGGAUUUACACAUUUGUGGGGACCAUUGUGUUUAUUGAUUGCAAAUGAAGUUGUACCUUUUACAACCAUAGCAUGAAGUUUCCAUGGACAUUGCGAUUGCUCAGCCUUCUUGCAUCUUAGGACCAACAACUUUGUAGUUGACGAAACAACAACGUACUCUUGGUGUUGACUUAAAGAGUACAACUUUGUAGCAUGUUGUAAAUCUGCUUUUGAAUUAAAAACUUGGCCAACCAUGAACUCUCCAUCUGAGUUUCCAAUAUUAGUGUUCCCCCAUGGGGUCCAGUCACUUGAAACGGUGUUACCAAUGUUUUCUACAUUUUCAAACUGCAAUGAUGGUGCCGAGUGAUACUGAACAGGGGAAUACUCUAUUGGAUCAUCAAGAUCUGGGUUAUUUGACAUAUCACAACAUUCCCCAUCCACGGAGACAUAUCUCCCUUGUUCACUUUCCAUUGCUUCGUGAAGAGCUAAGAAAGAUGAAACAACAUUAACAUUAUUGUUUUCCUCAUCAAUAAAUUCAAACACCCCAUCGCCAUCAUGUUGAACAUCUUCUGCUCUCUCACUUUGAUCAUCACCUUCUUGGGAUUCACAUUCUUCUUCAUUUUCAUCUGCUUUACACUCAUAAGUCAUUGCAACUGGGGCACUACUAGGUCCACAACCAUACUCAAAUUCCUCAACAUUAUCAUUUUGUCCGAGUAAUAAUUGUGUGAAAUUACCCAAAAAUUGCCCCCUCUCCCGUGGUUGUACUGGCACUUGUUCAAUAUACAAUUCAAUUUCGUCCAUUCCAAAUGUGUUAACCAAUUUCAACAUUUGAGAUAAACUAUUAUCAUCCCAUAUUGGACAAGGUUGAAACCUAUUUUCCCUUUUUAAAGGAUAUCUAUAGUUGAGGACUAAUUGAAAUUGUUUUUUGGCAAUGCCAGUUCUCGAGUAUAUCAUAGAUAACAAGUGUUCAUAGGUUGAACUAACAGGCACAUCCAAAGGCACAAUUAUAACUAGAUCCCCAAUAUACUUUACAUAUGUUUUUGUCCUCAACACUUUUCCUUUACAAAAGCAAAUCACAGGAACAAUAGAUUUAGACAUGAUUUACCUACAAAAAAUACAAUAUCAAAUGGUUUAAUAAUCAAUAAAAAUAAUAGCAAGAGAAAUUGCAUAUAAUAUUUUAACAUGUGAAUACACAAUUAUAUAAUAAAACACAUUUUUACACAUUAGGAGGAAAAAUAUAAAUCACUUCAUAAUAAUAAUUUUUUUAUUUAAAUAGUUAUCUAUGAUACAAAUAUAAUGAUAGAUAAAUGUUUUAUAGAAUUUUAAUUUAAAACUUAGGUAGUGGGCUAUAAAUCAAUAAAUGUUGAGUUAAAAAAUUACAAUAAUCUUAAAAUUAAAUAAAAAAUAAUCCACCAAUUUUUUUUAUUAUAAAAUAUCAUAUAUUAAAAUAAAAUUGAAUGUUAUGAACUAUUAAAUAAUAUAUAAUUUAAAUAAUUAUGUUAUUAUUCAUGAAUCAAUUGAUAUUUGAUUAAAGCUAAAAGUCGAAAAAAAAAUAAAAAUAAAAAUCAAAUAAAAGUAACUGACCAAAAAAAAAUAUAUUAAUAAAAUAUCAAUUACACAAUUAUAAAAUUUUGAUAUAUGUGUUUAUUCUGUUUUUGGAAAGCUAGGUCCCUUCUUUUGACUAGUUUCAUUGAUCAGGAGCUGUCUAGAUGAGAAAUUGUGUGUGAAGAUGAAUCAAUAACCUAGGAUAAAUCAACAAUUUCAUAUGAAUUACCAAAUUGCAGAUCUAAAACAGGGGACAACAUGGGAUAUGGGAAGCAUGACCUCAAAAAGAUAGUAGAACCAAGGAUGAGACAUCAGUUUUCAUGGAUAUAUCGGUAGUUGGAUUUUACGAAUAUACUAGGAUAUAUCGGGAAAUAUCAGUGGAAAUUUUGACAAAUAAAUCGAUGGAAGAAAUUUUGAGGAAAAAAAAAAGAAAAAACAAGAAAUAAUACGCAUAUUCAAGUUAUUACUUUUAAAUUAUAUAUAUAUUAUUUCUAAUAUUCGAUAAUAAAUUAAUAAUAUAUAGAACUUGAAAACACAUUUUACAUUGAUAUAUCUAAAAGAUACAAAAGAAAUGAUGAUAUAUGUAUGAUUUUCAAAAUAUUUGUAAUUUUUUUUUUCUAUUAAGUUUAAUUAAUAAAAAAAAUAUGAACAAAGACUCAUUAAAAAAUUUAUGAUAAUCAUUUUUAUAUUUUUAAUACUUAAAUCAAAUUUGGAAAUAAGAUAAUUAAAAUUAAAUUAUUUAUUAGAUGUUUAUUUUAAUAUCUUAUGUAUGAUAAAAAUGUAUUAAAAAUAUAUUUGUCUCCAAAAUUUUUUUAUUUUUUUUAUUAAAAUGAGAAAAAUAAAAAUUUGUGUGUGUGCAUAUAUAUAUUUAUUAACAAUUGUAAAACAAAAAUCACAUUAGUCCCACUGGUCAUGAACUCUUUUGCCAUGUAUAAGAACAAGGGGGUUUGAGUUUUUAAUAUGGUUUUCCCAAAAUUUAAAUUGUUUAUGUUGUCUACCAUAUGAAGUAAUAGCCAUCUGGAGUGGCAACAAAAAGGUCAAGAUCAGAUUCUGAUGGCUAGGAUAAAGGCCUUGAACCCACCUUAAUAAUAGCAACCAUUACUUUGUUUUCUUGUACACACUUUCCUCUCUAAAUACAAGGCAAAAAAAAAAAAAAAAAUUGUUUAAAUGAAGGGCUCUCAUUUUUUCUUCUUCAAACUUGGCAACUUCCAUACAUAUCAAGAAGAGAACUAUUAGGCAAAUCCUAAGUGGAAGGAAGUUAACAAAAGUUGAACUGUUACAAACUUAUACUAGAGGCCUUCUACUCCAAGUAUACUAAGCCUUUCAUUGUACCAUGUAUAUUGUGAAAAGAUCAUAAGCUUAAAGCUACUAUACUUUUUCUCUUUUUCACAUUAAUUACUUUUCUGCAUGGAAAAUGAAAGCAAAAGAGAAAAACAUGUCCCUUGACACUUUCCAUACCAAACAAUCCAUGGUCAGCGUUUUUGUCUAUUUUACUUGUAACUUUUAUGCACUGCACCUCAUUUACCAUUUUUGUAUUUCUCAAAAACUAGCUAGCUAGGUUCUGUUUGACAGCCUUUAAUUGGUAGGAAUAAACUUCUUUUUGAGAACCCAAAUAUAGAAGUUUUUUUUUUUGCUCGAGAUACUGUACACUUAUGAAAUAGUAUAAAAUUUUCCAACUUAUUCUCAUUAUUUUUAGAUUAUUUUUCAAAACACUCUACAAAAAAAAUAUGUGAAAAAUCCUUAAACUUAUUCAAACAAACCACUUUAUAUUUAGAAUAAAUUUUCAAAAGCUAUUUCCAGUCUACAACUUACUAAACAUUGAAAAACUAUUGUUGUUCUAAAAACAAAACUUUUUUAGAAAAUAGGCCCCCUAAAGGAUCCACAAGAUGAAUAGGGCAAAGAUCAGGGAGAUCAAUAAAAAAUGAUCAGACAGUGAGAUCUAUUAACAUAGUGCUCAAUCUAAACAACCUUGUUCACACAAAAAAAAAAAAAAAAUGGGUCUAGUUUUUUCAUGAGUUUUACAGUGGUAUGUAUUCAAAUUUCCAUGGAAUGUUUUUGACAGUGAGAAACGUAAGAUUGAACCCACAAGAAGGGAGAAAAACCAAGCUUUGAAGCUUACCUAUCCACAAAUACAGGAGAGCAACCUCAGAAGAAGAAGAAGAAGAAGAAGAAUAUGCUUGUACUAAAGCUUUUGAUUAAGGUUUAAUUUGGAAGAGAAUGGCAAAGAGAUUCUUGAGGUAAACCAAAACAGCAGCAGGAUAAGGAGAAGAAGAAAAAGAAGAAGAAGAAGCAGAAAGAAUAACUAAAAAGGAAGUUGAUCAUAAGCCCUGCCCUUCAUUCAAUUCAUCUAUUUCCCAUGCAAAUAUAUAUGAUGUAAGUCCGAAUAUUGGCUAAAAAUCUAGAAACACAGAUAAUAAAUUUAAAAAUUAUUUUUUACAUUGGGGAUUUCAAGUAAAAUUUUGAAAAUAACUGACAGAUAGUUUAAAAAAUUAUCCUCAAAAUUUGUUUUUUAUAACAAUUUUAAAAAACAGUACUAGACAAGUUCUAAUAAUUUCUUACUGAGUGGGAGAAUGAGAGAAAAUACAAAUAAAAUAAUUAAAAAUCUCAUAUAUACCAACUGAUGAAGGAUUGAAUGUUCUAGUUUUCAACUUUUCAUUAGUUCAAUAAAAUUACAAUAAAAUGAAUGAGAAUUUCUGCAGAUGCAAAGAAGAUAAUAGAUUUAACAAUAAAAAAUCAUUAAAUUAUGUUCAAUCAGAAUCUCACAGGAAGCUGAAUGGAAAAAAAAUCAAGUAUCACCAAACUAAAGAACUAUAUAAACAAAUCUCAAGGUUCCAGGAAGUGGAGAACUAAACAACAAAACAUUUUGCAUAUAUUUUGAGAAUGGGUUUAAGAUUCUUGUUCAGAUAUUUGAAGAUAUACCAUCUGAAUGGUCCCCUCACUCUUGGUAACAAAUAUUUGAAGAUAUUUUCUAUUUCUAUAACAAAAAUCACCAGAGUUUUUUUACAGUGGUCCCCUCCAUUUUUGGUAUCUUUAACAAAAAGAAAUCCAUACUAGUCCCCCAUUCCAUAUCCGUUUUCUUUACCAAAAAAACCAUUUUCUUUCUGCUAAGCUCAAAAUCAAAAUAAAAUCAAACAUGUCUUUACCAAACAGAAACCAAACAAAUCUACAACAACAAACCAAACAGAUUUACAAAAAAAUAAAAAAAAAAAUUUACGAUUAACUGAAAAAUUCAUAAAUCUUACCUGACAACGACUUCCAAAUUUUGAAUUUGAACCAAAGAUGCAACGGGAAGGAUGAAACCCUAAAAGGAAGAACGAAACCCUAAAGGGAAGAACAAAAGCCUAAAGGGAAGAAAGCCAAUUGGGGAAAUGGAGAAACCUAAUGGGAAAGGGAUGGAAAAGGAAUUCAAAACCGUAGUUACCAACUACGGUUUUGACCAAUUUAAAAAAAUUCAAAACCGUAGUUACCAACUACGAUUUUAUGAUGUGGCAUUCCACGUGGCCCAGACGCACUGGAUUGGGCAUUAUUUUCAUAUUUGGUUUAGUUUAUGCAUUUUUUUUUUUUAAAUGUGGCAUUUUGUGUCAAAGCUCACGAUCUCCAGCCAAAAUCCGGACGCUGUUGUACUGUCCGUACAUAGCAGCUAGAUGCAAAGCCGUGUUGCCUUGCUUAUCUGACUCAUUUAUUAGGCUUUCCCAUCUUGGUUCUUUUAGAGUAUACUUCAUCACUAUAGACUUCCCACAUUGGGCUGCAAUGUGAAGAAUGGUCCGACCUUUAUUGUCAACCAAAUUAUUAGCACAUGGACAACGUUUGAUGAUCUCUGCCAUCAUAUUAGGGUAGCCUUUUUUAGCUACUAUGUGAAGAGCAGAACUAUCUUCUUUAUCCCAUAAGUAAGCAACUGAUUUAUCACAUUCCAGCAAUUUCCUAGUUGCUUCAAGAUGUCCUAAUUGUGCAGCAUAAUGAAGGGGAGUCCACGUAAAUAUGUCUGUUUCUGUGACCAUAUCUUUCUUUUUGUCCAAUAGUAUUGCAAUAAUGUCAUCUAACAAUUUAGACCAAGAAGAAGAAAUAUAAUUAAAAUAGACUUUUUCAUCCAGAGUACUUUUAGAAAAUAUAUUACGUUCUAUUUAUUUUAAUAUCAGAUAACAGCUCGGGAUUACUUCCCCAUGAGAAGGAUCAGGCAUUAUGCAAUGAAUUUUCCCAUCAAUUGUAAAGAGGGUAGCUACUAGCCAGUGUGGCAUAUAUUGUAAAAGCAAUUGUGUGAUUUUCUUUCCCUGGUCUUACUACUUUUCUAGUUCAGUUAAGCUCUCCACCUAUCAAUUAGAGAAGCAGAAGUAAAGGUUUGGGCUUGGGUAAGUAUUCUUCAAAAACAAUUCUAAAAAAUAAUUUAUAAGAACUAUUGAAAAACAUUUUCUAAUGAUAUUUUAUAAAACAAAAGUUCUAAUGGUUGUAUUAUUAUGCUUGGUUGGAACUAAUGAAUACAAUUCUGGUGACUAUCUGUCAUAAGUAUAGGGAGGCCAUGCACUCCAUGUAGAUUUGUUCGGCGUCUGUCAAGAAUCAGGAAUCGGUUAAUGGGGCUCCGAAUGUUCUACUAGCCUUGCCAAAAAGUACUUCAUGAGGCUAAACUCAUCCACACUAAAGUGGUGUUUUUUCUUUUUUUUUACUUAAUUCUAAAUAGAACUUUAAUGCUUAAUAGCGUUAAGUAUUAAGUUAUUUAUUUUUAUAAUACUUUAUUUCUAUUAAGCAUUAAAAAGUAAAAAAAAAAAAAAAAAUCAACAUAUCACUUUUUCUAUUCAAUAAAAAGUUUAUAAUAAAUCAUGAAAAAAAAAAACAAAUGAUCUAAAGUCUGAAAGCAAAUUGCUUUUAGCAAAAAACUAAAAAAACGCUCUCUAAGUCUAUAGAUUUAUGUAUUCUUGGCUUUGUAUAUCUUAGACAUGUUGGAUAAUGGUGUAACAAAGAUUUCUCCAUUUUUUUCUUAUGCAUUUUCUUCUACAAUAUUUUUGAAGCAUCCCGUUGUAGGGAUAUUUACACAUAGUGCAAUUUUGCUUUAUUUUUGUUGGCAACUUCUUCUCUCUGUUGUAUUAUUCCAAGUACCUUAUGUUAUGUCUGACUCUAAAAAAUUAUUAAAUGAAGGAAAAAUAUCAAGAAACUUAUUAUUAUUAUUAUGUUUAGUUUAUCAAAAAUUAUUAAAGGAAGGAAAAAAUUGUUAAAAAAAUAAUUUUUAUUAUAAAAAAAAUUAGAAAAAUAAAUACAAUUAAAAUAGGUUAAAAAAAUUAUAUAUUUCCAAAUUAUUUUACAUUUGUGUAAAAAGGAAGAAAAAAAAAUGAGAAAAAUGAAUUUGAAAAAAUAUUAUUAAUAAUUUUUUAACUUUCAAUUAUUUUUCAUCUUCCUUUAUAUUUGUUUAUGUUUUCCUUGUCUAGUAUAUUCCUUCAAAAUUUUUAAGAAUCAAACAUGUGGGUUGCAGACUGGUUCGCUGGCCUGCUGGCCUGCUUGCCUGGUCCAAGCAUGAAGUUGGGUUGACCUCUAAUGGUCCCUUGGUGGACCAACCCACCAACCUAACCAAACGAAGGUUGCUACCUUGGAUCAAGUGUCUAGGAUUUGAGUAAUAUCUUCUCCUGGGUUAUUAAAUUUUUAUUAGUUUUCAACGGUUUUCUAUUUGUAAUGAUUAAAUUUUUAUUGUAAAAAUGGCUCAUAAAAACGUUGAUUAUCCUAUAACAAUGUUCCAGAAGCAAGAGAUUAUUUACCAUAGCUUUGAACCGUUAAUUUUGAAUAUCGAAAUAAGUGGAAAUAGAAAUAAAUACUAUUAUUAUGUUUAACUUUAUGAAAAUUGUUGUAAAUGAAGUGGUGAAUGACCACAUUAAUGGUCAUUUAUGAACUCCAUUUACUCAUUUUUAAGAUGAGUAAUGGGAGUUCAUAUUAUGAAGCCUAUAAAAGGCUUUUUACACCCCAUGUAAGCAGCAUCCCAAAAAAAAGAAAGAAAUUCUCUUCCUCUCAUUCUCUCUCUCUCUUUCUUUCAUUCUCUCAAUUUUCUCAACUCUCUUCUCUGAUUCCUUCUUCCCAUUAUAUAUAUUGUUAAAGUAAGAUAUAUUUUAUCUCUACUACUUUAUUUGUGUUGCAUUUAUCCUUGUUUUACAACAAAAAUUAUAUUUUAGAAUUAUUUUUAUAAAAAUUAUGGUGAAUAUUUGAAGGCACCCAAAGCAUAUUAACUUGUUCUUAAUAAAGAUAAGACCAUAUUGAAUGUUUUGAUAUUGGUUUAUGAAACUACUUAGAGGAGAGUGAAUAGGCGGUCCUCUGCUUACAACCCUCAAAUUGAAGUUUUAAAUAUUUUUAUUAAUUAUUAAUUUAAUCAAUAUAUGUAAUUAAUAAAUAAAGCAAAGAAUAAUCUUACACUUGACAUGUGAUGUACUUGGAAAAUCAUCUACAGAAUCUAUAAAAAACACUUGACGAUGAAAAAUUCAUGGGUCAAUUGAUCGUAGAGCAAAUUCACUAAUUUUGAUAGAAUAAAUACAUGAUCUUACCUAGAUGAAAUACUAUCUUCCUUCAAGCAUCUUACACAGGUCAGUACUUACACUUGCUUUCAUGUUCAUGAUGCAAAACCCAUGUAUUCCUUAGUGAAUACCUUAAAACUUUAAGAGAUGUGAUCAACCACCAUGAGCAACUUCAAACAAGAUAUGAGCUUUUGGAGUAUCAGGAAUAUGCAAAAGAUAAUAACAAUAAAUUGUAGGGUACGAUGAUGUAUGAAAGUACAAAGUUGAGCAAUGUAUGAUGGCAAAAAACUAACUAAAAAAGAUUUGAAAAGCUGACAAAUCUAGGAUAUUUAUGCAUAACAUCAAGACCGCUUAAGCCCAUUUUGUGGGCACUCGAGCGCUCCUUGUUAAUUUUAGCUUUUCUAAUUUAGCUUCAAGCCCAUUUUGAAUCUAAGUCCACUUUACACCUUAUGCAUGUCAUUAUAUUGUGAACAAGAUAACCCUACUUACCUGAACAAUCAUGUGAAUGAAUAAAAAAUGAUCACAUAUCUUCAAGGCCAAUGCAUACGUAGAGUUGAGUAAAAAAAAUAUUUGGAAUAAAAUUGUUAACUUAAACUAAUUAGUCUAGAUCACUAACACAAAUAAUAUCAAAUUUAGUUAAAAUACAAAUACACCUUCCCAUGAGCAACAUUAUUAUGUUUUACCUUCUUCAUCUUUUACAAGUUUUUAGUUAUAGAAAUAAUGAGAUUAAAAAAUUGAAGGGUAAAUUGCUCCGAUGACUAACUUGAGUGCCUUGGGGCAAUUUUUCUUUGCUUUACAUAUCUCAUAUACCUUAUUAUUGGGAGAUUAUUAAAGAUCGAAUCACAAUAGGACCAAUCCUAAAAUAAAUUCCCCAAAAUCAUUGAUAUUUGAGGCUAUGUAAUUUUUUUGCUCCAACAAGUUUAAUAUUUUGAAUAAGUUUAUCAUACAUGCAUGGAUGUACUUCAUUCUACUACUUGACUAGGGUAGCAAUCAAAAUAGAAGCAAACCUAAAAUCAAUGCUCUAAUAACGUUAAUGUUUGGAGCUUCAUAAUUUUUUUGCUCCAAUAAUUUUGAUAUUUUAGACAAAAUUAUUUUACAUGGAUCGACUUGCUUCUUUAUGUUUAAGUAAAGGGGGAGUUUUUCUUGCCUAAAUCUUGACACUUAAAGAUACUAAUAUUUGUGUUUUGAACAUGAGAUAAGGGACAAAUCACUAUCUUUAACUUGAAUUUAUGUUAAUGCAUGCUUUGAGAACUAAUACGCCAUCUUUUUUUUUUUUAGUAUAAAAGCAUAAGAAGGGAGGAAAUGUAAGCAACUUGAUGUAAUUCUAGCAUUUGGGAUGGAAUGGAGGAGCAAAUAUGCAGCAAGAUGAGCCCUAGUGCUUGCUAAAGUAAAUAAAUAAAUAAUAAAAGCGAAAAGGCAAAAGAAAACUACAAAGGCAUUCUAAAUUGGUUUAGGAGUAGCUAAAAGUGAUUUGGAGAAGCCAAAAUAGAUUUCAAAAGGUUAUUUAAUCAAUGUUAAAACCAAUUUGUGAAUGAGAAUUGUCAUAUUAAUGGAGUCUCACAUCAUAAAAGCGAUUUAGAGGAGGCUGAAAUCGAAAUUCCAAUCUUAGGUUAAAAGUUAAAAUUGGUUUCCAUAUUGAAAUUUUGAUUUCAUCUUGUUGAAAUCAGUUUUUCCAAAAUUUACUGCAUAUGUCAAAUCAAAAUUUCACACUUUGGUUAAUUUGGUAUCAAAAUCUAGAUUUUAGGCAAUUUUGAUGUAAUUUCAACUAAUUAAGUUAUACGUUUGCUAUGGUGGCCAAUGAGAUUAGGCCAAGUGCCUUUUUAGGGUUAAGAUAUUUAUAUUUUCAUUUUUUUUUCAAGGUUACAAAGAGAACAUUUUUACAAUUUUGUUUGUAGUCACACUUUCUAAACUUUUGUUUCUUUCUUUUUAUUAAUAUCCCAUUUUUUUUCUUAUGGAAUUUGGGUGUGAAAUCUCAAUAUAAGAGAUUAAGAUCUUUAAUUUUGGAGAUGUAGCAUGAAGAUACAUGGAAGAUUUGGACAAGGAGCAUAAGAAAAGUAAUGUCAGAUUAAUUGAUCAUUAGGUUUUCAUGUUUACCUUAUUAGAAUGAGAUCAUCUAUGAAAUUAUGGUUAGACUAAGAUCCUAGUGAUACUUCUAAAACCAUUUGAUCACUAGUUAACAUAAUUUGAUAUACUAUCAUGAUUGAAUUGAAAAUUGAUUGUACAAGAUAGAUGAGUGGUACGAAUGUAUAAACAUAAACCUCAAUUAACCAAUCUAUAUUAUUUAUUUUAGUGAAUCAUGUAAAAAGAGUAUAAAUGUCUUAAAAUUCAAUUUGAUCCCACAUUGACUUUGGUCCUAAACCCUAGAUCUAUGAUUUACUCUCUCUCUCUCUCCUUCUCUUCUUAUGAAUUUGAAGCUAAAUUUUGAAAGCUCCAGAGUUGUUAUCAUAGAUUUGUCUUAAUCAAUUUAAUCUAAAUUCGGUCUUUUUAGAAAAAUUUAUCAAUUAAAUUCACAAUUUUGGGUAUAAGAAUACUUUGUUCAAUACAUAAAUAGUCAAAUGUGUUAGUCUUUAAAGGAUGACAUCUAGAUACCAUACACCAUAACUAUCCUCUCUUUGUUUUUUCUUGGCUAUGAUUUCUAUAAUAAUAAAGAUUUUCGUUCUAAAACAAAGAGUAUCGAUAAAAAAAAAAAGUGUCAUUUUUGUUAGAGAUUGACGACUAUUUUGAAUUGAUAGAUUGUCUUAGUUUUUAGGAGCUUAGAGCUUGUUUUACAAUGUGAUUUAAAAAUAGCUUUCUAUUUUUCUAAAAAAAAAUGACUUCUAAAAUUUAAUAGCAUUGUUUAGCAAUUGUUCUCUAGAAAUAGUUCAAAAAAAAAAAAUGAACGUUCUCUUCACUUGCUUUUAAAUACAAUAAGAGAACAUAGAGAAAUAAGAAUAAUAAUAAUUAAAAAAAAUGAUAAUAUAAGAUUGUGGACCCCGCACUUCUGCACAUGCGUUCCACUCGAUGACGAAACUAGUUGUUUUUAUUUGUUUGGUGAAAUUUUGAUUUUUAGAAAAGACUUGGAGUCACCACUUAUUUUUGUUUUAUUUUUAAGGGAAAAAAAAAUAAGAAAGAAAACUCUAAGUGUGACUCCUUAUUUGGAAAAGACAGUCUAUGGAAAACCAAACUUGGGUUUGGGGGUCAAGUUACUUAUUGGGAAGGUAUGGUAAAGACCAUAACACCCCUCCAAACCCCUAAAAAUGAGUCUCUACUAAAUAAGGUGAAGCAAACGUGGAAAUUGACAAGGAAAUUGUUAGCCCAAGGGUUCUCCUAAUCGGGUUUUGAUGGUAACAAACCAUGGUUAAGUUACUAAUUGGUUUAAAUGUUUAAGAAUCUCAGGUAUAAACUUGAAAAUUCAUCAAAGAACCAAAUGGAUAAAAGAUCGAGUCGCUUGGAAGACUUGUGAUCAUAGGAAACUAAUGUAAGAUGAAUGCAUGAGUGCACUUAGGAUUUUCAUACGUUUCAUGCACCUUAGAAAACUCGGUUUAUUCUUUAAAAUGUCGGUUUCAUUAAAACCUGAGUUUUUAACUAAUUUACCUUAGGCAAAAUGUUUCAAAAUUGGCUUAAUAAUUUACCUAAAGACCUUGCCUAAGUGUUAGAAAAAAAAAAGGAAUAAAAAAAUAGGUUUUUCGGGGCUAAAAAGGCUCAACCGGUCGAGGCUAUGGCCAACCGGUCAACCGGUUAAGGAACCGGUCGAUCGGUUGAGGUCGUCUGGUCGAGGACCGGUCGAGAAAGGUAAAAAACCUUCUCUCUCUCCCAAUAGCCUUCUCUUCCUGGUCGAGGUGAUUCCCUUACCGGUCGAGGUCCGGUCGAGGUCCAGUCAAGGACCGGUCGAGGUCCGGUUGAGGCAACGGUAACCUGUCAUGCAUUAAAUGCUCCAACGGCUAGUGAACCGGUCAACCCCCAGCUAGACCGGACGAGGUUGCCUUUUGCUGUUUUUGACUCCCGAGCUUAGAAACCUAUAAAUUGAGAGCUCCACUUCAUUUAUUGACAAGAGAACACUUACAUUCAAAGCCCACCUACCUGUUCUUGAUCAAAAAGCUCUCAUUUAUUUCAUAGUGCAUUAAAUUACCACUUGCAUAUCCUUUAGUGCACUCUUGUUUGUCAUCCUAGCUUUGUCUUGUAUUUGAGCCAUCUUUAAGCUAGGUUGAGUGAUUAUAUCUUGUAACAAUCCGAGUGUUAAAGCCUUUAAGAGGGUUGAAUCUUGAAGAGGUUGUGUAAGAGCCCAUUGGAUCCGGAAUCUAAGUGUAAGAAGAUUGGAAGCUUGGUUGAAGCUUCAAGUUAGUGGAACCCUCACUCGGUUAGAAGGUUGAGGAGAGUGGACGUAGGCAAGGAAGUGUCGAACCACUAUAAACCCAAGUUUGAAUUCUCUAAACUCUAUCUCUUUACUUUGUUCAUAUUUUGUUUAAAUUUGUUGUGAUUGAAAAGAUUUUAAAAACCCAAUUCACCCCCCAUUUUGGGUGUUUUUCUUAACUAAGCAUAACCUUUGUUUUCUCAGAAAUCAAUAGAUACCAAUAAAAUGAUCGAAUAAUAAAACAAAUUGAGCAUGAGAAUGAAUAAAUAAAUGAAGUAGGAGUGAGAGCGUACCUUAGCAGCAAAUAAUAGUGCACUAUCAUGGAAAAAAGGUUAGCUCAAGUACAAAAUUUAUCGCAUGCAUAUCAAAGAGCAAGACAAAGAUCAAGCAAUAUUCAUUAAGGUGUGGCUCCUAUAGAGGUGCAAAAAGAAGUUUGAUAAGCCCACAAUGCAAACAAAAGCUUCUCUGACCAAUCCCGAGAAGUCUCAAUCAUCCUCUGCAAGAUCCUCUUAAUAUUCUUAUUCACAUCCUCUACCACUUCGUUAGUCUGCGGCCUGUACGCAGACAAUCUAUGAUGCUGGAUAUCGUAUCUCUGUAAUAAAGUGUCAACAUCUGCUCUGAAAUGUACAUCUCUGCUCAAAAUCAGCUUAUGAGGGACUUCAUAGCGACAAAUAAUGUGUGAUCUGAUGAAACUAGUGACCUCAAAUGAUUUCAAUCUCGCAUAUGAAGCAGCCUCCACCCACUUGGUAAAGUAAUCAAUGACGACCAAGAUGAACUCAUGACUAUUGGAAGACUUUGGCGAAAUCUUCCCAAUAAUGUUUAUACCUCAUACUGAAAAUGGUCAUGGUGAAUUCAGUGCAUGUAACUCUAAAAGGGGUACGUAGAUAAGGUCUCUAUGAAUCUAGCACUCUCGACAUCUUUAAACAAACUGGCAAUAAUCUGUCUUCAUAGUCAACCAGAAAUAGUCGGUCUUCAUGACCUUACAAGCUAAUAUAUGUCCUCCCAUAAGUGGUCCACAAACUCCCACAUGAACCUCUCUCAUCACUCAAUCGGUAGAGGCGUGGUGAAAACACAAUAGUAACAUCCCAUCAACUGAUUGUUUGUACAAUGUCUCCCCACGGAUCACAAAACGGGUGGUUAACUAUCUCAAUUCUCUCUUAUCAUUGGUUGUGGCGACCUCAGGAUAUAUGUCAAGUCUCAAAAACUGAUAUAUGUCAUGGCACCAAGGCAAACCAUCAUCCAAAUCUGCCUCAUUAAUCAAGCAACAAUAGGUAGGAACUGAUCUCGACUCAAUCAGUAAAGGGCGAACAACAGUAUCAACGGGAAUAUCAAUCAUGGAAGCUAAAAUAGCUAAGGCAUCAGCAAACUGGUUUUGUGCUCUAGGCAGAUGAGUAUAACUCAAAUCAUCAAAUCUCCCAACCACUAUCUCUAAGUAUGCAUGGUAAGGCUUAAGUUUCACAUCUUUAGUCUUCCAAUGGCCUUGAAUCUAUCUCAAUACCAGAUUGGAGUCACUAAACACCUCCAUCUGUCUAAUCCCGAGCUUAAGAGUUGUCUCUAAUCCCAAGAUACAAGCCUCAUACUCAACAAUAUUGUUCAUGGCAAGGUGUCGACCAAAGAAUGCCAAACGAACAAAUCUAGGAAUGUGGUCACCGUGAUGGGAUAUUAGUAGAACACCUAUCCCGUAUCCAGAAUUGUUGGCCGCACCAUCAAAGUAGUCACUGCAGCGAUAUCCUCAUCUAGAAAGUCAUCAUCAAUAGCUCUACCAUCAGAAAAAACUAGUAAUGAGGCUAAGUGAUCUACAACAAUGCUCCAUCUGAUAGACUUUUGAGUGACAUAAUGAAUAUCAAACUCAAUCAGGAGUACCAACCAUCUCAUGAGUCGAUCAAUCAAAGCAAGCCUGUCAAACAAAUAUCUCAGAGGAUCUAGACAAGAUAUCAAGUGCACUGAAUACUCCGUCAUGUAAUGUCUCAAUCUCUUAGUAGCCCAAACCAACGCCAAACAGAAGCGUUCAAUCAUGACAUAUCUUGUCUCAUAAUCAAGCAUCCUCUUACUCAAAUAAUAAAUAGCUCGCUCAUUUCCAGAAUCAUUGAGCUGAGCUAGCAUGCAUCCCAAGGCUAUAUCUAAGACUAACAAGUAUAGGAAUAAGGGACGACCUGGUGUAGGAGGCACCAAGAUUAGAGGCGAAAACAAGUACUCCAUGAUCCUCUCAAAUGCACGCUGACACUCAUCAUCCCAAACAGGAGGUCGACUCUUCCUCAAGAGUAAAAAAAUGGGCUCGCAGAUAUCUGUCAAUCUGGCGAUGAAUCUACUAAUCUAGAGUCUACCUAAAAAACCUUUGAUCUCUCUCUCAGUCCUCGGCGCAGGCAUGUCAAGGAUGGCUCUGAUCUUAUCUGGAUCUAUUUCUAUGCCUCUCUCACUGACCAUGUAUCCCAGAAGUCACUCCAAAAGUGCACUUCUUGGGAUUCAGUCCUAAUCUGAACUGUCUGAUCAUAUCAAAGAAUCUCUUUAAAGCUACUAGGUGAUCUACUCUAUCUUGGGAUUUCACUAUCAUGUCGUCUACAUAGACCUCGACAUCCCGAUGCAUCAUGUCAGGGAAAAGGAUAGUCGCUGCUCUUUGAUAAGUAGCUUCUGCAUUCUUCAACCCAAAUGGCAUAAGUAGCAGUAAGUACCCCACUCAGUAAUCAAAGACGACUUCUCCAUGUCCUUUAGAGCCAUCAUAAUCUGACUGUACCCAAAAAAUCCGUCCAUAAAGGACAACAUCGAAUGACCUUUUGUACUAUCAACUAGCAUGUCAAUGUGUGGGAGAGAAAAAUCAUCCUUGGAAUUGAUCUUGUUGAGAUCUCAAAAAUCAACGCAGACUCUCACCUUGCCAUCCUUUUUGGGAAUAGGGACGACAUUGGCCAACCACUCAGGAUACUCAACCACUGAUAAGAAUCCCACACUAAGUUGCUUCUGAAUUUCUUCUUUCACCUGCAGACUCCAACGAGGAUGCAAUCACCUUAACUUCUGCUUAAUCGGUUUAGCAAGGGGCAGUAGUGGCAAGUAAUGCUGGACUAUGGAUAGAUCAAGGCUAGAUAUGUCCUCAUAAGACUCUGCAAGUGAUGUUGGACUAUGGAUGGAUCAAGGCCAGACAUGUCCUCAUAAGACCAUGCAAAGACAUCCAAAUAUGAUAUGAGUAACUGGACAAGGCCACCACUCUCAUCUGUAAACAAAUCCAAUCCAAUCCUCAGCUCCCUAGGAUGGUCUUUUGUGCCAAAAUCAACAAUCUCAACGUCUCCUGUGGUAGGUGAAACUCUCUGAUCACUAGGACUCAAAUUAGAAGCAGAAGAAGAGUCUGCAUCUGAAUCGUGAUGUACAAUCUCAUCAUCUAUAUCAAAUAUUUGUGAUGUGGGUGAAUGAGGUGCAGAUAAAGUGUUAUCACAAGAAAUAGGAAAAUACUCAAAAAGACUCAUAUCCAUAUAUGAAGAAAGAGUCAGUAGAUCAUCAGAAUGGGAGACAAACCCAGACAACAUAUCAGAAGAAAGUGGUGGGUCCACAUGUUUGGACUCUACCAUGACUGGGCUAUUCACACCCAUAAAUACAUCAUCAUUAACUAUAUCAUCCUCUGAAAACUCCAGAGUAGGAGCAAUCUGGGUCUCCUCAGCAACCUCCAUGGCGGACACCCCAAAUAGAUCAAAUGGAGAAGCAAACUCAGGUUGGACUAUCCCAUCAAUCUGACUCAUACUCAUCGCGAGCAUCUCAUCAAUGUAUUUGUCGUGUGGAACAACUCCAUCCACCAUGUCCCUAAUCUCAGCAAAUGUCCCAUGCUCGUCGACCUCAUCCGAGAAAUAGAGUGUCAUGAGGCUCAUAUGAUCUGGAGAUGAUGGGGUGGCUAAUGCAGAAGCAGAAGUGCCAGGAGCUCCAUCACUCAACCGUAGCUGAUGAACAAGACGCUGAAGCUCAACCUCUUGAAUAGUGUUGAAUCCAUCAAUAAUCCCACUUGAAUGCGUCUAUGGCUUCGAUGCCCUCACAAAGUAGUCCGCCAAGCUCAUGUUGUAUGAGCAAAUAGGAUAGUCAAAUGGUGUGUGAGUCAAUCGGGCUCUCACUCUCUCCUUGCGCAAUCACAACAUAUAUCAAUAAUCGGCCUCAAUAGGAAUAAACCUAACUCCAAAUGGUACAUCAUGAUCAACGAUAGUUAUAAGCUCAUUGGGCCCAUGUUGACGUCGCCCUAAUCCCAUGCUCGGCAGAAAAGACAUGCUCCUCAUCAUGUCAAGCACCACUAUACUACCGUGCUGAUCAAAUGACAUAGCCACAAAGUCCCUACAAAAAUCCUCAAUCUCCAGAGUCUACACAUCAUCAAAUGUGAACCCAGUAAAAAACAAAUCAUCCUCAUUGUGACUAAUCUGAAGCAUUGGCUUGGAAGAAGCAAACAUAUCUCCAAUAGACUGCACCGUGAUGACCUAGCCAUCAUGAAUGAACUUCACCUUCUGAUAAAGGGAAGAAGGAAUGGCCCCAGCUCUAUGAAUCCAAGGUCGGCCAAUAGUAGGUUAAAAGAUGUAGAAAUCCUCAAAACCUGGAAUAGAGUAGGAAAUGUAGUCGGACCUAUCAAUAGCUCGAUCUCCAAAGUGCCCAUGACCUCCCUCUUAAUGCUAUCAUAUGCUCUGACUUUCUGAGUAGAGGGACCAAAGUUUGAGGACGCAUAGCCGAGGGCAAUGACAUAAGCUAAGGGAUAGACGUUCAAGGUUGGGCCAUCGUCCAAAAUGACAUAUGGGACUCGGUGGCCUGAAAAACCAACUGAGAUGUAUAGAGGACAUGUAUAGUUUGAACCCUCGAGUGGCAAAUCAUCAUCUAAAAAUAUAAUGCAAGUGGCUCUGCUAGCCGUCAUCAUGUGAAUCAACCCCUCGAGAAUAGUGGUAGUCUCUGAUUACUACUCAAAAAGUGCUAUUUGAUAGCCUUUAAUUAAUCCUUUUUAACACUUUUGAGUAGUAGUUUAGGCCUUUUAACUCAAUUGGCAUGUUAAUGAUCCUUUAAAGCAAUUUUGAUCACUUUGUGUAAGUUUUGGUGUUUUUGUUAGUAUUUUGAUCACCAAAGCAAGUCAAGACUGAGGAGAGCUAUGAGGAAUCGUGGGCAAAGCUUAGAAUCCAAUUGCCAAGAGUGAAUCCAGAUUGCAAGGAGAAAAAGCAAAGAGAAUCUGCCAUGAAGCCUAUUCUUGAUGACAGUUGUAGCAGCCACUUUUUGAGCACUUUCUGAAGUCCAAAUGAUACAUGCUAUAUACCAUUUCAAAGCUCAGGAAGUCAACAAUCCAAUGCUUCAAACGGUGCGCGAUUCGGAGUUGAAACGAAGAAGUUGCAGCCAUUACAAGUCAAUCACUCUAAAGUGUUGCGGAAUCAGCCUUUUGUUGCGAGAAUUUCGCAGCACUUUUGUACAGUAAGGUGUUUCUCCUUCUGACGAUGCACGAACCAUGCCGCGAGAAGGGAGCUGGAAACCUCAAGGUGGAAGCCAACUUCGCAGCCCUGUGAAGAUAGCUCGGUCUUGCAAAAUAAUUUCGCAGCCCUCUUGGAUGUCUGCGAAAUUUCGCAGACACCAUUUUACUCCUACGAAAUGGCUCCUGAAGCCUCCCGAAGCUUGCUACCGACAUUGGGAGAUAUUUUCCAUUAGAUUUUUGUUGUCUAAAUCCCAAAAUACUCCUUGUAAACCACCAAUUACAUGAUUCCUUAGUUUUUAAGUUAGUAAAAAGACCAAAUAUCUUGGUAACAAUUAGUUUUAUAUUGUUUUGAUAUAUAUACCUCUCGGGAGCCUGUUCUCAUAGAGGAGUUCCUUCUGUAACCAUUUGGUAAGGAAGUAAAGGUCUUUUCUUUCUACUGCCUUACCUUCUCACUUUGUAUUUUCAUUUUCUUACUAAGUUAUGAAUUCUCUGAGGAGUUUUCCCCAGAGAAUGAGUAACUAAACCUCCAAUUCCUUGGAGCUAAGGUUGCCAGGGAAGGUUCCAAAUGCAAGAAUGCAAAGCUCUGUGGUUUUAGCUAAUAAUGAAGAGGAAGUGAAAUCCUUUAGUGAUUUCAAUGUUUUUAGUUAACUUAAAACACCUUGGAGUCACCUAGGCCAACACUUGGUAAGGCAAGUGAUUUCCAACCAUGGAAAUGCACUAGUUUACCCCUUGCGAGCCUCUGGUAGGUGACUUUAAGGUAGGAUUUUCUGGAAUUACCAACACUUGGUAAGCUUUUGGACUCUUAGGAGACAUCCAUUAGUUAUCUCUUGCGAGUUUGUGAAGGGAAGUCCAAGGUUAAAGAUCACCUUGAAUGGUAAGUGCUCGUGAGAGGCAUGAACCAUUGCAAGUUGCAUCAGUGAGAGAAUUAAAGUGAAAUCUAAUUGAAGGAGUCUCUAUACAUCACCGGUUAGAGAAUUAACUAUAAGUUGAAUCUUUAAUGCGAGGAAAUGAACCAUCUGACCGGAGCUAUGUCUUUUGCAUGAGGAACCACCCCAGUGAACCUAAAUCUCCAAGGAAUGCUUUUCUUCCUAAAUUAUUCCAAACUUCUGUUAAGUUAGUUAGUUUAAAUCUCAACCUUUACAAAUCAAAGUUUGUGUUUUAUUUCUUAAGCUAACCGUGAAAUGAAACAAGACCAAUUCACUUGGAAUUGGUAUCAUUGAUUGCUUGCAAAUCAUUCCCAGUGAACGAUCCUAGAGCCACUAUACUAUAGUAGCUUUUUAUUUGCUACCCUAGUGUAUGGUGUUAUAGGUAUAAAUUUUGUUGAUCACUUCCUCAAUCAAGGAGCACCAGCUGAACACAAAUCAGCUGAGACACCAAUUGGGCAUGAAUCAGUCUCGACUCUAAUCUAACUCAAGGAUCAAAUCAAUGCAUCUUUAUGAGUGCUAGAAGAUGCCAAUAAGCUCCAAAUAGAUAUACAAGUCUGGGUACUCUACAACUGUCUCAGAAUAUCAUCAUCAUCUCUCCUGACCUCCUCAUGAGAGGCUGCACCCUCCAAGGGUCUAGCGGUUAUGAGGGGUUGUUGUCAUACUACCUUACCUCUGUGAAUAACAUAUUAUAUAUCUGGAGUAUGAACAUCAUCAACAUAUGGAGUAUGUACCUCAUCAACGUCUGGAAUCAAAACAAACGGAGUCUGAACACUAUUACAUGGAAAAAUCAAUGGCUCGACUAUAGUCGACUGUACUGAUGUCACAUCGGGAACCAAUCUGAAUAGUGUGGGCAUCCAUGGGCCCAAGGUCAUUCUACCUACCUCAUAAAUCCCAUCUACUACUAUAAGCUCUAGCACUGACUCAUCCCAACUCAGCAUGUGGAUAUGAUCUUAUGGCUUAGUGAAAUCCAUGAAAUGUAUACCGUUGGCUAGCAGAGAUACUGCAUGUGAAGUAUAAGCUGGCAGAGGGUUAGUGGUUACACUUGGCUAACCCAAGUGAACCAAACCCUAAUCUAUCAAGUCCUCGAUGGCGUGCCUCAAAGCAGUGCAAUGGUCCGUGUCAUGCCUUAGACCUUAAUGGUAAGAACAAUGUAAAUCCAUCCUGAAGCGAUGUGGCAUGAGUUGAGGUAUAUGCCAAGGAGCUAACUGAGUCAACAAACCACCCUCCAUGAGCUUCUAGAAAGCUCGGUUCAAAGGCAUACCUAGCUGGGAGAACUAUUGUGUCAACCUUUGUACAAAAGAAAUAAUAGUCUGUGGGGCUCGGGGCUGAGGGUAUAAAGUAGGAGGUCUCUCUAUGACAUGUGCAACAAAAACAGGUUAUGAGACCGGAUGUAGAUAAGUAUGAGUCAUAGGUUUGGAGGAAACAGGUGGCCUAUACUGCACAUGAGGUGGUGAUGGGUAGUAGAAUCCAAAAGGCUGCCCAACUGUCUGAUAGUAUCUAGAAGGUCUCAACCCUGUUGAACUGAUAGCACUCACAUCUUUUAGUCUCUGUUCUCCUAAAGGCUUCUUUCCCUAAGAGUUAGUAGGGGAAGACUCGGACCAUAAUCCUCUAGUUAUGUCCUCCUCUAUACCAUAUAAAUCCUGUACCAAAGAUCCAAAAUCCGUAUGAGGAAAUCCCAUCAAGUGCCUAGCAAAUCAAGGCUGCAAGCUCCUCAUGAUCAUACUAAUCUGAUCAUUCUCUGAAGGAUGAUCAAUAACCUGUGAAAUCUUCUCUCUUUAGCGGGAGAUAAAUGAGGUGACUGACUCCUCUAGCCUUUAUCUCAAAGUCUCAACUCUCUCCUCAAAACAUCAAUGACAAUGUUAAAUGCAAACUGUCUCAAGAACUUCUAGGCCAAAUCAUCCCAAGUUCGGCGGCAUGAUACAUCCAAUGAAGCAAACCAACGUUGUGCCACACCACUCAGGGAUAUAGGAAAAAACAUAACCAUCUGGGCCUCAUCCAAUCCAUGGGCUCUCAUAACUGUAUUAGAAAGCCUCAAAUGGAUGCGAGGAAAGCCAAUGUCCAUGUAUCUCUCAAUCUUAGACAUCCUAAACUUGGUCGAUAAACUGGCCACUGGUGCUCCAUUAAAAUCCUCCCAAGUAAUAGCUCCAUCUGAAGUCUUCAUCUGUCUCAUCCUCUGCUCAAGUCUAUCCAUACGAGCAUAUGGGUCCUCUAAGAUCGGGGUAGGCACUAUGACAGGAGACAAGGCAACCUCAGUCUGACUUUAUAAAGUAAAUGAUAUAGGUUGUGAAACUAUCUGACCAAGUGGGAGAGGUGGCGGAAUAGUGGGAUCAUACUGCACACUCUCCUGAAAUGAAACCUUUUGGGUUUGCUACCCAUCCAUCAUUUGAUCAAGACUAGUUAUGGCCUCCUGGAUCGAAGCCAUAGCAGCAACGAACUUAUCAAAUGUAACCACCUACGAAUCCAUAUCUGCCUGAUCUAACUGGUCUGACACUCUGAUCAAUCUACCUUUAACUAUGAUCUAAGAAGCUGAACCCAGAUCAAACGUAUCAAUACACCUACAAUAGUGGAAAUAUUAGAUAAGAUAUUGUGUAAGGGAAACUCUACAAGGAGUGUCUAUCAACUAUGCAAGAAGGUAACCUGGAAGUAUUCAAAGUGAUAUCUAAUUCUGAGCAAAUAUAUAAGAGACUACUAUGAAGGUAACUAAAUUUAUCACUACUGACCCGGCUCUGAAGGCCCAUAGAUGCACCCAUGUGUGGGAAAGGAAAUUCUGAUCGAAUAAUCUAAGGCUCAACCUAUAAGGUCAAGGUGGCUCUAAAAAAAAAAUGGACUUUAAAGGAUCCCUAGCAGAAGCGAUCAUACCCUUCGACGGUAUGCAACCCUCUGCACGCCUUUGAAAAGACGAGGCACUUCCAUGCAAGGUGGUCAUCACCUCUACACAUGCACUACCUCGACAUCCUAAGGGGGUUUGCUAUAGUGAAAGCUCUCAUAACUCUCAGCACUCAAUAGUCAACUAAAGUGCAUAGUGAGUGGUGCAGGUGCAUCCGAAAAACCUAUGAAGCUAAAGUAGAAAAAAAACACAUUAGUCACACAAAUAUCCAUGAAACCUAGCUUUAGGCUAUUCAGGUCUUCAAAGAUCGGACUCCAAUCAACAUCAAUGUGUCAGCCUCCUCAAGAAUGCUCCUAAACAUCAAUAUAGCCCAUCGCUAGACCUUACUCCUAACCACUAGCUCGGUCAUAGAAACAAGUACACACAAGGCCUCACACUUGCAAAUAUAAGAACCGAAAUGAAGGAAAUGACCGAAACCAAAGGGUUGGAGGUAAGGGGAUAGAUGUGCGAUCCACACGGACAAACAACAUACAAUCACAUAGGAGAAGAUUAGUUAUGCAACAAGAAGUCAAGCAGAGCGCAAGUAUAUCAUCCAUGUCCAUACACAAGCCAAACGAAAAUAUGACAAUCAAAAUGACUAGCAACAAGGAUAGCAUGCUCAAAUAUAAUCAAGAUAACAUACAAGCAAGAUAAUCAACACUAAGACAAAUAAGAGAUGCAGCAAAGUGAACAUACAUGUCAAAGUGAGUAGGAUAAUCAAGGCAAGAGCAAGAUCGAUCAAUAUCAUCAGCAUGCCAAUGUCGCAAAGGGAUAUAACAAUUAAGCAUAGAAAAUCGUUGCAUCAAAAUCCUCAAUGUGCUAUGAUCACUCAAGCAUUGAAAAUUGUAAUUUUGAAAAAUUAUUUGAAAAUUGGAGUUUUGAAAAUUAAAUUUAAAAAUUAGAAUUUUGGAAAAUUAAAUUUAAGAAUUGGAAUUUUGGAAAUUAAAUUUGAAAGAAAUUGGAGUUUUGAAAAUUAAUUGAGAAUUGGAGUUUUGAAAGUUAGUUUUAAGAAUUGGAGUUUUGAAAAUUAAUUUUGAAAGAAAUUGGGGUUUUGAAAAUUAAUUGAAAAUCGGAGUUUUAAAAAUUAAAUUUAAGAAUUGGAGUUUUGAAAAUUAAUUUUGAAAGAAAUUGGAGUUUUGAAAAUUAAUUGAGAAUUGGAGUUUUGAAAAUUAGUUUUAAGAAUUAGAGUUUUGGAAAUUAAAUUUAAGAAUUUGAAUUUUGGAAAUUAUUUGAAAAUGGAAGUUUUAAAAAUUAAAUUUGAAAAUUAGAAUUUCAAAAAAUUAUUUGAAAAUUACAUUUAAGAAUUGGAAUUUUUUUAAAACAGAAGUUUUGAAAAUUAAAUAUGAAAAUCGGAAUUUCGAAAAAUUAUUUGAGAAUGGAAUUUUUAAAAGAUCAAUUUUUUUAACAUAAAAAGAUGGAUUAGGAGGGUGACAUGUGGCCUAGGAAGUUGUAUUGGAAGGUGGCCAUGCAUGGCCAAACACUUCAACGUAUAUUUUACAUACAAUAUCAAAUUCAAAUUAAGCUUGCGAGACCCUCAUUCCAAAUUUCAUUUCUCCAUGUGUUCAUCCUUAUUCUCAACUUUAUUUGUUAUCUCAAAUAUAGUAGCAGCAAACCCAUUUUCCAUCAACCCACUCCAUGUGAAAUACAGUAACAACAAACCUAUUUUCCAUCAACCUAGUCCAUGUGAAAUACAUACAGUAGAAAAAAACCUAUUUUCCAUCAACCCACUCCAUGUGAAAUAUAGUAGCAAAAAACCUAUUUUCCAUCAACCCACUCCAUGUGGGGCCUUAGGUCCAAGUGAAUGAACUCAUUUUCCAUGAAUCAAACUAUUUUUUGUAGCACUAGUAACUAUUAAAAAAAAGUCCAAUCGUGCAUGGGGGCCACCAGGAUGGAGAGCCAUUUCAGUGCCUGCAAGGUUUUGAACCUACUAUGCUUAAGGAUUGGCAAUGGGAAGACAAUUCAAAUUGGUGUAUGAGUAUAAUGGAUGUGAUGAAUGGGAAUAUGAGUGAUGGAGCAUGCACCUAGGGAAAGUUAUUAAUGGCGGGUAUGAAAUAUGGGAAUAUGUGUGGUGGAGCAAAUAAGGAGUGGAGAAUGAAACCUGGUAGUGUUGAGGAACUGGACCUGAGUAGUGUCGGGUAGAAAAUAUGGAGCUGGGUUGGGUAAAACUGAAGAAUGUUAGGCUUGGGAUUUGGGUCUAAUAGAUAGGCUUUGAUAGAGGUUUUGCAAAGGUGGCCAUACAGGAGUUAUUCACAUGCUUAUGAAUGGUGGGGGAAGAAAACUCAGACCAGAUUUGAAAAUAAGAACAUAAAUAUGAUCUCCAAUGCAUAAAAUAGCUUAAAUUAAAUCAAAUUAUUCCCAAGCCAAAAGCCAAAGUAUAAAUAAAUAAACCAACAACAGCACACCUAUGAAUGGCUCAGAAAUCCAAUAAAUUCAAACACAUUACCUAAUGUUCAUGCUUAGCAAACAAUCCACAAAAAAGAAAAUAACAAAAAGGAAGAAGAGCAUAUUAUGGUGAAGCAGAAUCAAACCUAAGCAAGUCCUCUCACUCUUUCUGUUUUUCUCUCUUAGAUACCGACUCUCUGUUUUUUCUUUUUUUCACUCAAGCUCUCUUCCUCAAGCUCCGUUUUCAGCUUGUUUUUCUUCCCCUUCCAACUUUAAAAAAAACCUCUCCUUGCUCCUCUUUCUUCCUCCCAACGGCCACCUCUUGCUCUUGCUAAAAAAACCUCAUUUUCCAAAAUAUUUAAAAAUAAAAAAUAAAACAAUUAUUAAUAUAAGUUGACAAACUAAAAUUGUUCCAAAAUGACUCUCCUCUACACAUAUCUAUAUUAUUUUAAAAUUUGUUAUUAAGCAAAUAGAUUUAAAAUCAAGCAAGACUUAAAAUGUUGAAUUUAUUAAUGAAUUUAAUUGUUUUUAAAAUAAUUUGAAACUUGAAAAUAGAUAAAAUCACUACCAAAAAUAAUAGAUCAAAACUAGUAUAUAAUGAGUCAUAGCUUUAUUGCUUUUUCUAUGUACACAACUAUAUUUUACGAGUUUUAUCACUAAGUAAAUAGAUUUUAAAUUAUGUGAGACUUAAAACUUUAAAUUCUUUAAUGAACCUUCUAAAUUUUAAGGAUAAUUUGAAAUUUAAAAAUUUGAUCAAAUUAAUUAUAGACUAAAUCAAAACUUGUCCAAAAUAGGUCCAAACUAAAAUACUAAAUAUGUACAUGCAACGGUUUUAAAUAGAAUAUUAUUAACCAUUAUUAUUUUUUAAUUAUUAUUAUUUUUAAAUAAAAAUUAUUAUGCUUUUAUGAAGGUAUUAAUCUCUAUAUUUUUAUAAUAUAUAAUAAAAUAGUAUUAGUUUUUUUAAUAAACAAAAUAUAAUUUAUGAUCUUAAUAUUAGUUUUCAUAUUUUACGAAAAAAAUAUUUAUUUUAAAAUUUUAUUUGUAAUUAAAAAAUUAUUUUUAUUUUUAAUAAGACUUGAAUUAACUUGAAUUAAUAUUAUAAUUGAAUUUAUAAUUUUUUUUCUAAAAUCAAAACAUAAAAACUAUUUAUAAAAACAACUUAUUUAGAUAAGGUUUUUUUUAUUUCUUUGAAAAGUGUUUUUAAAAGAUAACUUGCCAAAUAGUCUUGUCUUUCGAAAAUAUACAAAAUAAAAUAAAAUAAAUUAUUUUUGUUCUUUAACUUAAAAACUGUUUUUAAAAACAAGUAUAAGCAAACAUUAUCAAAGUGAGCCGUUAGUUUUUAGCAAUUAGUUAUUUUUGACAAAGUUUAGUGUUUUCACAUUCAGAAAGUUUAAAGUAAUUUGUUUUCAUUUUAGUUUAAUAUUCUCAUUAGCUUUUUUUUUUUUUUUUUUUUUUUUUUUUACCUUAGAAUUUCUCCAAUUUUAUGCUUAGUAGGUAAAUAGAUUUUGCAGGUAGACUUCAAUGAAUUAAUCAAGCAAUUCAACCUAUGGUAGAAGACAAUUAAGGUCAAAACAACAAUAACAAUCGACCUAUGAUGUCUUUCCAUGAAUACAGAUCAAUGGGAGAGCAUUUGAACCCUCCUCGUCUUAGUACACCUUCAUGCUUCAUCAUGUCGUAGGAUCAUGUGACCAUCAAGCCUCAAUUGGUGCCUUUACUCUUGAUCUUCAAAGACAAUGGAAAUGAAAACCCUCACACCAAUAUCAAGGAUGUCAAAGAAAUUUGCUUCACCUUUCAAGAAGCAAACAUGCCUCUAGACGCGUUAAUAAGAAUAAAGCUUUUUCCACUUACGUUGAUAGAUCAAGCAAAAACAUGGUUGAACACCCUUGGACCACAAGGCAUUGGGACCUAGAAUAGGUUGCAAUUGAUCUUCCUUAAAAUUUCUUCCUACCACACAAGACUAAUGCAUUGAAAAGGGAAAUGUCAAAUUUUACAACCUGGGAAAACAAUAAAUUUUUCUCAUGUUAAGAGCACUUUAAAUGGAUUUUAAAAGCAUGCCCACAUCAUGUCUUUGAUAAUUACAAGUUGAUUUUCAAAGCAAUGUUAGAGACGAUGUGUGGAGGAAAUUUCAUAAGAGUCUAGAUAAAGCUCCUUCAAUUUCUAGAUUAUGUGGUUGAAGCAACAAAGAGUUAGAUAGAUCAUGUGAUUAAUGAAUCACAAAGAAAGCAAAGUUCCAAAAAAAUUGAAAGUUUGUGAUAUCUUCAACUUGUUUGAAAGCAUGGAUUUUCAAUUAAAUAUUUCUACCUUAACUAGGAGAUUAGAAGACUUGGAGACCAAAGGAGUCUAAGAGGUCAAAGCAAUGAAUAAGUUAAGAGUGAUGAGAUGUUUGAUAUGCUAGUUAAAGGAGCACGAGAUUACAAGUUGUCCAACACUUCUAGUAGUGAGGCACAUGUUCUCAAAGUUGGCCAACACUUUUGAUUCAUUCAAAUAGAAUAGUAAAACUCUCCAUUCUCCAACACCUAUAAUCUAGUUUAGAUUAAUCAUCUUAACUUAUCUUGGAGAUGGAGUAGUCAAUUUCGUUAGCAAAAUCAUCCUAUGAACCAACAUUCAAAAUGCUUAAUAUCCCUAAUUAAUGAAAGUAAAUUACACACAAUAGAUAAGUUGUGAUUACUCAAUAUAAGGUUGGGUGAUAGUUGUAUUUUCCAACACAAAAUGAUGUAAUUGCAAUAACAAUUUAUGGUCGACAAUGGCCACACAAGCCCCAAGUAAAGGCUUCCCACCUUUGCAUUCAUCAUUCCCAACAUUAGGAAUUCUAAUUGCAUCUAUGCUUGAUAGGUACUCUAUGCAAAACUCUAAAGCUUCCUUUGUAUCAUGGCAUUCAACAAAACAUCCCUCUCAGCAAUUAUGAUUUUGUACAUAACCCUUUAAUACCUUCAUAACCUUUCAAAAGAAUACAUCCAUCUAAGGUAAACUGGCCUACAUGAUCUCAUUUUACUUGUCAAGUGCAUUAUUUAAUGAAGUAUAAUGUCAAAAAAUGAAGGUGGAAUUUUUUUUUCAAGUAAGCAUAAUAUCACCACCAACUCAUCUUAUAGUCUAUCCAAUUUAAACACAUAGACUACUUUGCUACAUGAGGCAUUGAAAAAUAAGCAUAAUCUAGAUAUAGUGUCUCACAUGCUUAAUUAGAAUAUAUUGUAAUUCUACUAGUAAUAUGUUGCAUGAGUGCAUGAUAAUCAUGGGAUUUAAGACCAUAAAGCUUCAACUUUUCCAUUGACACAAGUUUUAUGAAGUUAGAGGACUAUCCUUCAAGGACUUUCAAGUCAGCUAAGGUUUGAUAUACCACUUUUUUCUCUAUCCUAGAAAGUGUGUAGCAUGUAGGUGGGAGGCAAGUAUGAUUUAAGUCAAAUUUUCGUGCCAAUUCAAACCUUAUGCCCAUCUCUCCAUAAGAUCCAACCCAGAAUUGAGUUCAUCUUUUAUUUUUCCUGGAAUGUUAACCAAGGUGCCAAUGAUGCUUUCGCACACAUUUUUCUCAACCAAUAUUCUAAUUUGUAAUCGACAUACAAAUGUUACCAAUAUUCUAGAUCAAAGAAUAUGGGCAUCUUUUUCCAACAACUUAUAGUAUUCACACUAGAAGUACUUGCUUUAACCUUCUUUUUUUCCCCAUGAUUAAAAAUGGAAUCAACUUCUUCUAGUAUUUCCUCUCUAGUUAAUGGUUAUGGAGGUAGCCCAAACUCUUGCUAACCAUUGAAUGCCUUCUUUUGUUUCCUAUAAGGAUGGUUAUAUGGAAGAAACCAUUUAUAACCUAUAAACGAGUUUUUCUUCCCAUGUUUCGAUCUACAAGAAUAUGUUUCUUUCCCACAUAUUGGUAAGCAUAAUUUCCCUUAACAUGAACAACUCUCGUUAAUGUGCAUCAUAUACUUUGACUCUUACCUCCCAAAGAGUUUUAAGAGCUUCCACCAACAGUGCCAAGUAAACAUCUAUGUAAUUUCUAGGUUAUCAUGGAUUUGAUAUCAAUAAUGAUAACAUCAUAAAUUUCUAUUUCAUGCACAACCAUGGUGGAAGGUUACAUGUGAUCAUUAUAUAUAAUUGACUAAAUACUAUGACAACUACUAAGAGAAUUGUGAGGAUUUAUGCCAUCUAUUAAAAUAGCAAGUCUAAGUUUUCUAGUCUCAGAAACAAACCUGGGCCAUAAAUGGUCAACUAGCUUCCAUGAUGAAGAAUCAAAUGAGUAAUGCAAAUUCCCAUCAAAUUUUAUUUCUUGGGCAUGCCAUGUGAGAUUUUUUUUACUAUUUGUGAGGAUUGGAAUGUUUUUUUAAACCUUGAGAUAGGUGGUAAAUACCACAAGACUUUUGCAGGAACACUUAUUCUCCUUUUGUUUCCUUUUUUAUUUACCUUCUACCUUGAUGUUCCAAAAGUACGACAUAAUGAUACAUUUUUAUGCUUAUUUCUGUAAAGGAUACAAUCAUUAGUGCAAACAUGUAUUUUUUCAUAUUCCAUUCUCAAUGCUAAGGUUUUUUUUUUUUUUUUUUUUGCUUCAUACAUGCAUUUCAUUGUUGAUUGGGAGUGAUACACUCUAAAAAACUUUUGUCAAACCACACAUAUCUUACUAUCAAGUUAUACAAUUUUACCAAUGCAGAUAACUUUAUAAACUUUGAACAAGCAGGAUAUAAAGGUUUUUUAUCAUCUUCAAGUAUUCUUUUAAAUGAUUAGGGAUCCUUCAUAUGAUCAUCUUGUGCAGCAUAGACCAUCUAAAUGGUAUUGUCUAAAUCAUCACAAUUAAGUUGAUCAUAAUGAUAUCCUUCAUAGUUGUUGCUUCCUUACUAAGAACUACCUCUCCAUGCUAAUAUCGUGUGCAGUAACUUUGAUUAAUUCCAUUGAAAUAUAAGUGUUCUCUAAUCACUUGAGGAGUAUGGUUCAUUAAGUUGCUACAAUGUAGGCAUGGACAUAUAAUAUAGUUCAAAUCUCUAGCAUUUAGACUUAUAAAUUGAAUAAAGCUUUCAACCCCUUCUUCAUACUUUUGUGAUCUUCUAUCCUUAAACUACAUCCAAGAUCAAUCCAUUUUUGGGUUGAUUCAACUAAAUUCCUAUAUAACACAAGUUGCAUGAUUUAUUAAUUAUUAAUUCCUAAACCAAACAAGGAUAUAAAUUGAGCUAUACAACUAAUAAAUAAAGUAUUAAAAAACAAAAUGGCAUCAUAAUUGUACCUAUAUUAUAGCACAUGCAACCACCUACAUAUGUUCAAUCUUAAACACUUUAUGUUACUUCAUUCAAAAUAAAUUAAAUAAAUGCAUAACUUCAUUUAGUAGCAUGCAAUGAAUUAUCAAUAGAACAUAUGGGGAUAAUACCAUAACUAGUAUUAGUGAUAAAUCAUAUCCCAUGAUAAUCCAGUAUGCAAUAUAAAUACUAAAACAAGAUAGGAAGACUAAGAACUUAACUAAUUUAGCAUCAUACAACUAAAUCUAAAGUACCCAAUUUUAUUGUGUUCACUAAAAGAAAGAAACAGUAGAAUAUUAAUUUACUUUGCUAUUCUAUAUGAUCCAAGUAUAUAUAGUAUAUCAAAUCCUCAAGUAUGAACUCUCACUACAAGAAAUAAGUUUUUAUUACUUGGAUUCUCAAAAUUAAGAUACUAUUAAUGUAUAUAGAUUCCAUGAAAAUCCUUGUCUUCACAAGGUUGGAAUUUCUAUCCCAUCUAAGAAUUGUAUGUUUUUAAAAUAUUACACAAAGAAGCAAAAUUUAAAAUUGUCAUGAAAAUUUCAACAACAUUUCUAUACUAUUCUCGUAGAUGAGCCCAAAUUCUCAAUGAAAAUCCUUAAUGUUUUUUAAGUAACUUUGUAAAUUUGGAAUGGCUAAAUGUAGUUUCUAUAUUUUUAUCUACUAGAAGCCUUAAGUUAUAAAAUUGAACUAAUAAAUGGGUUAGGUCAUGAUUGGGAAGCUUGUUUUAGAUCUACCAUCUAUAUUAUUUUAUUUUAAUGGAGCCCAAACUAAAUAGGGAACCCAACCAUCUACCACAAUACCAUGUCAUUUUACUAAUAUGGCCUUUGUUUAUUGGUCAAAUUGGGUCCUAUUUGUUUGUACAAAUUGACACUAUAUGUGGAGUGCAGUGUUCAAUAGUUGGUGAUCCAUUUCAUGAUUUUAAAAAAAAGAAUUUGUUUGUUGAUAAAACAACAACCACCCACCACCCAUUCAACUAACAAGAUUUAAGAUUAUUGUUUCUUUCCUAUGGGUGAUAAUAAAAAUAAAAAAAAUUAAGCCCUAAUACAAUGAAAAUAGAAAAAAAGAUUGAAUAGUUUGAUUUUAAGAAACUAUUAAAGUUUUGAUGAGGUGGAUCGAUUUGUUCGAGUUGACACUAAGAAGGCUAUUUUAUUUUAUUAAACAAAAUGAUGAAAAUUACUAUUGGAAUUCACCAAUUAAUCAAUUCUUCAACUACCACAAUGAUUCCCAAACAAUAGACAAAUCCUAAGUCUAAAGGUACCAUUAUGUCAUCUAAAAAUCCAAAAUAUUUAUCCAAACCUAAACUCUAAAACCCAAUGUGUUUCAAACCUCAUCUUAGUAGGAUUUUUUUUAAACAUUAUUUAAAAAAAUUAAAAUUAAAGCAUUGUUGUUUAAAAAAUAAAUUAAAAAAUACAACACUUUUCAUCACUUGUUUUAUUUUUGCACUAAACUCGUAUUUGUUCAAGAGGCGAAAUGACUUUUUAUAUUGAAUUGAAAGACGAGUUCACUUUUCACCUUAAAUUUUUCUAUAUAGAACUUGCUUUUUCAAAAGAUAAGUUCACUUUUCCAAUGUUGAACUCGUCUUUUGAAAAAUACAAGUUCACUUGAAAUCUAAAAAUGUGAUAGUUUAAAAAAAAAAAAAAAUUGGUGGUACGACCUUUUAAAAAAGUACACUACUCUUGUAGAAAGCCCUAUCUCAAUACUCCUUUGACGACUACUAGACUCAAUAGAGUGUGACUUGGUAUAUCAUUUUACAUGCAAUGUUAGAUUUCUUUUUUUUUUUUCUUUUUUUUUUUUGGUUUUCAUAUUCUCAUAAACCAAAAAUGGAAACUAAUGAAUAAAAAUAAAAAUUAAAGAAAAAAAAAAGAAUUUAAAAUAUAUAUCAAGAAAGAAAGAUAUUCACCUAUUUCUUGCAACAUAAGUUCCUCUAAGUAAAAUGAUAAGGUUGCCACUAUGGUUUAAUCUCAGGAGGUUUAAGAGCACACAUCUUGGGGGAAGGUUUGAGAGCACAUCUUCAAUACAGGAAGGUUUGAGAGCACAUCUUUAAUAGGGGAAGGUUUGAGAGCACAUCUUCAAUAGGAGGAGGUUUGGGAACACAUCUUUGGUGGGAAAAUAAGAUUGAUAACUUCUUCUUUUUUAAAUAUAUACUACUAUUAAAAAUGUGAGGUGUUUGUCAAUUUUUUCAUUCCAAAAAUGUCUGACAACUUACCUUUUAAUUCUAAAAAUACUUCUCAACAAUUUAUUAAUAACAAUAUAUUAAUAUUUAAUGUUACAAAAUGUAUUCUAUUAUCAUAAUCUAUUAGUAUCAAAUGACAUUAUACAUUUUAUUCUCUUUAGAACCUAUAAUAUUCUUUGACUCUUGAUGAUGUGCCUAAGCCCCAUAUUUUCAAUGCCCGCAUAAGCCUUUUCUAUCAUUUUCUCCUCUCCAUGGUCACAACAGCUUCUUCUUCAAGCUUUUAGAUUUCUUUGCAAAAUUGCCAUCGUAACAUUCCUCUUCGCCACAAAUGGCAGUCAAUUCAAGACUAUGUAUAGAGUUAUGGUCAUGGUUCUGGAAGGUUUGGAUUGAUGAAAGUGUUAUGUUAGGGACAAGAGAGAGCUUCAAUGAAAUGUAAUGUUUUUGGGAAAGCUAAGAAUGGCAAUGGUGGCAAAGAAGGUGUUCCUGAAAAGAACAAACAGUUUGUGUGGUGGUUUCAGGAGGCGUGGUUGUAUUUUCACAUUCAUAGGGGUGACACGUUUGUUGUCAUAAUUUUUGGUGAAAUUGUUGUCAAUUCUUACUUGGAACCCAUACUGAAGGCACAUUUUCUAUGAAUUUCUUUUCCUUUGUUAAUUUAGUUUGGAUGAAUAAAUUGUUAUUGUGUUUCAUAAAAGCAAUAUGGAGGGUUGGUUUGGAUAGUGGUGAUACUCCACAUUCAGAUAUGUUUUCCUUUUGUAUUUUGGAAACUAACGAAUCAUAACAUGCUUAUUGGUGAAAGGAGAUUGUUGUUUAUUCCAUAUUUGUUUAAAGAGAAUGAAUUGUGUUUGUGGAGUUGACAAUUGAAGAUAUUGACUUCCAAAUAGUUUUAGAGAAUUGGUCAAAUAAAUCUCUGAUAAAUAUUUUUUUUAAUGAAUUUACAACUUAUCUAAGUAGUUUAUCGCAUUGAUGGUAUCUAUGUAUAUCAAUUAUUUGUGUUCUAAUUUAUUGUGAUUCUAUCUCUUGUGUUAUUAAUCAUUUGGGUUAUUGGAUUUUCAUGUUUUGGUUUUUAUCAUUUCCCAUAUUUUUAAUUCAUUGCAUUUUUGUUCAUUGUGAAUGUUAUUUAUUUAUUAUUUUAGCACUCAUUGGGUUUUUUGUGAACACAAUUAGGUCAACUAUUGUUGCCAUUAGUGUUUUUGAUGAUUUUGCUUACAUGUUUAUUAGAGAAAUAUUAGAAUUCAAGGUGUUUGGUACAUUUGAGAGGUAAUCCAAUUUAGUAUGAGAGUAUACCUUUUUUUUUUUAUGAAUCCUGAUUUUUUUUUAUUGGGAUCAAAAUUUGUUACUUACUCUAGAAAUUUAGUAUUUUUGUAAAUACUUUUAAUUUUUCUAAUUAUAUUUUUUUAUAAGUAUUUAUAACUUAAAGGUUUUACUAAAAAGAAAAUGAAGUUAGUAGUUUUAAAUUGAAAUUAGUCUUAUUUCUUAAGGUUUUUUUCCUUUUUCAUUUUUAGCUUAAUUGAAUCUAGAACUUUCUUGUCAAUUAUAAUUCUAAAAGGAGUUUUAGUUACAACCUAUUAAUAUUUAAUGUUACAAAAUGUAUUCAUCCAUUAAUAUCAAUCACAAAAUUUAUUAAUAUUUAAUGUUACCAAAAUCUAUUAAUUAUUCCCUUUAAAAUCACCCUAACAUUAUAAAACAUUAUAAUUAAUAUAUCAUCUAACCAACAAUUAAGAAUUACACCUUCACUCUUCAAAUUUCUUAUGAUGACAGUUUCACUUUUCAUUUCUAAAGUUUGAGAACUUUUUAAAUUUCUGAUAACCUUUUCCUCUUUGAAGAGAAUUAAGAAGUUUUUGUAAAUUGGCACUCCCAAUUUGAAUGAAGUACUAUUUGGUGAGUUAUUAUUUAGUGUUCCGAAUGAUUUUACUUAAAUGUUUGUGUUACUUAUGAGAAUAAUUUGAUUACUUUGUUGAAUUUUAUUUUUAUGAUUUUGAGCUUUUUAAAACAAUACUCAAUUCUUUGAGGAGUUUGUUGGAUGUGAGUUGGAAGAAAAUUGAAAUUUAAGGUAAUUGGUAAAUUUGAGAGGUAACUAAAUUUAGUAUUCAAGUAUACAUUUUUUUGUAAUGAAUUUUAAUUCUUUAUUUUAUAAUUCAAUGUUUAUUAGAAUUGAAGUUUGCUGCUUAUUAUAUAAAUUUAGUAUUUUUGUAAAUACUUUUAAUUUUUAUUAUUUUUAGACAAGUAUUCACAAGUUAAAUCUUUUAAUAAAAAAAAUAAAGUUAAUUGUUUCAAUUGAAAUUUGGGUAAAUGUUUCUAGAGUAUGUUUUUCUUCAUUUUUUGUCUUAUUGGAUCUUAAUUUUAGAAUAAUUAGAACUCUCUAAAAAAUAAAAUCUAUAUAUAUAUUUUUUUUAAUAUAAAUUACCAUUCUAGAGCUAAAUGAAUUUCCUUAUUUUAUAAUUCAAUGUCCAAUAAUAUGCAUAGGAAUUGGACAAUAUAGUUUUUUGUUUUAUAAUCCAAUAUCUAUAAUAAUUGGAAACUACAGUUCUUUAUUUUAUAAUCCAAUGUCUAUGGAAUUAGAGAUUCUUAUUUAUGCUAUAAAUUUAGUAUUUUUACACAUUCUUUUAAUUUGUCUUAUUUUGUUUCUUUUAAAUUUUAUCUUUAACCAAUAUUCACAACUUAAAUCUUAUAAUAGGAAGAGUAAAGUUCCUUAUUUUAAUUGAAAUUGAGGUAAGUGUUUUUCAAGAUUUUUUUUUUAUUUUUCAUUUUUAGUUUAGUUGGAUCUUCACUUUGGGAUAACUAGAAUUUUCUCAUAAUUUUUGUUUGUUUUUUUUUUAUAUAAAUACCAACCACUAUUCUAAAAUGAAUUAAAAAUAACCACAUUUAAAAAUUUGAGAAUGAAAUAUCAAGUAUAUUUGAGAGAUCAAAAACAAUUUUUAUUCUUACUAAGAUAUUUAUCUUUUUAUUUGCUCAUGGUUCUUGUUAUUAUGACUUUGUAUUACAUUCUAGAAACAUAUAGUUUUUCCUUGUGUAAAUAAAUUGAUAAAAUUAAAGGAAAUUGACAAGGAAAGCAUAAAAAUAAAAAGUAUGUUUGAAUAAAUAAUUGAAUUCUUUUUUUUAAUAUUCAUCUACUUUUCAUAAAAUUAGGACAAGUAAAAGUUACAUUUUGUUGUCCCUAAAUUGCAAUGAAUUUAAAUUAACAAUAGAUAACGGGUUUAAAUAAAAUUUGGUACAUAUCAUUGCUAAGGUGACAUUUAUUUUGCUUAACUUAGAAAAAUUGAUUUUAAAAAGAAUUUUACCAUCUAAGAUUUUUGGAAUGGAAAAAUGUAACAUUAUUUAUAUUUCAUCUUAGACCUUUUUUCUUUCCAUUUAUAUUUCAACCCAAUCAUUUUUUUUCCUUUUUUUUUUAUGUCUAGUUUGAUCAUUUGACUUUGAAUCUCUUCUUAGUUUCAUACAAGGAUUUUAAAAGAAUAAAUUAACAUAUUUAAUUUUUUUUAUUGGAUUUGUUUUCAUAUUACCUCACCUGCAUAUAUAUAUAUAUAUAUAUAUAUGUAUGUAUGUAUGGAAGAGUAAGAUGACUUUUUCAAAGAAUCAUUUUUAUAAAAAUGACUAUUUAGAAGAGUUAAGGAGCAAGUCUUUGAGGGGAAAUAAAAUCAAUAGCAAAAGAAUAGGAUGACGUUUUGAAAGAAUCAUUUUUAUAAAGAUGACUAUUUAAAAGAGUUAUGGUCUCUUUCAUAAUUAGAUAUUUAAUUUGAGAACGAGUGGGAAAAUAAAGUUAAUAGUAAUUUGCUUUUUAAUAUUUACAUAUAAGGGGAAGGAUAGGAUGAAUUUUCAUCAAAGAAUCAUCUUCAUGAAAUAGAUAUUUAAAUUGCAGUCAUUACUUAUCAUAUUAAUUAAAGAUAAUGAAAAUUUUUAAAAAAAAGUCAUCGAAACAACCGUCAUUAUCUCCUUUUUUGUAGUGACUUUGGAUAUAGUAUUAGAUACAUGAUUAACAAAUCAAAGGAUUGAGUGCAAUUAAUUACAAUAGAUUUUUUUGUAGGUAUUAGAAUGUUGAUAGAGGCUGGACAAAAAGGAGGUAACUAGGAUUAAGGCCUAAUGGAGUAUUCCACAAUGAAGGCCAAGAACAGGGAAGAAAUGAGUCAACUGCAAAGCAUCCUCCUACCAGGGUCUAACUUUGUGAUUUUCCACUGUAUCAUAUCAGGGUGAUCUGAACAAAUAACCUUGUUCUUAACAAUUAGUCAUCCAUGGCUUGGUAGUCUUUUCCCUAAAACCUCUUCAUAUUAGCUCGUAACCGAUUCAAAAUUCACGAAAUUCAUAUAAUCGUUCAAUGAAUUCCCCGAAUCAAGUUCAAGGUAGUCUUUGGUUUUUCUGAAAAUAUGACUAAUCUACUUCAGUACAAACUGUAGAAGUUACAGAAGAAACAAGCCAUGCAUAAAGCACACACACCCUUCUUCCAAAUUAACAAGCCAUGCAAAAAUCAAAUUCCCAUACAUCAAUAUUAUUUUACAUGUCUUUUUAACAGACUGAAUUCAUUAAGACAGAAGAGUACAUAACUCAGAGGUGAAUCCUACACAGCCACUUCUACAGAACCCCAAAGAUGUAAAAGCUCAGGAACAGACACCCAAGCACAAAUGCAGAGGUUGAAAGCCCUGAGGAACUGGGUAGCACCAAAUAAAUGCCAGAAGUAAAUGCUAUCACCAUUCCUAGGAUGGAAACGUAUGUGAGUAUGGCUGAAAAUUUUAUGAAACCUAGAAGCAGAUGAUAGUUUCGUUCCAGUGAAGCAAAAAAGUGGAGAAACACUACUGCAGUUGAGCAAUAGAAAGCUAUACCAUCUGACAACAAGAAGGUCUUGAAGGCUAUCUUUGUUGAGAGAACUGCUUUACCUUUGUCGGGGUCAUCAUCAUUGUACCCACCAGGUAGAGUAAAGCCUGCUGCAAAAGUGACAGUUGCUAUGAGCGUCGCGACCAAUAAAUGGGUGUUGGAAAUGUCCUUGAGAUGAUGAGAUCGAAGUUCCUUUUCUUUCAUGAUUUCUCUGUUCCUAUCAAGAAGUAUACUCAUAUUGCUAGCAGUACGAGACGCGCCAUCACUGCUCUUUUGAUGCCCAUUGUUAUCAGUCCGCAUAUUUGCAUUUUCCUGGUAUCCUUCAUUGUCACCAUUUUGCAUAUAUGCAUUGUCUCUAAUGACCAACCGGUGUAAACUUUGUCGACCACCAGCAUGCUCCAACUUCCUCAUGAUCCAAUACUGGCAGUCAUUUGAAAGGAAUUAGAAUGAACUUGUAAAGCAAAGCUAUGGGAAAAAUUUUGAAUCAAACAUUGAACAAAAUCUAUUGGCUAGCUCUUAAAGAGGACACCAAACACAUUGAAUAAUAUUAGCCAUCCAUUUCAGAUACUUUUUUCUUUUUCUUUUUUCUCUCUUUUUUAAGUAAUCGCUUAACAGAUUGAAUGGCUAUAAUCAUUCAACAUGAUCUUUCUGCAUCAAAUAUCUUCAGAGAGAUAUGAGAAGCCUCAUCAUGUCUAAUUAAAAUUUGUCUCAAACUUUACAGUAACGUACCUUGAUUUUUUCUCCAAUAUCCAUAUUUGACUGGACAAUGUCAAUAGUCUUCAAAUACUCAUUGUUCAUUGCCCUUUUGUCCACUCUAUCGUCUGCAGCCAACAUAAUCACAACCCCGUAAUGUCCAUAAAUGGCAGCUAGAUGAAGGGGUGUGUUACCUUCCUUAUCUGGCUCAUUUAUGAUACUUUCCAAGUUUGGCUUCUUCAGGAUAUACUUAACGACUCUAGCGUUUCCAUAUUGAGCUGCAACAUGAAGAAUUGUGCGGCCUUUGUUGUCAAUCAAAUCAUAAACAUCUGGAAGACAUGUGAUAAUCUGUUCCAUUACAUUAGUGUGGCCCUCUUUGGCUGCAAUGUGGAGAGCACAACUGUGUUCUACAUCCAAUAAGCCAGCAACAGAUUUGUCAUACUUCAGUAACUUCUCAGUUGCUUUGAGGUGACCCAAGUGGGCAGCAUAGUGAAGAGGGGUCCACCCAAAUUCAUCUGCCUUUUUUAUCACAUCCUUCUUCAUUUCAAAUAGUACUUCCAUAAUAUCUAUACAUUGGGAGAAGAAGGUUAGAAAUCUUAAAAAGAAGUGGAAGAAUCUACUUAAAUAGCAUUUCAUACCUCACCAAAAAUAUGUCAAGAGAAAUGGAAAAGGCGACCAAAACACCCUUUCCCCCAUAUUUUAAGCAUAAAAAUGUCCUCAAUAAUGAUCCCCUUCAUUUCCAAAAAAAAAGGAAAAUCCUCGUACAUCUUGAUAAAUAAACACAUGGCUUAAUCAGUUGUAUGGUUUGAAGGUCCGUUCUUUUUUCUUAUAUAGGAAUGGGUGUUCAAAUAGAGUGAGAAUGGAGAGAACUCUCCACUCAUAAGCUUUUUGAAGUAAAAAGGAAAAAGGAAAAAAUCCAACUUCUUAGUAAACAAGAAUGAAAAGGGCACAGGAUCUUCUUACUUUAAAAAGGGGACAAAAGGAGUCUUAUUACCAAUUUCAUCAUUCAAUUGUUUUCCUUUGAAGUGUCCUCGUACCCUAAAGAAAAAGUUUGUAACCACACGGCGAUGUUUUUCUAGAGAUAAUUCUGGAACUUCUUGGCCUGCAGCAUGAUAUAACAAACUAAAAUCAGUGAUAUCCCCAUAAAAAUAACAAAGAAGGCCAAAAAAACAAAGGCUUGCCUUUUAGUUUGUUCAUCUUGCAUAAGGGAUUGAAAAAAGGAAAAGGAAAGAAAGAAAAUUAAUGCAAAUUAAGUCUUUUCCCAAAAGUGGUCCAUAUUCAGAAGAAAUAUUUGUUGAAAUAAUUUUCAAAACUUCAUACCAAACAAGGAAAUAAUGAAAGCUGAUAUUUUUCAUCUACUUGAUUUCUUUUCUUCAGUUUCUUCCUCAUUUUUCUCUCCAGGCAUGGUGGUAAGACUUGGGUCUUAGAAAGUAUACACCCAAAUGCCUGAAGACUUGGGUUUUUUUUUCUUUUUUUUCUUUUUUUGUCACCAGAAUUAUCACUGGACGCCCUUUGCAUGCCCAAAUUAAACUUGAAAAAGUAAAACAAAUUAACAUUAGAAAUGAAGAUUUCAGAUAUACUCCUACUAACCAACAUUGGAUUGUGUUCCUGGAAACCAUUCUCCUCGUAGAUGCAGUCCAAGUCCAUUUACAGACAGCUCGGGGGGUAUGGGUUUACCCAGCUCAGGACCUACAAGUUAGGAAGAAUCGAAGAAAUCUUUUAAGUAUACAAAAGCAAGCAUGAACAUAAACUUUUAUGCAUAGAAAGAUUUUGACCUUUAUGGGUACGAAUCACAGCUGCAUGUAAAGCGGUCAUCCCUUUCGUGCCCUCACAGGAACAUUCAGAACUGUUUCCUUUCAACAGUUCGUCAGCAAUCUUGAAAAACCCCCUUUCCACAGCCAAAUACAAGGGGGACUCUUUAUGAUUAUUAACCAAAUCCAACAACUUAGGAUUUUCUUGAACCAACCGGUUCACCACCUCAAGAUGACCAUUCCUCACAGCCACAUGCAGUGCCGUAUCAGCCCUCCCAUUCUUCAUUUCCAGUGCUUGCUUGGCAUUUUUACUUUCAAGAAAGCACUUAACCAUGUCACUACAGCCAGUUCUCGAGGCGAUAUGCAGCGGAGUGUCGCCUUUGAAGUCAGCUCUAGUCAGAAGCUCUGGAAACUUCUCAACAAGAGCUUCAGCAAAGCCUAUGCACUUGAAAUUACCAGCAAUGUGAAGAGCAUUGCGUUUCUGGGAAUGUGCUUGGCAGGGAAUACUCUGGAGGCUAUGUGGCUUNNNNNNNNNNNNNNNNNNNNNNNNNNNNNNNNNNNNNNNNNNNNNNNNNNNNNNNNNNNNNNNNNNNNNNNNNNNNNNNNNNNNNNNNNNNNNNNNNNNNUGAAUUUUGUGGCACCUCCCGUGGAAACUUGCCACCAAAGCUCCCAAUUCAGAAAUGUUGUUUUUAAAAUAAUAACAGAAUUGAGUAAUUUUCUUUCUUUCUUAUCUCCAACGUUUUUGCUAAAUACUUUCACUUUUGGAGCUUGGUUUUAUAUCUGAUUUCGUAAGUCCUAAGAUAUCUACUACCAUGUACCUUGAAAGGUUGGUGUUGAAUCUAUUGAUUAAUUGUAUAUGUUAGGGCAAUGAGUCUUCAUCAUAAGUUAGCAAUUUUGUUCCUUUUAAUUUUUGGCUUAGGAAUCUUUUUAAAUAGUGACUUACUUUCUAUUAAAAGAUUCAAGGUUAUUGUUCGAUCAACUGGAAAGUCAUAUGUAAAUCUAAAAAGGUUUAGUUUAUGGCAAAUUAGGUGUUUAAAAGGGUUAAGUGGAUUGGUAUAUUUUUUAUUGAAUUAAAAAUGUUUUAUUUAAUAUUUUGAAAAUGCAAGGGAUGCUCGAGUGGUGGAAAUAGUGCUCAAGCGUUGGGACCACUCAAACACUUAUCAACUCAAACACUUAUCCAACACUUAAGUGAUCAAGGCACUCAAGUGGUAGGUAAGUGCGCUCGAGUGCUCAUCCCAAAUCUGCUAAAAUAUGGUAGAAUAUUUUUGGAUAAUUCAUGCAAAUUGAGUUUGGAAACUUCACUAUACCAAUCCCCUAAGGCUUGGAGGCCUAUAUAAACCCAUCUAUAACCCUUUUAGUAUGAAGUGUAGUAAAACCAAAUGGAAGAAUGAAUAAUCAAAUGGAAGAAUAAGACAAUUAAGGAGAAAGAUUACAUGAAGAUAGGGCCUUAUGCUUCAACAAUAAGUAGCCUUAUGUAUGUGAUGUUGUGUCCUAGAUUAGAUAUUUGUUUUACGUAAGAAUGAUGAGUAGAUAAUAAUCCAAUCCAAGUAUAGAGCAUUGGACAACGGUCAAGUAUUAAAACCAUAAACAAAAAGCUAAAAUCAUGUUCAUUGAUUCUAAUUUUCAUAUGAAAAUUUUAAAAAUAUAACAAUAAAAUAAUAUCACAGGAUAUUUUUAUUUAAUUUAUACAUGAUUAGAUUUAUAAAACAAAUAAAUAUUUUUUUAGUAUGAAUAUAUAAAAUCUUAUAUCCUAAACCUCUAAAAAAUUUUAUUAUAUAUUUAUUUUUAUAUUAAAUUUGUUCUCAUUAAUUAUUUAUUAUAUAUUAUUAUUUUUUAUUUAAAAUAUCCAUAAAUAAUUGAAAUCAAUAACUAUAAAAAGAUGAAAUGGUAACAAAUUUUGAAAUUAAAAAGAUUUCAUGAAGCCUAUACAUUAAAAAAAAAAAAAACAUUUCACAGUGAAAAAUAAAUAAAAUUCAUAUGGUACGGUUGAUUGUCACACGAUAAAGUUUUUAAAAAAGAAAAAUUGUUAUAAAAUUGUUAUAGUUCAUGGUAGGUAGGAGGAGAAAAGGGUAAUUUUAGAAUUUUGAUGAAUAUAACUAUUUAAGUGUAUAUUUAUAGGAUUAGCUUUUGUAAGCGAGAAGUCAAGUCAAACCUCUCAAAAAAAAUCUUUUUUUUUUAAGGUGCACAUGAUUAUACGAUUCUUCCUAUCUCAAGGCUGGGGCCCAUGCUGAAAUGAUAUGUCAACAACCCUCCUUAAAGUAGAGUUGUAAAAGCUACUUCCCUUCUAUGUCUCCGGCCGAUAUUUCAGUCUAGUGUGGCGGCUUUUAACGCUUCAUCUACCUAUCUUCUUUUACGUUGAGCGUGGAAUCCACCGUUAUUUGAACUUAGGAGAUACCCACACUGACUUUUCAAGUUUUGUCCAGUUGAGGAAACUUUGAAAAUUAUUUAGCAGAAGACUGAUAAUGCAACCUUCUUCAUAAGAUGGGUGAUUUUUGAACACUACUGUACUCUAACCAAAUACCAUUUGUGCUUAUAUGUGAUACAAUGAAUGGAAUAUCUUUUCCCCUUUAUUACGCAAAUACUUGUUUAAUAAGUUCUUAUUCUCCUGCGAGUAACUUGCGAUUGAUUGUUUGAAUAGGUAGGGAAUUUUUUUAAAUUAGUCCCCCAUCCAUGCCCAUUAGAGAUUCUGAAAUUCAUUUGUAACAUUUAUGAUUUUUUGGAAAAUAAAAGACCUACUCCAAUAAUACCAAUAUGAAUGGUACCACCAAACUUUCGUACGUAUCUAUAAAGAAGGAGAAGGUGCCCAAACAAUGUAUCCAGAAAAAAACAUUCAAGAAAAUAAUCCCAACUACUAGAUUUCAACAAGUAGGAUUUUGAGCAUAAAAGAAAUAAAAUAAAAUAAAAAUAAUGACGGCUUCGAAUGACAUCACUGACCCAACGCAGGCAGAGGAGUUAGGAGUUGCGUGGAAAUUGUGAAAGGCGUAGAUCACGCCACAUGGAAGCAGUGGAGACAUGGCCAGUAGGAUAAUUAAUAUCCAUGUGGAUAACAGAGUGGAUCAAAACAAUGCCAUUCCCAUCAUGAAUGAACACUCAUUUACUUCUGCGUUUACUUGACUUUUGAGAGAUUUGCAAAACAUGUAGAGAGAGAUAUCACUGGAAGAGUUCUCUUCUCAUUAAUCAUGUUAUAAAACUGAUGAGUUAAGGCUAGUCUAUAAUUUCCAUCAGUGGUAAUAAAAUAAGUAUGCAGCUGUUUAGAAAGAAAGAUCAGCAUGGGUGGUUGCAACGCGCAACAAAAAGUCCCAUCAGACUUCUCAUCCCUGGGAAUCUUACACUCGCUAGGUAGACUAAUCAAACCAGGAUCCAACCUGGUACAAACUACUGUUUCAACCACUCAAUAUUUAAGGAAUCACUUCCUAGUCACUAAGAACAUAAACUAAUCAAACCCAACCUGGCACAGGCUACCUUAUCGACUAGUCAGUACUCAAGGGAUCAUUUCCUAGUCACCAAGAUAGUUAAUUUAGAAAAUCUUACACUGAAAAAUGACCUAUUCAUCUGCAUGAGCAUAUGCUUUUCACAUCCCACUGAAUAUAAUCUUAACAUCUGUUUCAUUAGUAUGAUUUUCUCUUAAGCUAUUGACUUCAAUAUUUACUAGGAAACGAUAUCAAAGGGAAAAAGAUUACCAAUUCAGAAAAAUGUAAAGCAAGGUACAAAAUACUAGAUGGAGAUAUCUCAAAGAAAGAAAUUCUUUUCCUAUAGCUAAACUAAUGCACACGAUCAAAUCUAACAGUGACAUUUGUUCUUGGAGCCAGACAGAAAGCCAAGUACAGAUACAGAGUGUUUUCAAGAUGGGAUUAUUUGGUGUUUUUAACUAUUUAAGUUGAAUGAUGAAAACACAUGCACUUCAACAAUGACAAACCAAAUUGGUUAGUAUCCUGCUUAAUAACCGUAGUUUGCUCCAUUCACCGGGCCAUAGCCUCCAGUGUGGCUUGCAUGUGCUGGGUUGGAUGCAGGAGAUGCAUACAUCGAACCAUGAGCUGCAUAAGAAUUAUAGCCUGGGUCAGUAGAUCCACCAGUUUGGGCCUGUGCUGGUGCAGCAGCUUCAGCCAUAAAAUUCUGCAACACAAACAAUCAUUACAAGCAGACAAGUCCAAUUUGAUUACAUAAUGAAGCAUUGACAAAGAAUAAACAAAAUUUUAAUGGAAAAAUCAACUUUUUUGGUUGAGUAAGAUCCCAAUAAAACAAUAAUUAAACAAUUCUAUAUUAUCAGUAAAAAUCAAUGAUGAAGCUAAAUGGAAAAGAAUGAAGUCCAACUGUCUGAAUUGCUGACCACACUUAACAUUUCAAUAAUAUAUAUCCUAUAAAAAAAAUUCUUUAAUUCUUUAAUUCUAGUAAUAAAGUCGGUCCCACCAUACCUACCCCCACACGCACCCAAACACCACAUACAAGGAGACAUCAGAAACAAUGAUCUAAUGCUAAGCAAUGUCAUUAUGCAAAUGGAAACUGCAAUAUUAGCAAAGACAAACCAACAACUUGGUAUCAAAAACAGGGAGGAAGAGUGCCUGUAUCAGUUGAUGAGAUGCUUGGACUUGGGAAGCAGUUGCAUUGAUUCACGUGGCUACAAAAGACUCUUUAGGAGAAAGUUGAGGAGUUCACAUGUGUAUAGGAAGAUUGAUUCACAAGGCCCUUGAAAAUUUUCUAUUUAAAGCUCUUGUAAGGAAAAUGGGAGACAUAUCUUCCUUCUCCAUCAUUCCUUCUUUUCUCAUUUCUUUUUUCUUGAUAUAAAGCUAAGGAUUCUCUCAUUUCUUUCUUCUUCAUUGUAAGUUACUUGAUUGAAGCCAAAAUAUGUGCUCCAAUGGCACAUAUAUGAUGUUAUAAUUUAUGUAAUAUAAAAAGUUCAAAUCAUCCAACUUAACUUAAUUUCAUGCUAUGGCCAUAGUUAUGGAUCUAACUUUUAUUUUGAGCCUAAUUCUAAGUUUAAGGGAUGACAUAAAUGGAUAAGUGCAAAAGUCAUUAUCAACCAAGAAAGCAGAAGGGGUUAAACUAUAACUAAGAAACUCAAGACUUAUGAACCAUGAAAGUCCAAGAAAGGGUGUAAGAAGCAAGCCAUAGGCAUGAAAUACCAAUAGUAGAUGUUAUGGAUUGAGAUAGAGGGCAAGAAACCAUAAUGGAGGAGGUUUGAAGCAAAUGUAAUCAAGUUCACAUGAAAAUUUGGAACUCAAAAUUUGGCAAUAACAUUUACUUUGACUUUGAGAUAAAGUUUAGAAUGCUUUUUGAGGUCAAUUUUGGGAAAACUAGAUAUUGUUUCGAAGCUUGAGAAGUCAAAAGUCCAACACUUCAAACGAUGCACAAAUCGGAGUUAAAAUGAGGAAGUUAUGUGCAUUUGAAGCAAACUAGGGAAAGAAAAAUGUUGAGUUUGAAAUUGACAUCCUGAAUUCGAAAUGGUUUUUGGCUAGUUAAAACUCAAAAGGAAUGCAAGGAUACUUGUCAUAGAGGCUAAGUUUUAUCCUCCUACCUAUUUCAAAUAGGAGACAAAUUUCAAACCCAAAAACAUGCAUGGUGGGCCAUUUAAAACUCAAAGGAAUGCAAGGAUACUUGUGGCAGAAGCUAAGUUUGAAUCCCCCUACAUAUUUUGAAAAAGAGACACACAUUCCCAACCCAAAAAUAUAGUGAACAUGUAUGGGCAGUGUGUGAGUUCUAAAUUCACUGUGAAUUUGUGGAUGUCACCAUUUUUUGUAAUAAACCUUUCGGAUAUCUAUCUAGCCUUCACAAUUAUUAAAAAGUAUUUAUUCCAAUAAUUAUGAUUGUAACCCUACAAAUAAGGUUAAGAAUAUUAGGGGAAAUUUAUAACUUCAGAGUUCACUUUCUUAUCUAAUUUUCCUCUCCUCUUUAUUGUCUUCAUUUACAACAUCAAAAAAAUUAUUAUUGUUUCAUCUACAAAUUGUCUAAAACUCAUUAAAUUCAGAGCAUAGAAGUAUUGAACAUUCUCAUAUACAUUUGUUUGAGGCUGUGAUAACAUACAAUUUUACAUUAUAUAUUAAUGGAUAUAUUCCUACCGUCAUAUCUUGCCGUGGAUCACACUAUCAAACCUAGAAGUAUUCGAAGGAAUUACCAAAAACCUUCUAUUAAGUAAAUACGCAGAGAUUUUAGAGUUAAAUACAGGCAGUUCCUUACUAAGAGAGUAUUCCAUCUAUACAUGAACUAAUGUAUAUAUUGUCUAUAAAUUCAUUGAGAAAUUAAGAAUAUACAAUUAAUAUCACAUUCUAUUCUAUGGUUCUACAGAAUCCCAAAGAUGUAAAAACUCAAGAAUAAACACCCAAGCACAAUUGAAGUUGUUGGAGUCGGGGAGGAAUCAGGUAGCAUCACAUAAAUGCCUGAAGUAAAUGCUAUCACCAUUCCCAGUAGAGAGAUGUAAGUGAGUAGGGCGGAAAAUUUUGUGAAACGUGGAAGCAAAUGAUAGUUUUGUUCCAGUGAAGCAAAAAAGUGGAGAAACACAGCUGCAGUUGAGCAAUAGAAAGCCAUAGCAUCUGUUAUCACAAAGACUUUGAAAGCUGCCUUUGUUGAUAAAACUGACUUACCCUUGUUUGGGUUUUCUUCAUUGUACCCACCAGGUAGAGAGAAACCAGCUGCAAAAGUUACUGUUGCUAUGAGGGUUGCCACCAGUAGAUGGGAGUUUGAUACAUCCUUCAAAUACUUAGAUGUGAUCUGUUUCUUCUUUACAACUUCAUUAUUCCUGUCACGAAGCGAUUCACUUGCAUGAAGUGAUGUUCUCUCUCUGUCCUCUCUAAGCUCUAACUCAUUUAUGCCUUCAUUGUCAUUGAUUGUUCUGCCUGUGUUCUCGCUAACGAUCAGCCGCUCGAGACUUUGUUGAGCACCGCCAUUCUCCAACUUCCUCAUGAUCAAAGACUGGAAAGUUUUUUUAAAGAACUUAGAAUAAAAUGUUGUUUUUAGCUACCAAGGCACAUAUAUGACCAGAAAAUUCAAUUAAGGCAACAUAUUUCUUCUCUUUUUUUUUUUUUUCUUUUUUUUCAAGUUUCACAUGUGUAAAGAGAAAUAAAGCAGUGGAACCAAUGCAUAAUCUAAAAUCAUCAGCUUUCUAUGCACAUACCUUUUUCAUUUCUCCCAGAUCCAUAUUUGAUUGGACAAUGUCGAUAGCCUUCCAAUAUUUCUUGUUUGAUGCCUUCUUAUCCACUCUACGAUCUCCAGCCAAAAUCCGGACGCUGUUGUACUGUCCGUGCAUAGCAGCUAGAUGCAAAGCCGUGUUGCCUUGAUUAUCUGACUCAUUUAUUAGGCUUUCCCAUCUUGGUUCUUUUAGAGUAUACUUCAUCACUAUAGACUUCCCACAUUGGGCUGCAACGUGAAGAAUGGUCCGACCUUUAUUGUCAACCAAAUUAUUAGAACAUGGACAGCGUUUGAUGAUCUCUGCCAUCAUAUCAGGGUAGCCUUUUUUAGCUGCUAUGUGAAGAGCAGAACUAUCUUCUUUAUCCCACAAGUAAGCAACUGAUUUAUCACAUUCCAGCAAUUUCCUAGUCGCUUCAAGAUGUCCCAAUUGUGCAGCAUAAUGAAGGGGAGUCCACGUAAAUAUGUCUGUUUCUGUGACCAUAUCUUUCUUUUUGUCCAGUAGUAUUGCAAUAAUGUCAUCUAGCAAUUUAGACCAAGAAGAAGAAAUACAAUUAAAACAGACUUUUUCAUCCAGAGUACUUUUAGAAAAUAUAUUACGUUCUUGUUAUUUUAAUAUCAGAUAACGGCUCGGGAUUACUUCUCCAUGAGAAAGAUCAGGCAUUAUGCAAUGAAUUUUCCCAUCAAUUGUAAAGAGGGUAGCUACUAGCCAGUGUGGCAUAUAUUGUAAAAGCAAUUGUGUGAUUUUCUUUCCCUGGUCUUAUUACUUUUCUAGUUCAGUUAAGCUCUCCACCUAUCAAUUAGAGAAGGAGAAGUAAAGGUUUGGGCUUGGAUAAGUAUUCUUCAAAAACAAUUCUAAAAAAUAGUUUAUAAGAACUAUUGAAAACCAUUUUCUGAUGAUAUUUUAUAAAACAAAAGUUCUAAUGGCUGUAUUAUUAUGCUUGGUUGGAACUAAUGAAUACAAUUCUGGUGACUAUCUGUCAUAAGUAUAGGGAGGCCAUGCACUCCAUGUAGAUUUGUUCCGCGUCUGUCAGGAAUCAGGAAUUAGUUAAUGGGGCUCCGAAUGUUCUACUAGCCUUGCCAAAAAAUACUUCAUGAGGCUAAACUCAUCCACACUAAAGUGGUGUUUUUUUUUUUACUUAAUUCUAAAUAGAACUUUAAUGCUUAAUAGCGUUAAGUAUUAAGUUAUUUAUUUUUAUAAUACUUUAUUUCUAUUAAGCAUUAAAAAGUAAAAAAAAAAAAUCAACAUAUCACUUUUUCUAUUCAAUAAAAAGUUUAUAAUAAAUCAUGAAAAAAUAAAAAAACAAAUGAUCUAAAGUCUGAAAGCAAAUUGCUUUUAGCAAAAAACUAAAAAAACACUCUCUAAGUCUAUAGAUUUAUGUAUUCUUGGCUUUGUAUAUCUUAGACAUGUUGGAUAAUGGUGUAACAAAGAUUUCUCCAUUUUUUUCUUAUGCAUUUUCUUCUACAAUAUUUUUCAAGUAUCCCGUUGUAGGGAUAUUUACACAUAGUGCAAUUUUGCUUUAUUUUUGUUGGCAACUUCUUCUCUCUGUUGUAUUAUUCCAAUAUUUACACAUAGUGCAAUUUUGCUUUAUUUUUGUUGGCAACUUCUUCUCUCUGUUGUAUUAUUCCAAGUACCUUAUGUUACGUCUGACUCUAAAAAAUUAUUAAAUGAAGGAAAAAUAUCAAGAAACUUAUUAUUAUUAUUAUUAUUAUUAUUAUUAUUAUUAUUAUUAUUAUUAUUAUGUUUAGUUUAUCAAAAAUUAUUAAAGGAAGGAAAAAAUUGUUAAAAAAAAUAAUUUUUAUUAUAAAAAAAUUAGAAAAAUAAGUACAAUUAAAAUAGGUUAAAAAAAUUAUAUAUUUCCAAAUUAUUUUACAUUUGUGUAAAAAGGAAGAAAAAAAAAAUGAGAAAAAUGAAUUUGAAAAAAUAUUAUUAAUAAUUUUUUAACUUUCAAUUAAUUUUUCAUCUUCCUUUAUUUUUGUUUAUGUUUUCCUUGUCUAGUAUAUUCCUUCAAAAUUUCUAAGAAUCAAACAUGUGGGUUGCGGACUGGUUCGCUGGCCUGCUGGCCUGCUUGCCCGGUCCAAGCAUGAAGUUGGGUUGACCUCUAAUGGUCCUUUGGUGGACCAACCCACCAACCUAACCAAACGACGGUUUCUACCUUGGAAACCUUGGAUCAAGUGUCUGGGAUUUGAAUAAUAUCUUCUCCUGGGUUAUUAAAUUUUUAUUAGUUUUCAAUGGUUUUCUAUUUGUAAUGAUUAAAUUUUUAUUAUAAAAAUGGCUCAUAAAAACGUUGAUUAUCCUAUAACAAUGUUCCAGAAGCAAGAGAUUAUUUACCAUAGCUUUAAACCGCUAAUUUUGAAUAUCGAAAUAAGUAGAAAUAGAAAUAAAUACUAUUAUUAUGUUUAACUUUAUGAAAAUUGUUGUAAAUAAAGUGGUGAAUGACCACAUUGAUGGUCAUUUAUGAACUCCAUUUACUCAUCUUUAAGAUGAGUCAUGGGAGUUCAUAUUAUGAAGCCUAUAAAAGGCUUUUUACACCCCAUGUAAGCAGCAUCCCAAAAAAAAGAAAGAAAUUCUCUUCCUCUCAUUCUCUCUCUCUCUUUCUUUCAUUCUCUCAAUUUUCUCAACUCUCUUCUCUGAUUCCUUCUUCCCAUUAUAUAUAUUGUUAAAGUAAGAUAUAUUUUAUCUCUACUACUUUAUUUGUGUUGCAUUUAUCCUUGUUUUACAACAAAAAUUAUAUUUUAGAAUUAUUUUUAUAAAAAUUAUGGUGAAUAUUUGAAGGCACCCAAAGCAUACUAACUUGUACUUAAUAAAGACAAGACCAUAUUGAAUGUUUUGAUAUUGGUUUAUGAAACUACUUAGAGGAGAGUGAAUAGGCGAUCCUCUGCUGACAACCCUCAAAUUGAAGUUUUAAAUAUUUUUAUUAAUUCUUAAUUUAAUCAAUAUAUGUAAUUAAUAAAUAAAGCAAAGAAUAAUCUUACACUUGACAUGUGAUGUACAUGGAAAAUCAUCUAUAGAAUCUAUAAAAAAAACUUGACGAUGAAAAAUUCAUGGGUCAAUUGAUCGUAGAGCAAAUUCACUAAUUUUGAUAGAAUAAAUACAUAAUCUUACCUAGAUGAAAUACUACCUUCCUUCAAGCAUCUUACACAGGUCAGUACUUACACUUGCUUUCAUGUUCAUGAUGCAAAACCCAUAUAUUCCUUAGUGAAUACCUUAAAAGUUUAAGAGAUGUGAUCAACCACCAUGAGCAACUUCAAACAAGAUAUGAGCUUUUGGAGUAUCAGGAAUAUGCAAAAGAUAAUAACAAUAAAUUGUAGGGUAUGAUGAUGUAUGAAAGUACAAAGUUGAGCAAUGUAUGAUGGCAAGAAACUAACUAAAAAAGAUUUGAAAAGCUGACAAAUAUAGGAUAUUUAUGCAUAACAUCAAGACCGCUUAAGCCCAUUUUGUGGGCACUCGAGCGCUCCUUGUUAAUUUUAGCUUUUCUAAUUUAGCUUCAAGCCCAUUUUGAAUCUAAGUCCACUUUACACCUUAUGCAUGUCAUUAUAUUGUAACAAGAUAACCCUACUUACCUGAACAAUCAUGUGAAUAAAUAAAAAAUGAUCACAUAUCUUCAAGGCCAAUGCAUACGUAGAGUUGAGUAAAAAAAAUAUUUGGAAUAAAAUUGUUAACUUAAACUAAUUAGUCUAGAUCACUAACACAAAUAAUAUCAAAUUUAGUUAAAAUACAAAUGCACCUUCCCAUGAGCAACAUUAUUAUGUUUUACCUUCUUCAUCUUUUACAAGUUUUUAGUUAUAGAAAUAAUGAGAUUAAAAAAUUGAAGGGUAAAUUGCUCCGAUGACUAACUUGAGUGCCUUGGGGCAAUUUUUCUUUGCUUUACAUAUCUCAUAUACCUUAUUAUUGGGAGAUUAUUAAAGAUCGAAUCACAAUAGGACCAAUCCUAAAAUAAAUUCCCCAAAAUCAUUGAUAUUUGAGGCUAUGUAAUAUUUUUGCUCCAACAAGUUUAAUAUUUUGAAUAAGUUUAUCAUACAUGCAUGGAUGUACUUCAUUCUACUACUUGACUAGGGUAGCAAUCAAAAUAGAAGCAAACCUAAAAUCAAUGCUCCAAUAACGUUAAUGUUUGGGGCUUCAUAAUUUUUUUGCUCCAAUAAUUUUGAUAUUUUAGACAAAAUUAUUUUACAUGGAUCGACUUGCUUCUUUAUGUUUAAGUAAAGGGGGAGUUUUUCUUGCCUAAAUCUUGACACUUAGGGGGUGUUUGGUACGUUGGAAUAGGGAAUGGAAAUGAAUAUUUUGUUUCCUUUCCUAUUUCUUAGUGGAAUGGAAUGAAUUUGAUGAUUCCAUUUCUAGCAUUUGGAUGAACUUAGGAAUGCAAGAUUAGAAUGAUUAUUUGUUUCCAUUCCAAUGUUUGAUAAUAAUAGGAAUGGAAAUAAAAAUAUAUAAAUUUACAAUAAUAUCCUUUCAUAUAAUUUAAAAUAUUUUUUAUUUUUACUUUUAUUUAAAAAUAAAAUAAAAUUUGAGAGGUUUUUUGUUAUUAAAUAAUAAGACUAAAAAAUAUAUAUACUCGAUAAAUAAAAAAUUAACCAUAAAAAAUCGUAUAACCCUAAUGCACAAAUAUUCAAUUAUUAUUUUUAUUAAAAAUUUGAAUAAUUUGUCAUGCUUAAGUAGUUAAAUAUUUGUUUUUUUUUUCCUCAAAAUUUUAAAUAAUUUGUCAUGCAAAAAAAACUAUAGAAUUAUAUUUUACUAAGAAAAAAAAGGAGAAAAAAAAUAUAAGAACAUAUAAAUUGUCAAAGCUACCAAAUACUUAUUUCUUAUUUGCAAAAAAGGAAAUAAAAAAACACAAACUUCAUUCUAGUUCUCAAUAUAAGUACCAUAUCUACUAAAAUCUAUAACUAGUAUAUCCUCCAAAAUUAAGCCAUCAAAUCAAUAAAAAAGUUCCUAGGAAAGUGAUGAAACAAAAUCCAACCUAAAAUUUCUAUCAAUCCAACCUAAAGACAAUAAAUCAACAAGGAUGCAACAUGGAGAUUUAUGGGGUUUGAAGAAGUUGUUUCGCCCAUUCAACCUUGAGAUCUUCAUCUAAAUUGAACAAAAGUUUGACUUUCAUUGGGUCACUCAUAAUAAUUUGACUUAACUUCAAUAUNNNNNNNNNNNNNNNNNNNNNNNNNNNNNNNNNNNNNNNNNNNNNNNNNNNNNNNNNNNNNNNNNNNNNNNNNNNNNNNNNNNNNNNNNNNNNNNNNNNNNNNNNNNNNNNNNNNNNNNNNNNNNNNNNNNNNNNNNNNNNNNNNNNNNNNNNNNNNNNNNNNNNNNNNNNNNNNNNNNNNNNNNNNNNNNNNNNNNNNNNNNNNNNNNNNNNNNNNNNNNNNNNNNNNNNNNNNNNNNNNNNNNNNNNNNNNNNNNNNNNNNNNNNNNNNNNNNNNNNNNNNNNNNNNNNNNNNNNNNNNNNNNNNNNNNNNNNNNNNNNNNNNNNNNNNNNNNNNNNNNNNNNNNNNNNNNNNNNNNNNNNNNNNNNNNNNNNNNNNNNNNNNNNNNNNNNNNNNNNNNNNNNNNNNNNNNNNNNNNNNNNNNNNNNNNNNNNNNNNNNNNNNNNNNNNNNNNNNNNNNNNNNNNNNNNNNNNNNNNNNNNNNNNNNNNNNNNNNNNNNNNNNNNNNNNNNNNNNNNNNNNNNNNNNNNNNNNNNNNNNNNNNNNNNNNNNNNNNNNNNNNNNNNNNNNNNNNNNNNNNNNNNNNNNNCAUCCAACUCUUGUUCCAAAGGAUCCACAGGCAUCUCUCUUUUAAUGAGAUUAUGAAUAAGACAACAAGCAAGAAUGAUUUUGCAUUGUGUCUUUAUUGGAUAGAAACAAGGGCUCCUAAGUAUAGCCCAACGUAGUUUAAGCAAACCAAAACAUCUCUCGAUAACAUUUCUUGCUGCAGAAUGCUUCAUGUUGAAAAACUCUUCAUGGGUUGUUGGCAUGUGUCCAUCUCUCCAAUCAUUGAGAUGAUAUCUUUGCCCUCUAUAUGGGGCAAGAAACCCUUUUCCAUUUGUAUAGCCAGCAUCAACAAGAUAGUAAUAACCUAAAAUGAAUAUUCCAAAACAUAUUUUAAAAAAUAUAUCAUAUAUUAAAAAGAAAUCAAUUGUUUAUAAAAACCAUAUAUUUACCAUGUGGAACUGUCAGUCCAUUUCUCCUACUAACUGCAUCUCGAAGCACUCGAGAAUCAGAGGUUGAUCCCUCCCAACCUGGCAAUACAUAAAUAAAUUGCAUGUCUUGAGAACAAACUCCUAAGACAUUUGUUGCAAUUUCAUUCUUCCUUGUUCGAUAUCUAGGUUUGUCUCCCUCACGUACAUUCACUUUAAUGUAAGUUCCAUCUAAAGCUCCUAGACAAUUCUAUUUAAAUAAAAACAUUAGUAUUACUAUAAUAUGAAAUAAUUAAACCUAUAUAAACUUAAUUUUAUAAUUUAUAUACCUUAAACCAUUUCCAUCUCUCAUCUGUGGAGUUCUUAGAGACUGGUUCCGGUUUUUUGAGUAAUACUCCUUGUAGGCGAAUGACUGCAUUCAAUACUGCAUUGAAAUGUCUACUAAUAGUUUCUCCAGACCUUAAGAAUCGAAAUUUUAUAACUCGAUUCUUUACAUGAUGUGCAAGAAUAUGUAAGAAUAAUGCAACCAUUUCUUCUACAUCAAUAUAUUUUGAAUCCUUUAGUUUACCAAUAGUACGAAGCAUAGAACAUAACGUGGUGAAAGUAUGUCUAUCCAUCCUAAGUUGCUCCAUACAUGCUACAUCACUCCCAUGAAUCAAUCGAUUAAGAUUUUCAACUCGCAAAAAUUCUCUAUUUGCAGGUCUUUACAUCAAUGUUCGCCUCUGAUAAUGUUUCCUUGUAGUCGUACAAAGUGCAGUAAGCAUAUUAAGUAUGUUCACUAUAAUAUAUAGAAUCAGGAUAAGUUGUUCUUUUCUUUCCAUCUCAAUGAGGUCCAUGGCUAUGCAAGAGUCCUAAUCAUAAAGGAAGAAAACACCAUAAUAUUUAAUAUUAUUAAAUAUUAAUGUUCUAUUUAGAAUUAUGUAAAAAAAUAAACACCACCUAACUUUAAAUGCCAAUUUCAAAUUUUUAUUUUUAUUUUUUUGUAUAAAAGAAAAAUAAAAUAAAAUUAUAUAUUUUCAAAUUAUUUACACUUUACCUGAGAAAUGAAAAAUAAGCUUUAAAAGAAACUUCUCUUUUCCUUUCAUUUUUCUUUCUAUUUUUUUCCUUCUUUCUAAGAUGUUUUGCCUCAAAAUUUUCAACAACUGCCAUUGCUUGUGGAUGUGACUGUUUGAGUACAUAAUCAUUUCCCCUUACACUUUAAGCCAAUAAAAAGGGAAAAAGGUGGUAUGGGCAAUACAAAUAAGAAACUACGGCAGAGCCGAUGGUAUGGACAAUCAUCCUAUUGUGUAAUGAUAAAUUGCAACCCGGGGAAAGUGAAAGAAACCCAUUGUCAUUAAAACGAUAUGGACUUAAAUUAGCUCUGCAAAAAUUACCAUAUAAACUUUAAACCAAGGUUGGCUAGUGGGUGCUUGACAGCAGGUUAAUUUCAUUUCAAACAUUUUUCACCAUAAUCUAUGCAUUCUUUCUACCUGUCUAAUAUUAUAGUUCUUGAAUUGCAACUUUCAUAUUAAUGAUCUACGAGGUGAUUUGUGUGACACGAGAGAUAAAAGAAUUCCCGUAGGUUCUUAAAUAAAAUAAAGAAUUCUAAUUAUCACAGUCACGGAGAGCAGAACUGGGUGGUGGGGUGGGUGUGGUAAGAAGACUUCGUAUUACCGGAAUGACAACCCCAUGAUUUACUCAAUUUAAACAUAGCAGGAAGACAGUCUAAGUUGAUAAAGGAAUUAUGCUACAAUUAGUAGCUAUACCAGAGGCCUGAGUCAAAUCCCACCAGGGUCAAGGUUGGGGUUUUGUGAAUAUGGGGGGUGGUCCUCUGUGGAAAAGAAAGUUAUCUACUCCGACUUCUCAACAGCAGUACCAGAUUAUACUUAAAACUAUUAUCAAAUUGAAACAUCCGUUUAAUUUUAGAAUGACAUUAUCCUAACCAUUAAAAAUUUUAAAUAUUGCAAAGACGUGAAAUCGAAAAAUCUUUUUCCAACCAUUUCAAUUUUUCUCUCCAGUUUUCAUUAAUACAAUAUAAAGAAACAUCAAAUACAAGAUUCCAAACACAAAUUAAUAAAAAUAAAUAAAUAAUAAUCGAUUUAUAAAGAGGAAGAAACACAUAUAAAGAAGUAGAAGAAAAAAAAAAAAUAAGGUAAACCUGAUCGGAGAUGUAGAAGGGAGUUUUUAGAACUUAGUUGCAGCAAACAAUGACGAAUCCUAGACCCAACAAUCAAAAUGAACAUCCAAAACCCUAUAAAUUAGAAAUUGAUUUUUUUUUUUAAAUAUAGUGGAAGGUUUAAUUAAUUCAAUUUGGAAGAAUCACUUGUUGUAGAGAAUUGGAUGAUGAAUGGGUUUCUAGCUUUGCAAAGAAGAUAAGAAGUGGACGAUAAAUGGAUUUCUACCUUUACAAAGAAGAUAAACAUCUGGAAGGUUUAAUUAAUUCAAUUUGGAAAAAUCACUUGUUGUAGAGAAUUGGAUGAUGAGUGGGUUUCUAGCUUUGCAAAGAAGAUAAGAAGUGAACAAUAAAUGGAUUUCUACCUUUACAAAGAAGAUAAACAUCGGGUUUGAAGAACGAGAUAAGAGGGUAAAAUAGUAAUUUAGGUUAUUUUAUAUUAUCAAAUUGAUUUAAUGAAUCAGAAUACCACCUAUUUUUUAUGAAUGCAAAUCCGACUUAUAAGUUGAAUUUGAUUUCUGCCGGAAUAAUUUUUUAUUCCGUUUCCAUCAUCUUAACAUUUAUCCAAACAUAGGAAUAAGAGAAAAAAAGAAUGAGAUGUCUAUUCCCACUUCCUAUUCCCAUGUACCAAACACCCCCUUAAAGAUACUAAUAUUUGUGUUUUGAACAUGAGAUAAGGGACAAAUCACUAUCUUUAACUUGAAUUUAUGUUAAUGCAUGCUUUGAGAACUAAUACGCCAUCUUUUUUUUUUUAGUAUAAAAGCAUAAGAAGGGAGGAAAUGUAAGCAACUUGAUGUAAUUCUAGCAUUUGGGAUGGAAUGGAGGAGCAAAGAUGCAACAAGAUUAGCCCUAGUGCUUGCUAAUGUAAAUAAAUAAAUAAAUAAAUAAAUAAAUAAAUAAUAAAAGCGAAAAGGCAAAAGAAAACUACAAAGGCAUUCUAAAUUGGUUUAGGAGUAGCUAAAAGUGAUUUGGAGAAGCCAAAAUCGAUUUCAAAAGUUGAUUUAAUCAAUGUUAAAACCAAUUUGUGAAUGAGAAUUGUCAUAUUAAUGGAGUCUCACAUCAUAAAAGUGAUUUAGAGGAGGCUGAAAUCGAAAUUCCAAUCUUAGGUUAAAAGUUAAAACUGGUUUCCAUAUUGAAAUUUUGAUUUCAUCUUGUUGAAAUCAGUUUUUCCAAAAUUUACUGCAUAUGCCAAAUCAAAAUUUCACACUUUGGUUAAUUUGGUAUCAAAAUCUAGAUUUUAGGCAAUUUUGAUGUAAUUUCAACUAAUUAAGUUAUACGUUUGCUAUGGUGGCCAAUGAGAUUAGGCCAAGUGCCUUUUUAGGGUUAAGAUAUUUAUAUUUUCAUUUUUUUUUCAAGGUUACAAAGAUAACAUUUUUACAAUUUUGUUUGUAGUCACACUUUCUAGACUUUUGUUUCUUUCUUUUUAUUAAUAUCCCAUUUUUUUUCUUAUGGAAUUUGGGUGUGAAAUCUCAAUAUAAGAGAUUAAGAUCUUUAAUUUUGGAGAUGUAGCAUGAAGAUACAUGGAAGAUUUGGACAAAGAGCAUAAGAAAAGUAAUGUCAGAUUAAUUGAUCAUUAGGUUUUCAUGUUUACCUUAUUAGAAUGAGAUCAUCUAUGAAAUUAUGGUUAGACUAAGAUCCUAGUGAUACUUCUAAAACCAUUUGAUCACUAGUUAACAUAAUUUGAUAUACUAUCAUGAUUGAAUUGAAAAUUGAUUGUACAAGAUAGAUGAGUGGUACGAAUGUAUAAAUAUAAACCUCAAUUAACCAAUCUAUAUUAUUUAUUUUAGUGAAUCAUGUGAAAAGAGUAUAAAUGUCUUAAAAUUCAAUUUGAUCCCACAUUGACUUUGGUCCUAAACCCUAGAUCUAUGAUUUACUCUCUCUCUCUCUCUCUCCUUCUCUUCUUAUGAAUUUGAAGCUAAAUUUUGAAAACUCCAGAGUUGUUAUCAUAGAUUUGUCUUAAUCAAUUUAAUCUAAAUUCGGUCUUUUUAGAAAAACUUCUCUAUUAAAUUCACAAUUUUGGGUAUAAGAAUACUUUGUUCAAUACAUAAAUAGUCAAAUGUGUUAGUCUUUAAAGGAUGACAUCUAGAUACCAUACACCAUAACUAUCCUCUCUUUGUUUUUUCUUGGCUAUGAUUUCUAUAAUAAUAAAGAUUUUCGUUCUAAAACAUAGAGUAUCGAUAAAAAAAAAGUGUCAUUUUUGUUAGAGAUUGAAGAUUGUCUUAGUUUUUAGGAGCUUAGAGCUUGUUUUACGACGUGAUUUAAAAAUAGCUUUCUAUUUUUCUAAAAAAAAAUGACUUCUAAAAUUUAAUAGCAUUGUUUAGCAAUUGUUCUCUAGAAAUAGUUCAAAAAAAAAAAAUGAACGUUCUCUUCACUUGCUUUUAAAUACAAUAAGAGAACAUAGAGAAAUAAGAAUAAUAAUAAUUAAAAAAAUGAUAAUAUAAGAUUGUGGACCCCGCACUUCUGCACAUGCGUUCCACUCGAUGACGAAACUCGUUGUUUUUAUUUGUUUGGUGAAAUUUUGAUUUUUAGAAAAGAUUUGGAGUCACCACUUAUUUUUAUUUUAUUUUUAAGGGAAAACAAAAUAAGAAAGAAAACUCUAAGUGUGACUCCUUAUUUGGAAAAGACAGUCUAUGGAAAACCAAACUUGGGUUUGGGGGUCAAGUUACUUAUUGGGAAGGUAUGGUAAGGACCAUAACACCCCUCCAAACCCCUAAAAAUGGGUCUCUACUAAAUAAGGUGAAGCAAAUGUGGAAAUUGACAAGGAAAUUUUUAGCCCAAGGGUUCUCCUAAUCGGGUUUUGAUGGUAACAAACCAUGGUUAAGUGACUAAUUGGUUUAAAUGUUUAAGAAUCUCAGGUAUAAACUCGAAAAUUCAUCAAAGAACCAAAUGGAUAAAAGAUCGAGACGCUUGGAAGACUUGUGAUCAUAGGAAACUAAUGUAAGAUGAAUGCAUGAGUGCACUUAGGAUUUUCAUACGUUUCAUACACCUUAGAAAACUCGGUUUAUUCUUUAAAAUGUCGAUUUCAUUAAAACCUGAGUUUUUAACUAAUUUACCUUAGGCAAAAUGUUUCAAAAUUGGCUUAAUAAUUUACCUAAAGACCUUGCCUAAGUGUUAGAAAAAAAAAAAAGAAUCAAAAAAUAGGUUUUUCGGGGCCAAAAAGGCUCAACCGGUCGAGGCUAUGGCCAACCGGUCAACCGAUUAAGGAAUCGGUUGACCGGUUGAGGUCGUCCGAUCGAGGACCGGUCGAGGAAGGUCAAAAACCUUAUCUCUCUCCCAGUAGCCUUCUCUUCCCGGUCGAGGUGAUUCCCUUAUCGGUCGAGGUCCAGUCGAAGACCGGUCGAGGUCCGGUUGAGGCAACGGUAACCUGUCAUGCAUUAAAUGCUCCAACGGCUAGUGAACCGGUCGACCCCUAGCUCGACCGGACGAGGUUGCCUUUUGCUGUUUUUGACUCCCAAGCUUAAAAACCUAUAAAUUGAGAGCUCCACUUCAUUUAUUGACAAGAGAACACUUGCAUUCAAAGCCCACCUACCUGUUCUUGAUCAAAAAGCUCUUAUUUCUUUCAUAGUGCAUUAAAUUACCACUUGCAUAUCCUUUAGUGCACUCUUGUUUGUCAUCCUAGCUUUAUCUUGUAUUUGAGCCAUCUUUAAGCUAGGUUGAGUGAUUAUAUCUUGUAACAAUCCGAGUGUUAAAGCCUUCAAGAGGGUUGAAUCUUGAAGAGGUUGUGUAAGAGCCCAUUGGAGCCGGAUUCCAAGUGUAAGAAGAUUAGAAGCUUGGUUGAAGUUUCAUGUUAGUGGAACCUUCACUCGGUUAGAAGGUUGAGGAGAGUGGACGUAGGCAAGGAAGUGUCGAACCACUAUAAACCCAAGUUUGAAUUCUCUAAACUCUAUAUCUUUACUUUGCUCAUAUUUUGUUUAAAUUUGUUGUGAUUGAAAAGAUUUAAAAAACCCAAUUCACCCCCUAUUUUAGGUGUUUUUCUUAACUAAGCAUAGCCUUUGUUUUCUCAGAAAUCAAUGGAUACCAAUAAAAUGAUCGAAUAAUAAAACAAAUCGAGCAUGAGAAUGAAUAAAUAAAUGAAGUAGGAGUGAGAGCGUACCUUAGUAGCAAAUAAUAGUGCACUAUCAUGGAAAAAAGGUUAGCUCAAGUACAAAAUUUAUCGCAUGCAUAUCAAAGAGCAAGACAAAGAUCAAGCAAUAUUCAUUAAGGUGUGGCUCCUAUAGAGGUGCAAAAAUAAGUUUGAUAAGCCCACAAUGCAAACAAAAGCUUCUCUAACCAAUCUCGAGAAGUCUCAAUCAUCCUCUGCAAGAUCCUCUUAAUAUUCUUAUUCGCAUCCUCUACCACUUCGUUAGUCUGCGGCCUGUAUGCAGACGAUCUAUGAUGCUGGAUACCGUAUCUCUGUAAUAAAGUGUCAACAUCUGCUCUAAAAUGUACUUCUCUGCUCGAAAUCAACUCAUGAGGGACUUCAUAGCGACAAAUAAUGUGUGAUCUGAUGAAACUAGCGACCCCAAAUGAUUUCAAUCUCGCAUAUGAAGCAGCCUCCAUCCACUUGGUAAAGUAAUCAAUGAUGACCAAGAUGAACUCAUGACUACUGGAAGACUUUGGCGAAAUCUUCCCAAUAAUGUUUAUACCCCAUAUUGAAAAUGGUCAUGGUGAAUUCAGUGCAUGUAACUCUAAAAGGGGUAUGUAGAUAAGGUCUCUAUGAAUCUAGCACUCUCGACAUCUUUAAACAAACUGGCAAUAAUUUGUCUCCAUAGUCAACCAAAAAUAGUCGGUCUUCAUGACCUUACAAGCUAAUAUAUGUUCUCCCAUAUGUGGUCCACAAACUCCCACAUGAACCUCUCUCAUCACUCAAUCGGUAGAGGCGUGGUGAAAGCACAAUAGUAACAUCCCAUCAACUGAUCGUUUGUACAAUGUCUCCCCACAGAUCACAAACCGGGUAGCUAACUGUUUCAAUGCUCUCUUAUCCUUGGUUGUGGCGACCUCAAGAUAUAUGUCAAGUCUCAAAAACUGAUAUAUGUCAUGGCACCAAGGCAAACCAUCUUCCAACUCUGCCUCAUCAAUCAAGCAACAAUAGGUAGGAACUGAUCUCGACUCAAUCAGUAAAGGGCGAACAAUGGUAUCAGCGAGAAUAUCAAUCAUGGAAGCUAGAGUAGCUAAGGUAUCAACAAACUGGUUUUGCGCUCUAGGCAGAUGAGUAUAACUCAAAUCAUCAAAUUUUCCAACCACCAGCUCUAAGUAUGCAUGGUAAGGCUUAAGUUUCACAUCUUUAGUCUUCCAAUGGCCUUGAAUCUAUCUCAAUACCAGAUUGGAGUCACUAAACACCUCCAUCUGUCUAAUCUCGAGCUUAAGAGUUGUCUCUAAUCCCAAGAUACAAGCCUCAUUGUGGACCCGCAUUUUUCACGUGCGUCCCCACUCGAUCGGCGAGACUCACAUUCUAUUUGUGAAAAAUUAAUUUUAGAAAAGUUGGAGUCGCCACCUAUUUUAUUUUUAUUUUAAAGGGAAAAUAAAACAAGAAAGAAAAACCCUAAAAAGUGACUCCAUAGUUUUGGAAAAAUCAUGUCUUUGAGAAACCUAAGUCUAGGUCCGGGGAUUAGGUUACUUAUUGGGAAGGUACCUCUAGGAGAUAGCACCCCUCUAAGCCUUAAAGAGGUCUUUACUGACUAAAUUGGGGAAAUGGGGCAAUUAAUUGAUUAAUUGUAGAUACCUAAGUAAGCUAGGUGAUUUUAGAAAGUAGCAUGCUAAAUAAGGAGAUCAAUCACAAUAAAGGAGAGUUAGAGUGUGUACCUGAACCACUUCUUAAGCGCUAUCAUAAAACAUCAAUGGUUAAUUCAGAAGUAUGACACACGACAUGCAUUUUAUCAAGGAUGAUCAAACAAGCAUUGAGACAAUCAAGUAUGGCAUCAAACAAGGACAAUGACAUGCAUAUUCAUGAAAUUUUGGGAACGUACCUGGAUAGCAUAUAUAACUCCUAAUGCGCUUCCUCAGGACAUGGGGGUUAGAUAAUAAAUAAUAAAUAAUGAAUAAUAAAUCCUAGCAUGCUUAUCUAAUUAAUUAGCAAAAAUUAUCAGAAUUCGGAAUAAUUAAUUAUCAUACAUAUCUUGCAUACAAUUCCCAAAAAGAAAAAUGUAAAUAUGAUUACAAUAAAUAGCAAGGUGGUAGCAAAAAAUAAAUUUUGAAAAAGAUUUUCUUAUGUAGGGGUUUCACCAAUUCCCCAAAUUAAUAUACAUGAAUUUAGCCUAAAAUUGUCCCAUUUAUUUGGGACCACAAGCUUUGAUUCGCAUUUUGUUUAAAACCAAAAUUUUUGUUGAAAAUUGAGAAGGAUGCAAACCGAUCGAAAUAUGGUUGCAAAUUUUAAGAAAAUGAAAUUUUUUUUUUCUAAGGACUCUAAAUGAAUUCUUUUAAAAUAGAUUUUUAAAGGGAUCUUUUAAGAAAAGUGUUGGAUUUCAAAAUAAAAGAAAUUAAUUUGAAAACGACAAGACAUAAAGAACAAAAUACCAAGCAAAACAAAAGUUAUUAAAAUCGCAAAGUAGAGUUUUUGACAAUUGAGAAAAUUGAAGUGGUGGGAAUGGAGGUCAAUCUUCACUAUUUUCCAAUGGCCUCCGAAAAGUAAAUUUUACCAUAGACUACCAAAGCAAUAAACUAUUCGAACUUAGAUCAUAUAAGCUAACGAUCACUACUACAAAAAUUGAAAUUAAUGACGCUUUAUUUUAUGACGCUUUCUAAAAGCGUCAUUAUUGAGGGUAUACAAUGACGCUUAUAAGAAGUGUCAUAGUUGUAUUAUUUAUCUUGAUACUUAUUAUAAGUGUCAUUAUUUGAUGUCAUCUUUUUCCUUAUAAUCGUGUAUAUAAUGACGCUUAUAAGAAGCGUCAUAGUUUUAUUAUUUACCUUGACACUUAUUAUAAGCAUCAUUAUUUGAUGGGUAUGUAAUGACGUUCCUGAGAAGUGUCAUAGUUGUAUUGACUUUUAAAAUUUUUGUUUUAAGUUAACUUAUACAAAUUUUGAUAUUAGAAUUUUAUUCUAUAAAUUAAUUAUGGUAAAUUGACAUUAAUAUUAAUGACAUAAAGUUGCUAGAUUAAGGUUUUUUUAAAAAAAAUUGGAUAUAAAUAAAAUAAAAUCCUAAUAAAUUAUUUUUUUAUUGUUUGAUAUUAAUUUUUUUAUAGUUUGUAUCAAUACAAUCUAUUUUCAUAAACUAUUUUUCAUUUUUAUUAAAUUAGAAAUUAUCUUAUAUUUCAUUUAAAAAUAAUUUGUUAAUUUAUUUGUGGACCACAAAAAAGUGGCCUAUUUUGAGCACUUGUUCGAGCCUUGGGCCACAUUUAUUGGGUUUAACCCUUUUAUUUGAGAAUGUUUUAUAGUUAAUGAAUAUAAAUUUGAAAUUAUUUAACUAAAAUGAAAUAAAUUAAUAUUUAAAUUAAUUUAAUGAUGAUUAGACUCACAAUAAAACUAAAUGCAAUAAGAAUAUUUAUAAAAACUUUCUAAUAUUUAUGGGAAUUAAGCUCAUUCUAUUAAAUUAGUUUUUUUUUUAAAUAUCAAUAUUCAAAUUAAACCGACAUCAACCUAAAAUAUCAAAUAAUUAAACAAUAUAAAUUCAUUAUGAGUUCAAUAUAUAAAAAUUAUUAUUGGAAGAUGAAAUAAAGAAUACUAUUUUAAUAUAUUGAAAAAGGACAUGCAUGGUAUUUUAGAAUUUGUUAUAAAGUCUCCAUUGAAAACCCUAACUUUUGGAAGACAAGAAAGAAGGGAGAGAGCCACCGUUUUUAAUGAGAAAGAAGAGAAGAGAGAAAAAUGCAAGUUUUUCUCAUCAUGCCCAGAUUUCAUCAAAGGUUUGAUCCCACUUCGUCCGUGGUCCGAUCGAGCUGAAAUUUGGAGGAGAGUUUCGUGACUCAUUUAUCUUCAAUCUGAACGAUGAAGAUCGGAUUUGGAGUUUCGGAAAGUCAUUAGAAAGAAAGAGGAGAAGAGAGAAAAACGUAGGUUUUCUCAUCAUGCCCAGAUUUCAUCAAAUGUCCGAUCCCGCUUCGUCCGUGGUCCGAUCGAGUUGAAAUUUUAAGGAGAGGUUCGUGGCUCAUGUAUCUUCAAUAUGAACGGUGGAGAUCGGAUUUGGAGUUUUGGACAGUCAUUAGAGAGAAAGAGGAGAAGAGAGAAAAACGUAGGUUUUUCUCAUCAUGCCUAGAUUUCAUCAAAUGUCUGAUCCCGCUUCGUCCGUGGUCCGAUCGAGUUGAAAUUUGAAGGAGAGGUUCGUGGCUCAUGUAUCUUCAAUAUGAACGGUGAAGAUCGGAUUUGGAGUUUCGGACAGUCAUUAGAGAGAAAGAGGAGAAGAGAGAAAAAUAGUGGUUUUUUACAUCAUGCCCAGAUUUCAUCAAAUGUCCGAUGCCGCUUUUUUCAUGGUCUGAUUGAGCUGAAAUUUGAAGGAGAGGUUCAUAAGUCAUUAAUCUUAAAUUUGAACGGUGAAGAUCGGAUUUAGAGUUUUGAAAAGUCAUCUUUCAGCUAAAAACAAAACCUUUAUUUUAUCAAAGAUGACGCUUCCUGAAAGUGUCAUUGUUGCCUAAGACAUACAAUGACAGAGGCGAAGAGGACGCUUUAGAGAAGCGUCAUCUGUUACCUUUCUUGACGCUUAAAAAACGUCAUUGUUUCCCAUUUUUCUUGUAGUGGAUAUACCCACCAAGAAUUAAUGACUAUUUUCGAGAAACACAUCAAUUAAAAAUAACAAUCAAGAAUUAGCACAUGAUCAAUCAAACACACAAACGCAUCUAGACUUGUUAAAAUGGAUGAAAUUAAGUCAAGGCAAAUGUGAAUUUUCAGUCAUAAAAUUAAUUUUUUUAAUAAGCUAAUAUUAUAAAAAAUACCUAAACUAAAUAGAUGAGUUAAAUUUAACCAAGGUAGACUAAAAGAAACAUGAUUUUUUUCACAUAAAAUUGAUUAAACCAAAAAGUUAGAAACUCACAAACACAUCUAAACUAAAAGAAAAAUCAGCACUAAAGUAAAUUGAAAUGAAAAAAAUAAGAACUUUAUCAUGUAGAAUUAAUUAAACUAAUUAUAAAAAAACAUCUAAACUAACGAAAUAAAUUAAAAUUAAACUAAAAUAAAAUUUAAAAAAAGAAAAAGAAACUUGCCUUCAAGAAUGCAUAUUGCUGAAUCUAUUGUAGGAAGACCGCUCUUGGAUGCGUGCCUUUCUUUGCGUGUUUCAGGAAAUCAUCUCUUAAUGCGUGGCUUAUGUGGCGGCCAUCUUCCUCUUUCCAUAAGAUACAAUUCCAUAAGUACCCGAACCAAGUUCUUUUAUGUAUUCUAGGUCAGAAUUUUAUUUUAUUUUUUAUAAUCUGCAGCACUCUAGUGGCUAGAAGAGAAUAAAAUAUGGCCUGGUUGUGUAGUUGACAAUGACGGGAAUUGGAGGAUUCAUCGUUUUCAAAUAUGCAUGGAUGGAUGGGCUGCUGUCCAGAUGGUUCCGUCAGUGAGUUCAAACAGCCACCUCUUUGCUCUCAAAUCUCCUUGCACUAAUCCCUUCAAAACAGCCCCUCUCACACUCUCUAAACUCUCUCUUUUAUAUCCCUUGAAAUAGCCUCUCGCAUGCUCUCAAAACUCUCUCUUCGGAUCAUCUCAAACAACAACUCCUCACGCUCUGAAAAUGCGGACUGAUCUUUGUGCGGACAGCAGCCUAUGAUCCCUUCAAAACGCCUACUAAUCUCUUCCCAAACGGCAUCCUCAAAGGCUCUAAAAAAUCCCUCAUCCGUUCACUUCAAACAGCAGCCUCUCACGCUUCAAAACGCCUCCUGAUCUCCCCCCAAACGGCAGCCUCUCCUUCCAUGGAAUACUCUGUUUCUUUGUUUUAAUCUCCGCGGAUAUAUGGAAAGUGCAUAUGUGGUGACUCACUUAGAGAUUCUAUAGGAUGCAGUCGUGUGUCCUCCUUGGUAAGUAAUCAAAUCCUUACCAUGUUGACUUUUCUUUCUAAAAAAAAACAAAAAGAAUCUCCUCACAGCCCACUAUAUGCGUAUUGUGCACUAAUGGUGGACUGCAUGUCCACUUCUCCUCAUUCAUGGACUGUGUUCUCUCAUGCGGAGUGCGUGUUGUGUCCAACUCUUUCAAGCAUGCAGCCGCUUUGCUUAUGGCAGCAUGUGGAUGAAGAAUUGAUGUGCAAAUUGGAGGUGGACCAAUCAUGGAGGUUCAGGAAUCGGGAUGCCAAUGUUGCUAUCAGUUUUCCUUUCCUCUCUUCAAUGCGCCCUGAAAAUGUAUCAAAAAUGGUGCGGCUGGUUGGUGGUCGUCUUCCCAAUGGUGCAAUUGCACCUUUAUCCUGAUCAGAAUCUGUGUCCGCUCCAUUCAAAAAGCUGGUGCAUCCCUCUUCAAAAAUCUGGUGCAUCUCUCUUUCAAGAAUCCCAUCAUACUCCCUUCCAAAAUUUGGUCAUCUUUCCCCUUAACAAUCUCGUGUAUCCUUUCAAAAAUCUGAUCAUCUUUCUCUGCUCCCAUCUUGCACCCAUAGGGAUCCUUCAAUAUGUGGACUGUCCAGAUCUUUCACAUGCGUGCUGGCCACUUACCAUCCUUGCAUGGUGAUAUCUUCCUUCCUUUUUUUUACAGGAUUCUUUCCAAGUCUCUUUAUUUGGCCGUGAUCUUCUCUCAUUCAUGGCUCCAAGUCUCAUGCAAAAAUUAAAAAUAAAAUUGAAAUAAGAAAUGGGAAUUAUGAUCAAAAUGAAAUAUAACGAAAUAAAAUAAAAUCUCAAAUCACAUAGCCACAAAAUCCAAGAUAUCAAUUUAUGGGAUUAAAGAAUAAAUAAAUAAGUAGGUAAAUAAACAAAUAAAUUGAUAAAAGUAUAAAAAUAAAUAUUAGACGUAUGCAAUUAGGAAAAAUCAAGAAAUUAAAUUAAUGCAACAGAUUAUAAUAAUUUAAAUGUCAAACUCAAAACCAUUAAAAAUCAUAAAAUUCAUUCAUGCAAUAAAAAGUCAAACAACACUCAUCUUAUCCCGAAAAAUAAGUAACCAAAAUCAAGAUCAUGCCUAAGAGAACUAUGCCAAAAGAAGUGUCUAAGUGACCUAUUUUGAAAGACUGUCUAAGUAACCUAGGGUGAAUGUGUGCAAGCUAGAAGGUGCUAAGUGCAUCUAAAUUGGCCUAAGGUGGUGCCUAAUGGGCCAAAUGUAUCUAAAUGGGUCUAGGGUGCCUAAGUGGGCCUAAGUCUAAGUGAGCCUAAGUCUAAAUCAAGACUACCAAGGAUCAUAAUAAGGGGUUAGGCAAUCCCUCAACCAAAGUCUCCGAGGUGGCUCAGAAAAAGUAAGUAGUAUGAGUAGCUAUGGGUCACCAAGGAACUACUGUAGAGCCUUGGAAAUGAACUUAAAGGCAUGUGCUAAAGAGACAAAAUUAAGGGUCUACACUCAUACUCAACAAUAUUGUUCAUGGCAAGGUGUCGACCAGAGAAUGCCAAACGAACAAAUCUAGGAAUGUGGUCAUCGUGAUGGGAUAUCAGUAGAACACCUAUCCCGUAUCCAAAAUGGUUGGCCGCAACAUCAAAGUACAUGCGCCAACCUGACGAAGUAGUCACUGCAGCGAUAUCCUCAUCUAGAAAGUCAUCAUCAAUAGCUCUACCAUCAUAAAAACUAGUAAUGAGGCUAAGUGAUCUACAACAAUGCUCCAUCUGAUAGACUUUUGAGUGACAUAAUGAAUAUCGAACUCAAUCAGGAGUACCAACCAUCUCAUGAGUCGAUCAAUCAAAGCAAGCCUGUCAAACAAAUAUCUCAAAGAAUCUAGACAAGAUAUCAAGUGCACUGAAUACUCCGUCAUGUAAUGUCUCAAUCUCUUAGUAGCUCAAACCAACGCCAAACAGAAACGUUCAAUCAUGACAUAUCUUGUCUCAUAAUCAAGCAUCCUCUUACUCAAAUAAUAAAUAGCUCGCUCAUUUCUAGAAUCAUUGAGCUGAGCUAACAUGCAUCCCAAGGCUAUAUCUGAGACUGACAAGUAUAGGAAUAAGGGACAACCUGGUGUAGGAGGCACCAAGACUAGAGGCGAAAACAAGUACUCCAUGAUCCUCUCAAAUGCACGCUGACACUCAUCAUCCCAAACAGGAGGUCGACUCUUCCUCAAGAGUAAAAAAAUGGGCUUGCAAAUAUCUGUCAAUCUGGCGAUGAAUCUACUGAUGUACUGGAGUCUACCUAAAAAACCUUUGAUCUCUCUCUCAGUCCUCGGCGCAGGCAUGUCAAGGAUGGCUCUGAUUUUAUCUGGAUCUAUUUCUAUGCCUCUCUCACUGACCAUGUAUCCUAGAAGUCACUCCAAAAGUGCACUUCUUAGGAUUCAGUCCUAAUCUGAACUGUCUGAUCAUAUCAAAGAAUCUCUUUAAGGCUGUUAGGUGAUCUACUCUAUCUUGAGAUUUCACUAUUAUGUCAUCUACAUAGACCUCGACAUCCCAAUGCAUCAUGUCAUGGAAAAGGAUAGUCGUUGCUCUUUGAUAAGUAGUUCCUGCAUUCUUCAACCCAAAUGGCAUAACUUUGUAGCAGUAAGUACCCCACUCAGUAAUCAAAGAUGUCUUCUCCAUGUCCUUUAGAGCCAUCAUAAUCUGACUGUACCCAAAAAAUCCAUCCAUAAAGGACAACAUCGAAUGACCUGUUGUACUAUCAACUAGCAUGUCAAUGUGUGGGAGAGAAAAAUCAUCCUUGGGAUUGACCUUGUUGAGAUCUCAGAAAUCAACGCAGACUCUCACCUUGCCAUCCUUUUUGGGAACGGGGACGACAUUGGCCAACCACUCAGGAUACUCAACCACUGAUAAAAAUCCCACACUAAGCUGCUUCUGAAUUUUUUCUUUCACAUGCAGACUCCAACGAGGAUGCAAUCACCUCAACUUCUGCUUAAUCGGUCUAGCAAGGGGCAGUAGUGGCAAGUAAUGCUAGACUAUGGAUAGAUCAAGGCUAGAUAUGUCCUCAUAAGACUCUGCAAGUGAUGUUGGACUAUGGAUGGAUCAAGGUCAGACAUGUCCUCAUAAGACCAUGCAAAGACAUCCAAAUAUGAUAUGAGUAACUGGACAAGGCCACCACUCUCAUCUGUAAACAAAUCCAAUCCAAUCCUCAGCUCCCUAGGCUAGUCUGUUGUACCAAAAUCAACAAUCUCAACGUCUCUUGUGGUAGGUGAAACUCUCUGAUCACUAGGACUCAAAUCAGAAGCAAAAGAAGAGUCUGCAUCUGAAUCGUGAUGUACAAUCUCAUCAUCUAUAUCAAAUAUUUGUGAUGUGGGUGAAUGAGGUGCAGAUAAAGUGUUAUCACAAUAAAUAGGCAAAUACUCAAAAAGACUCAUAUCCAUAUAUGAAGAAAGAGUCAGUACAUCAUCAGAAUGGGAGACAAACCCGACAGUACAUCAAAAGAAAGUGGUGGGUCCACAUGUUUGGACUCUACCAUGACUGGGCUAUUAACACCCACAAAUACAUCAUCAUCAACUAUAUCAUCCUUUGAAAACUCCAGAGCAGGAGCAAUCUGGAUCUCCUCAGCAACCUCGAUGGCGGACACCCCAAAUAGAUCAAAUGGAGAAGCAAACUCAGGUUGGACUAUCCCAUCAAUCUGACUCAUACUCAUCGCGAGCAUCUCAUCAAUGUACCUGUCGUGUGGAACAACUCCAUCCACCAUGUCCCUAAUCUCAGCAAAUGUCCCAUGCUCGUCGACCUCAUCCUAGAAAUAGAGUGUCAUGAGGCUCAUAUGAUCUGGAGAUGAUGGGGUGGCUAAUGUAGAAGCAGAAGUGCCAGGAGCUCCAUCACUCAACCGUAGCUAAUGGACAAGACGCUGAAGCUCAGCCUCCUCAACAGUGUUGAAUCCAUCAAUAAUCCCACUUGAAUGCGUCUAUGGCUCCGGUGCCCUCACAAAGUAGUCCGCCAAGCUCAUGUUGUAUGAGCAAAUAGGAUAGUCAAAUGGUGUGUGAGUCAAUCGGGCUCUCACUCUCUCCUUGCGCAAUCACACCAUAUAUCAAUAAUCGGCCUCAGUAGGAAUAAACUCAAAUCCAAAUGGUACAUCACGAUCAACGAUAGUUAUAAGCUCAUUGGGCUCAUGCUGACAUCGCCCUAAUCCCAUGCUCGGCAGAAAAGACAUGCUCCUCAUCAUGUCAAGCACCACUGUACUACCAUGCUAAUCAAAUGACAUAGCCACAAAGUCCCUACAAAAAUCCUCAAUCUCCAGAGUUUACACCUCAUCAAAUAUGAACCCAGUAAAAAACAAAUCAUCCUCAUUGUGACUAAUCUGAAGCACUGGCUUGGAAGAAGCAAACAUAUCUCCAAUAGACCACACCGUGAUGACUUGGCCAUCAUGAAUGAACUUCACCUUCUGAUGAAGGGAAGAAGGAAUGGCCCCAGCUCUAUGAAUCCAAGGUCGGCCAAUAGUAGGUUAAAAGAUGUAGAAAUCCUCAAAACCUGGAAUAGAGUAGGAAAUGUAGUCGGACCUAUCAAUAGCUCGAUCUCCAAAGUGCCCAUGACCUUCCUCUUAAUGCUAUCAUAUGCUCUGAAUUUCUGAGUAGAGGGACCAAAGUUUGAGGACGCAUAGCCGAGGGCAAUGACAUAAGCUAAGGGACAGACGUUCAGGGUUGGGCCAUCGUCCAAAAUGACAUAUGGGACUUGGUGGCCUGAAAAACCAACUGAGAUGUAUAGAGGACAUGUAUGGUCUGAACCCUCGGGUGGCAAAUCAUCAUCUAAAAAUAUAAUGCAAGUGGCUCUGCCAACUGUCAUAAUGUGAAUCAACCCCUCGAGAAUAGUGGUAGUCUCGACUCUAAUCUAACUCAAGGCUCAAAUCAAUGCAUCUUUAUGAGUGCUAGAAGAUGCCAAUAAGCUCCAAAUAGAUAUACAAGUCUGGGUACUCUACAACUAUAUCAGAAUAUCAUCAUCAUCUCUCCUGACCUUCUCAUGAGAGGCUGCACCCUCCAAGGGUCUAGCGGUUGUGAAGGGUUGCUGUCAUACUACCCUACCUCUGUGAAUAACAUAUUGUAUAUCUGGAGUAUGAACAUCAUCAACAUAUGGAGUAUGUACCUCAUCAACGUCUGGAAUCAAAACAAACGAAGUCUGAACACUAUAACAUGGAAAAAUCAAUGGCUCGACUAUAGUCAACUAUACUGAUGUCACAUCGAGAACCAACCUGAAUAGUGUGGGCAUCCAUGGGCCCAAGGUCAUUCUACCUACCUCAUAAAUCCCAUCUACUACUAUAGGCUCUAGCACUGACUCAUCCCAACUCAGCAUGUGGAUAUGAUCAUAUGGCUUAGUGAAAUCCAUGAAAUGUAUACCGUUGGCUAGCAGAGAGACUGCAUGUGAAGUAUAAGCUAGCAGAGGGUUAGUGGUUACACUUGGCUAACCCAAUGAACCAAACCCUGAUCUAUCAAGUCCUCGAUGGCGUGCCUCAAAGUAGUGCAAUGGUCCGUGUCAUGCCCUAGACCCUGAUGGUAAGAACAAUGUAAAUCCAUCCUGAAGCGAGGUGGCAUGAGUUGAGGUAUAUGCCGAGGAGCUAACUGAGUCAACAAACCACCCUCCAUGAGCUUUUAGAAAGCUCGGCUCAAAGGCAUACCUAGUUGGGAGAACUGUUGUGUCGACCUUUGUACAAAAGAAAUAAUAGUCUGUGGGGCUCGUGGCUGAGGGUAUAAAGUAGGAGGUCUCUCUAUGACAUGUGCAGCAAAAACAGGUUGUGAGACCAGAUGUAGAUAAGUAGGAGUCAUAGGUUUGGAGGAAAUAGGUGGCCUAUACUGAACAUGAGGUGGUGGUGGGUAGUAGAAUCCAGAAGGCUGCCCAACUGUCUGAUAGCGUCUAGGAGGUCUCAACCCUGUUGAACUGAUAGCACUCACAUCUUCUAAUCUUUGUCCUCCUAAAGGCUGCUUUCCCUAAGAGUCAGUAGGGGAAGACUCGACCAUAAUCCUCUAGUUAUGUCCUCCUCUAUACCAUAUAAAUCAUGUACCAAAGAUCCAAAAUCCGUAUGAGAAAAUCCCAUCAAGUGCCUAGCAAAUCAAGGCUGCAAGCUCCUCAUGAUCAUACUAAUCUGAUCAUUCUCCGAAGGAUGAUCAAUAACCUGUGAAAUCUUCUCUCUUUAGCGAGAGAUAAAUGAGGUGAUCGACUCAUCUAGCCUCUAUCUCAAAGCCUCUAACUCUCUCAUCGAAACAUCAAUGACAAUGUUAAAUGCAAACUGUCUCAAGAACUUCUGGGCCAAAUCAUCCCAAGUUCGGCGGCGUGAUACAUCCAAUGAAGCAAACCAACGUUGUGCCACACCACUCAGGGAUAUAGGAAAAAACAUAACCAUCUGGGCCUCAUCCAAUCCAUGGGCCCUCAUAACCGUACUGUAAAGCCUCAAAUGGAUGCAAGGAAAGCCAAUGUCCGUGUAUUUCUCAAUCUUAGACAUCCUAAACUUUGUCGAUAAACUGGCCACUGGUGCUCCAUUAAAAUCCUCCUAAGUAAUAGCUCCAUCUGAAGUCUUCAUCUGUCUCAUCCUCUACUCAAGUCUAUCCAUACGAGCAUGUGGGUCCUCUGAGAUCGGGGUAGGCACUAUGACAGGAGGCAAGGCAACCUCAGUCUGACUCUAUAAAGUAAAUGAUAUAGGUUGUGAAACUAUCUGACCAAGUGGGAGAGGUGGCAGAAUAGUGGGAUCAUACUGCACACUCUCCUAAACUGGAACCUUUUGGGUUUGCUACCCAUCCAUCCUUUGAUCAAGACUAGUUAUGGCCUCCUGGAUCGAAGCCAUAGCAGCAACGAACUGAUCAAAUGUAACCACCUACGAAUCCAUAUCUAUCUGAUCUAACUGGUCUGAUACUCUGAUCAAUCUACCUUUAACUCUGAUCUAAGAAGUUAAACCCAGAUCAAACGUAUCAAUACACCUACAAUAGUGGAAAUACUAGAUAAGAUAUUGUGUAAGGGAAACUCUACAAGGAGUGUCUAUCAACUAUGCAGGAAGGUAACCUGGAAGUAUUCAAACUUAUAUCUAAUUCUGAGCAAAUAUAUAAGAGACUACUAUGAAGGUAACUAAAUUUAUCACUACUGACCCGGCUCUGAAGGCCCAUAGAUGCACCCACGUGUAGGAAAGGAAAUUCUGAUCGAAUAAUCGAAGGCUCAACCUAUAAGGUCAAGGUGGCUCUAAAAAAAAAAAAAGAUGGACUUUAAAGGAUCCCUAGCAGAAGCGAUCAUACCCUUCAACAGUAUGCAACCCUCUGCACGCCUUUGAAAAGACGAGGCGCUUCCAUGCAAGGUGGUCAUCACCUCUACACAUGCACUACCUCGACAUCGUAAGGGGUUUUGCUAUAGUGAAAGCUCUCACAACUCUCAGCACUCAGUAGUCAACUAAAGUGCAUAGUGAGUGGUGCAGGUGCAUCCGAAAAACCUAUGAAGAUAAAGUAGAAAAAGAAACACAUUAGUCACACAAAUAUCCAUGAAACCAGCUCUAGGCUAUUCAGGUCUUCAAAGAUCAGACUCCAAUCAAUGUGUCGGCCUCCUCAAGAAUGCUCCUAAACAUCAAUAUAGCCCAUCACUAUACCUUACUCCUAACCACUAGCUCGGUCAUAGAAACAAGUACACACAAGGCCUCACACUUGCAAAUAUAAGAACCGAAAUGAAGGAAAUGACCGAAACCAAAGGGUUGGAGGUAAGGGGAUAGAUGUGCGAUCCACACAGACAAGCAACAUACAAUCACAUAGGAGAAGAUUAGUUAUGCAACAAGCAAUCAAGCAGAGCGCAAAUAUAUCAUCCAUGUCCAUACACAAGCCAAACGAAAAUAUGACAAUCACAAUGACUAGCAACAAGGAUAGCAUGCUCAAAUAUAAUCAAGAUAACAUACAAGAAAGAUAAUCAACACUAAGACAAAUAAGAGAUGCAGCAAAGUGAACAUACAUGUCAAAGUGAGUAGGAUAAUCAAGGCAAGAGCAAGAUCGAUCAAUAUCAUCAGCAUGCCAAUGUCGCAAAGGGAUAUAACAAUUAAGCAAAGAAAAUCGUUGCAUCAAAAUCCUCAAUGUGCUAUGAUCACUCAAGCAUUGAAAAUUGUAAUUUUGAAAAAUUAUUUGAAAAUUGGAGUUUUGAAAAUUAAAUUUAAAAAUUAGAAUUUUGGAAAAUUAAAUUUAAGAAUUGGAAUUUUGGAAAUUAAAUUUGAAAGAAAUUGGAGUUUUGAAAAUUAAUUGAGAAUUGGAGUUUUGAAAGUUAGUUUUAAGAAUUGGAGUUUUGAAAAUUAAUUUUGAAAGAAAUUGGGGUUUUGAAAAUUAAUUGAAAAUCGGAGUUUUAAAAAUUAAAUUUAAGAAUUGGAGUUUUGAAAAUUAAUUUUGAAAGAAAUUGGUUUUUUUUUUUGUUUUCAUAUUCUCAUAAACGAAAAAUGGAAACUAAUGAAUAAAAAUAAAAAUUAAAGAAAAAAAAAAGCAUUUAAAAUAUAUAUCAAGAAAGAAAGAUAUUGAUCACCUAUUUCUUUCAACAUAAGUUCCUCUAAGUAAAAUGAUAAGGUUGCCACUAUGGUUUAAUCUCAGGAGGUUUAAGAGCACACAUCUUGGGGGAAGGUUUGAGAGCACAUCUUCAAUACGGGAAGGUUUGAGAGCACAUCUUUAAUAGGGGAAGGUUUGAGAGCACAUCUUCAAUAGGAGGAGGUUUGGGAACACAUCUUUGGUGGGAAAAUAAGAUUGAUAACUUCUUCUUUUUUAAAUAUAUACUACUAUUAAAAAUGUGAGGUGUUUGUCAAUUUUUUCAUUCCAAAAAUAUCUGACAACUCCUUUUAAUUCUAAAAAUACUUCUCAUCAAUUUAUUAAUAACAAUAUAUUAAUAUUUAAUGUUACAAAAUGUAUUCUAUUAUCAUAAUCUAUUAGUAUCAAAUGACAUUAUACAUUUUAUUCUCUUUAGAACCUAUAAUAUUCUUUGACUCUUGAUGAUGUGCCUAAGCCCCAUAUUUUCAAUGCCCACAUAAGCCUUUUCUAUCAUUUUCUCCUCUCCAUGGUCACAACAGCUUCUUCUUCAAGCUUUUAGAUUUUUCUUUGCAAAAUUGCCAUCUUAAUAUUCCUCUUCGCCACAAAUGGCAGUCGAUUCAAGACUAUGUCUAGAGUUAUGGUCAUGGUUCUGGAAGGUUUGGAUUGAUGAAAGUGUUAUGUUAGGGACAAGAGAGAGUUUCAAUGAAAUGUAAUGUUUUGGGGAAAGCUAAGAAUGACAAUGGUGGCAAAGAAGGUGUUCAUGAAAAGAACAAACAGUUUGUGUGGUGGUUUCGGGAGGCGUGGUUGUAUUUUCACAUUCAUAGGGGUGACACGUUUGUUGUCAUAAUUUUUGGUGAAAUUGUUGUCAAUUCUUACUUGGAACCCAUACUGAAGGCACAUUUUCUAUGAAUUUCUUUUCCUCUGUUAAUUUAGUUUGAAUGAAUAAACUGUUAUUGUGUUUCAUAAAAGCAAUAUGGAGGGUUGGUUUGGAUAGUGGUGAUACUCUACAUUCAGAUAUGUUUUCCUUUUGUAUUUUGGAAACUAAUGAAUCAUAACAUGCUUAUUGGUGAAAGGAGAUUGUUGUUUAUCCCCUAUUUGUUUAAAGAGAAUGAAUUGUGUUUGUGGAGUUGACAAUUGAAGAUGUUGACUGUGAUUUAAAUCCAAAUAGUUUUAGAGAAUUGGUCAAAUAAAUCUCUGAUAAAUAUUUUUUUUUAAUGAAUUUACAACUCUUAUCUAAGUAAUUUAUCGCAUUGAUGGUAUCUAUGUAUAUCAAUUAUUUGUGUUCUAAUUUAUUGUGAUUCUAUCUCGUGUUAUUAAUCAUUUGGGUUAUUGGAUUUUAACAUUUUGAUUUUUAUCAUUUCCCAUAUUUUUAAUUCAUUGCAUUUUUGUUCGUUGUGAAUGUUAUUUAUUUAUUAUUUUAGCACUCAUUGGGUUUUUUGUGAACACAAUUAGAUCAACUGUUGUUGCCAUUAGUGUUUUUGAUGAUUUUGCUUACAUGUUUAUUAGGGAAAUAUUAGAAUUCAAGGUGUUUGGUACAUUUGAGAGGUAAUCCAAUUUAGUAUUAGAGUAUACCUUUUUUUUUUAAUGAAUCCUGAUUUUUUUUUUUUAUUGGGAUCAAAAUUUGUUACUUACUCUAGAAAUUUAGUAUUUUUGUAAAUACUUUUAAUUUUUCUAAUUAUAUUUUUUUAUAAGUAUUUAGAACUUAAAGGUUUUACUGAAAAGAAAAUGAAGUUAGUAGUUUUAAAUUGAAAUUAGUCUUAUUUCUUAAGGUUUUUUUCCUUUUUCAUUUUUAGCUUAAUUGAAUCUAGAACUUUCUUGUACAUUAUAAUUCUAAAAGAAGUUUUAAUUACAACCUAUUAAUAUUUAAUGUUACAAAACGUAUUCAUCCAUUAAUAUCAAUCACAAAAUUUAUUAAUAUUUAAUGUUACCAAAAUCUAUUAAUUAUUCCCUUUAAAAUCACCCUAUAACAUUAUAAAAUAUUAUAAUUAAUACAUUAUCUAACCAACAAUUAAGAAUUACCCCUUCACUCUUCAAAUUUCUUAUGAUGACAGUUUCACUUUUCAUUUCUAAAGUUUGAAAACUUUUUAAAUUUCUCAUAACCUUUUCCUCUUUGAAGAGAAUUAAGAAGUUUUUGUAAAUUGGCACUCCCAAUUUGAAUGAAGUACUAUUUGGUGAGUUUUUAUUUAGUGUUCUGAAUGAUUUUACUUAAAUGUUUGUGUUACUUAUGAGAAUAAUUUGAUUACUUUGUUGAAUUUUAUUUUUAUGAUUUUGACCUUUUUAAAACAAUACUCAAUUCUUUGAGGAGUUUGUUGGAUGUGAGUUGGAAGAAAAUUGAAAUUUAAGGUAAUUGGUAAAUUUGAGAGGUAACUAAAUUUAGUUUUCAAGUAUACAUUUUUUUUGUAAUGAAUUUUAAUUCUUUAUUUUAUAAUUCAAUGUUUAUUAGAAUUGAAGUUUGCUACUUAUUAUAUAAAUUUAGUAUUUUUGUAAAUACUUUUAAUUUUUAUUAUUUUUAGACAAGUAUUCACAAGUUAAAUCUUUUAAUAAAAAAAAUAAAGUUAAUUGUUUCAAUUGAAAUUUGGGUAAAUGUUUCUAGAGUAUGUUUUUCUUCAUUUUUUGUCUUAUUGGAUCUUAAUUUUAGAAUAAUUAGAACUCUCUAAAAAAUAAAAUCCAUAUUUUUUUUAAUAUAAAUUACCAUUCUAGAGCUAAAUGCAUUUCCUUAUUUUAUAAUUCAAUGUCCAAUAAUAUGCAUAGGAAUUGGACAAUAUAGUUUUUUGUUUUAUAAUCCAAUAUCUAUAAUAAUUGGAAACUACAGUUCCUUAUUUUAUAAUCCAAUGUCUAUAGGAAUUAGAGAUUCUUAUUUAUGCUAUAAAUUUAGUAUUUUUACACAUUCUUUUAAUUUGUCUUAUUUUGUUUCUUUUAAAUUUUAUCUUUAACCAAUAUUCACAACUUAAAUCUUAUAAUAGGAAAAGUAAAGUUCCUUAUUUUAAUUGAAGUUGAGGUAAGUGUUUUUCAAGAUUUUUUUUUUUUUUUUCAUUUUUAGUUUAGUUGGAUCUUCACUUUGGGAUAACUAGAAUUUUCUCAUAAUUUUUGUUUGUUUGUUUUUUUUAAAUACCAACCACUAUACUAAAAUGAAUUAAAAAUAACUACAUUUAACAAUUUGAGAAUGAAAUAUCAAGUAUAUUUGAGAGAUCAAAAACAAUUUUUAUUCUUACUAAGAUAUUUGUCUUUUUAUUUGCUCAUGGUUCUUGUUGUUAUGACUUUGUAUUACAUUCCAGAAACAUAUAGUUUUUCCUUAUGUAAAUAAAUUGAUAAAAUUAAAGGAAAUUGACAAGGAAAACAUAAAAAUAAAAAGUAUGUUUGAAUAAAUAAUCCAAUUUUUUUUUUUUAAUAUUCAUCUACUUUUCAUAAAAUUAGGACAAGUAAAAGUUACAUUUUGUUGUCCCUAAAUUGCAAUGAAUUUAAAUUAACAAUAGAUAACGGGUUUAAAUAAAAUUUGGUACAUAUCAUUGCUAAGGUGACAUUUAUUUUGCCUAACUUAGAAAAAUUGAUUUUAAAAAGAAUUUUACCAUCUAAGAUUUUUGGAAUGGAAAAAUGUAACAUUAUUUAUAUUUCAUCGCAGUCCUUUUUCCUUUCUAUUUAUAUUUCAACCCAAUCAUUUUUUUUUCCUUUUUUUAUGUCUAGUUUGAUUAUUUGACUUUGAAUCUCUUCUUAGUUUCAUACAAGGAUUUUAAAAGAAUAAAUUCACAUAUUCAAUUUUUUUUAUUGGAUUUGUUUUCAUAUUACCUCACCUGCAUCGCAUGUGAACACUUCCUAACACACACACACACACAUAUAUAUAUAUAUAUGACUAUUUAGAUACGUAUGGAAGAUACACACAUAUACAUACAUAUACAUACAUACGUAUGGAAGAGUAAGAUGACUUUUUCAAAGAAUCAUUUUUAUAAAAAUGACUAUUUAGAAGAGUUAAGGAGCAAGUCUUUGAGGGGAAAUAAAAUCAAUAGCAAAAGAAUAGGAUGACGUUUUGAAAGAAUCAUCUUUAUAAAGAUGACUAUUUAAAAGAGUUAUGGUCUCUUUCACAAAGUAGAUAUUUAAUUUGAGAACGAGUGGGAAAAUAAAAUUAAUAGCAAUUUGCUUUUUAAUAUUUACAUAUAAGGGAAAGGAUAGGAUGAUUUUGUCAAAGAAUUGACUUCAUAAAAUAGAUAUUUAAAUUGCAAAGUCAUUAUUUAUCAUAUUAAUUAAAGAUAAUGAAAUUUUUUUUUAAAAAGUCAUUGAAACAACCGUCAUUAUCUCCUUUUUUGUUGUAGUGACUUUGGAUAUACUAUUAGAUACAUAAUUAACAAAUCAAAGGAUUGAGUGCAAUUAAUUACAAUAGAUUUUUUUGUAGAUAUUAGAAUUGGUAUAUAUUUUUCUCUAUCUACUGAUGGAAUGAAAAAGCAUCCUAGCCUCCUACGAGGGUCUAACCUUGUGAUUCUCCACUGUAUCAUAUCAGGGUGAUCCAUGGCUUGGUAGUCUUUUCCCUAAAACCUCUUCAUAUUGGCUCGUAACCGAUUCAAAAUUCACGAAAUUCAUAUAGAUCGUUCAAUGAAGUCCCCUAAUCAAGUUCAAGGUAGUCUUUGGUUAUUCUGGAAAUAUGACUAAUCUACUUCAGUACAAACUGUUGAAGUUACAGAAGAAACAAGCCAUGCAUAAAUCACCCACACCCCUCUUCCAAAUUAACAAGCCAUGCACAAAUCAAAUUCCCAUACAUCAAUAUUAUUUUACAUGUCUUUUUAACAGACUGAAUUCAUUAAGACAGAAGAGUAGAUAACUCAGAGGUGAAUCCUACAAAGCCACUUCUACAGAACCCCAAAGAUGUAAAAGGUCAGGAACAGACACCCAAGCACAAAUGCAGAGGUUGAAAGCUCUGAGGAACUGGGUAGCACCAAAUAAAUGCCAGAAGUAAAUGCUAUCACCAUUCCUAGGAUGGAAACGUAUGUGAGUAUGGCUGAAAAUUUUAUGAAACGUAGAAGCAGAUGAUAGCUUCGUUCCAGUGAAGCAAAAAAGUGGAGAAACACUGCUGCAGUUGAGCAAUAGAAAGCUAUACCAUCUGACAACAAGAAGGCCUUGAAGGCUAUCUUUGUUGAGAGAACUGCUUUACCUUUGUCGGGGCCUUCAUCAUUGUACCCACCAGGUAGAGUAAAGCCUGCUGCAAAAGUGACAGUUGCUAUGAGCGUCGCGACCAAUAAAUGGGUGUUGGAAAUGUCCUUGAGACGAUGAGAUCGAAGUUGCUUUUCUUUCAUGAUUUCUCUGUUCCUAUCAAGAAGUAUACUCAUAUUGCUAGCAGUACGAGACGCGCCAUCACUGCUCUGAGUACUGGUCUCGCUAGCACUACGAUAUAUGCCAUCACUGGUCUUUUGAUGUCCAUUGUUAUCAGUCCACAUAUUUGCAUUUUCCUGGUAUCCUUCAUUGUCACCAUUUUGCAUAUAUGCAUUUUCUCUAAUGACCAACCGGUGUAAACUUUGUCGACCACCAGCAUGCUCCAACUUCCUCAUGAUCCAAUACUGGCAGUAAUUUGAAAGGAAUUAGAAUGAACUUUUAAAGCAAAGCUAUGGGAAAAUUUUUGAAUCAAGCAUUGAACAAAAUCCAGUGGCUAGCUCUUAAAGAGUACAUCAAACACAUUGAAUAAUAUUAGCCAUCCAUUUCAGAUACUUUUUUUUUUUUUUUUCUCUUUUUUAAGUAAUCGCUUAACAGAUUGAAUGGCUAUAAUCAUUCAACAUGAUCUUUCUGCAUCAAAUAUCUUCAGAGAGAUAUGAGAAGCCUCACCAUGUCUAAUUAAAAUUUGUCUCAAACUUUACAGUAACGUACCUUGAUUAUUUCUCCAAUAUCCAUAUUUGACUGGACAAUGUCAAUAGUCUUCAAAUACUCAUUGUUCAUUGCCCUUUUGUCCACUCUAUCGUCUGCAGCCAACAUAAUCACAACCCCGUAAUGUCCAUAAAUGGCAGCUAGAUGAAGUGGUGUGUUACCUUCCUUAUCUGGCUCAUUUAUGAUACUUUCCAAGUUUGGCUUCUUCAGGAUAUACUUAACGACUCUAGCGUUUCCAUAUUGAGCUGCAACAUGAAGAAUUGUGCGCCCUUUGUUGUCAAUCAAAUCAUAAACAUCUGGAAGACAUGUGAUAAUCUGUUCCAUUACAUUAGUGUGGCCCUCUUUGGCUGCAAUGUGGAGAGCACAACUGUGUUCUACAUCCAAUAAGCCAGCAACAGAUUUGUCAUACUUCAGUAACUUCUCAGUUGCUUCGAGGUGACCCAAGUGGGCAGCAUAGUGAAGAGGGGUCCACCCAAAUUCAUCUGCCUUUUUUAUCACAUCCUUCUUCAUUUCAAAUAGUACUUCCAAAAUAUCUAUACAUUGGGAGAAGAAGGUUAGAAAUCUUAAAAAGAAGUGGAAGAAUCUACUUAAAUAGCAUUUCAUACCUCACCAAAAAUCUGUCAAGAGAAAUGGAAAAGGCGACCAAAACACCCUUUCCCCUAUAUUUUAAGCAUAAAAAUGUCCUCAAUAAUGAUCCCCUUCAUUUCCAAAAAAAAAGGAAAAUCCUCAUACAUCUUGAUAAAUAAACACAUGGCUUAAUCAGUUGUAUGGUUUGAAGGUCCUUUCUUUUUUCUUAUAUAGGAAUGGGUGUUCAAAUAGGGUGAGAAUGGAGAGAACUCUCCACUCAUAAGCUUUUUGCAGUAAAAAGGAAAAAGGAAAAAAUCCAACUUAUUAGUAAACAAGAAUGAAAAGGGCACAGGAUCUUCUUACUUGAGCUUAAUUAACUUUAAAAAGGGGACAAAAGGAGUCUUAUUAAAGCAGAGGAAUUUACCAAUUUCAUCAUUCAAUUGUUUUCCUUUGAAGUGUCCUCGUACCCUAAAGAAAAAGUUUGUAACCACACGGCGAAGUUUUUCUAGAGAUAAUUCUGGAACUUCUUGGCCUGCAGCAUGAUAUAACAAACUAAAAUCAGUGAUAACCCCAUAAAAAUAACAAAGAAGGCCAAAAAAACAAAGGCUUGCCUUUUAGUUUGUUCAUCUUGCAUAAGGGAUUGAAAAAAGGAAAAGGAAAGAAAGAAAAUUAAUGCAAAGUCUUUUCCCAAAAGUGGUCCAUAUUCAGAAGAAAUAUUUGUUGAAAUAAUUUUCAAAACUUCAUACCAAACAAGGAAAUAAUGAAAGCUGAUAUUUUUCAUCUACUUGAUUUCUUUUCUUCAGUUUCUUCCUCAUUUUUCUCUCCAGGCAUGGUGCUAAGACUUGGGUCUUAGAAAGCAUACACCCAAAUGCCUGAAGACUUGGGUUUUUUUUUUCUUUUUUUUCUUUUUUUGUCACCAGAAUUAUCACUGGACGCCCUUUGCAUGCCCAAAUUAAACUUGAAAAAGUAAAACAAAUUAACAUUAGAAAUGAAGAUUUCAGAUAUACUCCUACUAACCAACAUUGGAUUGUGUUCCUGGAAACCAUUCUCCUCGUAGAUGCAGUCCAAGUCCAUUUACAGACAGCUCGGGGGGUAUGGGUUUACCCAGCUCAGGACCUACAAGUUAGGAAGAAUCGAAGAAAUCUUUUAAGUAUACAAAAGCAAGCAUGAACAUAAACUUUUAUGCAUAGAAAGAUUUUGACCUUUAUGGGUACGAAUCACAGCUGCAUGUAAAGCGGUCAUCCCUUUCGUGCCCUCACAGGAACAUUCAGAACUGUUUCCUUUCAACAGUUCGUCAGCAAUCUUGAAAAACCCCCUUUCCACAGCCAAAUACAAGGGGGACUCUUUAUGAUUAUUAACCAAAUCCAACAUCUUAGGAUUUUCUUGAACCAACCGGUUCACCACCUCAAGAUGACCAUUCCUCACAGCCACAUGCAGUGCCGUAUCAGCCCUCCCAUUCUUCAUUUCCAGUGCUUGCUUGGCAUUUUUACUUUCAAGAAAGCACUUAACCAUGUCACUACAGCCAGUUCUCGAGGCAAUAUGCAGCGGAGUGUCGCCUUUGAAGUCAGCUCUAGUCAGAAGCUCUGGAAACUUCUCAACAAGAGCUUCAGCAAAGCCUAUGCACUUGAAAUUAGCAGCAAUGUGAAGAGCAUUGCGUUUCUGGGAUGUGGCUUGGCAGGGAAUACUCUGGAGGCUAUGUGGCUUCUGCAAGUAGUUCUUAUCCCCAGUUUUAGCAGCUAUGUAAAGAUCAGUAUCCAUGUCUUGACAAUGGAAAUCAGAAUCCAUGGGGAUGCUUGCUAGGAAUCUCCUUCUUUGCAGUCUACAUAUAUAUUACUAAAAGAAUAGACCAGUCCACAUCAAAUGGGGUACAGAGCCUGCUCAAAAAUAAUUGCACCUCUCACCUACUGCAUUAACAAAGCUCAUAUCAUCACAAAAACUUUUUAGUACAUAUAAAUAAUUUUGUUUCAUAAAGUAUCAUUAUUAUUACUUCAAUAUAUAUUAGUUUUAUGAAGGGUUUAUGAUUGUAGACGAGUCAAAAUUCAUCCAUUUUUGUUUUGUUUAUCACCUAGUGUGGGCAUUUUGGCUCUUUUACGGUGUGGCCAUCGAUUCAAAUGCUUACACAAAGCUUCAAUGAAUUUUGUGGCACCUCCCGUGGAAACUUGCCACCAAAGCUCCCAAUUCAGAAAUGUUGUUUUUAAAAUAAUAACAGAAUUGAGUAAUUUUCUUUCUUUCUUAUCUCCAACGUUUUUGCUAAAUACUUUCACUUUUGGAGCUUGGUUUUAUAUCUGAUUUCGUAAGUCCUAAGAUAUCUACUACCAUGUACCUUGAAAGGUUGGUGUUGAAUCUAUUGAUUAAUUGUAUAUGUUAGGACAAUGAGUCUUCAUCAUAAGUUAGCAAUUUUGUUCCUUUUAAUUUUUGUCUUAGGAAUCUUUUUAAAUAGUGACUUACUUUCUAUUAAAAGAUUCAAGGUUAUUGUUCGAUCAACUGGAAAGUCAUAUGUAAAUCUAAAAAGGUUUAGUUUAUGGCAAAUUAGGUGUUUAAAAGGGUUAAGUGGAUUGGUAUAUUUUUUAUUGAAUUAAAAAUGUUUUAUUUAAUAUUUUGAAAAUGCAAGGGAUGCUCGAGUGGUGGAAAUAGUGCUCAAGCGUUGGGACCACUCAAACACUUAUCCAACACUUAAGUGAUCAAGGCACUCAAAUGGUAGGUAAGUGCGCUCGAGUGCUCAUCCCAAAUCUACGAAAAUAUGAUAGAAUAUUUUUGGAUAAUUCAUGCAAAUUGAGUUUGGAAACUUCACUAUACCAAUCCCCUAAAGCUUGGAGGCCUAUAUAAACCCAUCUAUAACCCUUUUAGUAUGAAGUGUAUUAAAACCAAAUGGAAGAAUAAGACAAUUAAGGAGAAAGAUUACAUGAAGAUAGGACCUUAUGCUUCAACAAUAAGUAGCCUUAUGUAUGUGAUGUUGUGUCUUAGAUUAGAUAUUUGUUUUACUGUAGGAAUGAUGAGUAGAUAAUAAUCCAAUCUAAGUAUAAAGCAUUGGACAACGGUCAAGUAUUAGAACCAUAAACAAAAAGCUAAAACCAUGAUCAUUGAUUCUAAUUUUCAUAUGAAAAUUUUAAAAAUUUUAAAAAUAUAACAAUAAAAUAAUAUCGCAGGAUAUUUUUAUUUAAUUUAUACAUGAUUAGAUUUAUAAAACAAAUAAAUAUUUUUUUAGUAUGAAUAUAUAAAAUCUUAUAUCCUAAACCUCUAAAAAAUUUUAUUAUAUAUUUAUUUUUAUAUUAAAUUUGUUCUCAUUAAUUAUUUAUUAUAUAUUAUUAUUUUUUAUUUAAAAUAUCCAUAAAUAAUUGAAAUCAAUAACUAUAAAAAGAUGAAAUGGUGACAAAUUUUGAAAUUAAAAAGAUUUCAUGAAGCCUAUACAAUAAUAUAAAAAAAACAUUGCACAGUGAAAAAAAAAUAAAAUUCAUAUGGUAUGGUUGAUUGUCACACGAUAAAGUUUUUAAAAAAUAAAAAUUGUUAUAGUUCAUGGUAGGUAGGAGGACAAAAGGGUAAUUUUAGAAUUUUGAUGAAUAUAACUAUUUAAGUGUAUAUUUAUAGGAUUAGUUUUUGUAAGCGAGAAGUCAAGUCAAACCUCUCAAAAAAAAUCUUUUUUUUUUAAGGUGCACAUGAUUAUAUGAUUCUUCCUAUUCAAGGCUGGGGGCCCAUGCUGAAAUGAUAUGUCAACAACCCUCCUUAAAGUAGAGUUGUAAAAGCUACUUCCCUUCUAUGUCUCCGGCCGAUAUUUCAGUCUAGCGUGGCGGCUUUUAACGCUUCAUCUACCUAUCUUCUUUUACGUUGAGCGUGGAAUCCACCGUCAUCUCUAGCCUCAGCAUAUGAUUUGAACUUAGGAGAUACCCACACUGACUUUUCAAGUUUUGUCCAGUUGAGGAAACUUUGAAAAUUAUUUAGCAGAAGACUGAUAAUGCAACCUUCUUCAUAAGAUGGGUGAUUUUUGAACACUACUGUACUCUAACCAAAUACCAUUUGUGCUUAUAUGUGAUACAGUGGAUGGAAUAUCUUUUCCCCUUUAUUACGCAAAUACUUGUUUAAUAGGUAGGGAAUUUUUUUAAAUUAGUCCCCCAUCCAUGCCCAUUAGAGGUUCUGAAAUUCAUUUGUAACAUUUAUGAUUUUUUGGAAAAUAAAAGUACCUACUCCAAUAAUACCAAUAUGAAUGGUACCACCAAACUUUCGUACGUAUCUAUAAAGAAGGAGAAGGUGCCCAAACAAUGUAUCCAGAAAAAAACAUUCAAGAAAAUAAUCCCAACUACUAGAUUUCAACAAGUAGGAUUUUGAGCAUAAAAGAAACAAAAUAAAAUAAAAAUAAUGACGGCUUCGAAUGACAUCACUGACCCAACGCAGGCAGAGGAGUUAGGAGUUGCGUGGAAAUUGUGAAAGGCGUAGAUCACGCCACAUGGAAGCAGUGGAGACAUGGCCAGUAGGAUAAUUAAUAUCCAUGUGGAUAACAGAGUGGAUCAAAACAAUGCCAUUCCCAUCAUGAAUGAACACUCAUUAACUUCUGCGUUUACUUGACUUUUGAGAGAUUUGCAAAACAUGUAGAGAGAGAUAUCACCGGAAGAGUUUUCUUCUCAUUAAUCAUGUUAUGACUUUUAGUAAUAAAAUAAGUAUGCAGCUGUUUAGAAAGAAAGAUCAGCAUGGGUAGUAGCAACGCGCAACAAAAAGUCCCAUCAGACUUCUCAUCCCUGGGAAUCUUACACACUCGCUAGGUAGACUAAUCAAACCAGGACCCAACUGGUACAAGCUACUGUUUCAACCACUCAAUAUUUAAGGAAUCACUUCCUAGUCACUAAGAACAUAAACUAAUCAAACCCAACCUGGCACAGGCUACCUUAUCGACUAGUCAGUACUCAAGGGAUCAUUUCCUAGUCACCAAGAUCGUUAAUUUAGAAAAUCUUACACUGAAAAAUGACCUAUUCAUCUGCAUGAGCAUAUGCCUUUCACAUCCCACUGAAUAUAAUCUUAACAUCUGUUUCAUUAGUAUGAUUCUCUUAAGCUAUUGACUUCAAUAUUUACUUGGAAAUGAUAUCAAAGGGAAAAAGAUUACCGAUUCAGAAAAAUGUAAAGCAAGGUACAAAAUACUAGAUGGAGAUAUUUCAAAGAAAGAAAUUCUUUUCCUAUAGCUAAACUAAUGCACACGAUCAAAUCUAACACUGACAUUUGUUCUUGGAGCCAGACAGAAAGCCAAGUACAGAUACAGAGUGUUUUCAAGAUGGGAUUAUUUGGUGUUUUUAACUAUUUGAGUUGAAUGAUGAAAACACAUGACUUCAACAAUGACAAACCAAAUUGGUUAGUAUCCUGCUUAAUAACCGUAGUUUGCUCCAUUCACCGGGCCAUAGCCUCCAGUGUGGCUUGCAUGUGCUGGGUUGGAUGCAGGAGAUGCAUACAUCGAACCAUGAGCUGCAUAAGAAUUAUAGCCUGGGUCAGCAGAUCCACCAGUUUGGGCCUGUGCUGGUGCAGCAGCUUCAGCCAUAAAAUUCUGCAACACAAACAAUCAUUACAAGCAGACAAGUCCAAUUUGAUUACAUAAUGAAGCAUUGACAAAGAAUAAACAAAAUUUUAAUGGAAAAAUCGACUUUUUUGGUUGAGUAAGAUCCCAAUAAAACAAUAAUUAAACAAUUCUAUAUUAUAAGUAAAAAUCAAUGAUGAAGCUAAAUGGAAAAGAAUGAAGUCCAACUGUCUGAAUUGCUGACCACACUUAACAUUUCAAUAAUAUAUAUCCUAUAAAAAAAAUUCUUUAAUUCUUUAAUUCUAGUAAUAAAGUCGGUCCCACCAUACCUACCCCCACACGCACCCAAACACCACAUACAAGGAGACAUCAGAAACAAUGAUCUAAUGCUAAGCAAUGUCAUUAUGCAAAUGGAAACUGCAAUAUUAGCAAAGACAAACCAACAACUUGGUAUCAAAAACAGGGAGGAAGAGUGCCUGUAUCAGUUGCUGAGCUGCUUGGACUUGGGAAGCAGUUCCAUUGAUUCACGUGGCUACAAAAGACUCUUUAGGAGAAAGUUGAGGAGUUCACAUGUGUAUAGGAAGAUUGAUUCACAAGGCCCUUGAAAAUUUUCUAUUUAAAGCUCUUGUAAGGAAAAUGGGAGACAUAUCUUCCUUCUCCAUCAUUCCUUCUUUUCUCAUUUCUUUUUUCUUGAUAUAAAGCUAAGGAUUCUCUCAUUUCUUUCUUCUUCAUUGUAAGUUACUUGAUUGAAGCCAAAAUAUGUGCUCCAAUGGCACAUAUAUGAUGUUAUAAUUUAUGUAAUAUAAAAAGUUCAAAUCAUCCAACUUAACUUAAUUUCAUGCUAUGGCCAUAGUUAUGGAUCUAACUUUUAUUUUGAGCCUAAUUCUAAGUUUAAGGGAUGACAUAAAUGGAUAAGUGCAAAAGUCAUUAUCAACCAAGAAAGUAGAAGGGGUUAAACUAUAACUAAGAGACUCAAGACUUAUGAACCAUGAAAGUCCAAGAAAGGGUGUAAGAAGCAAGCCAUAGGCAUGAAAUACCAAUAGUAGAUGUUAUGGAUUGAGAUAGCAACUUCCUCAUGAUCAAAGACUGGAAAGUUUUUUUAAAGAACUUAGAAUAAAAUGUUGUUUUUAGCUACCAAGGCACAUAUAUGACCAGAAAAUUCAAUUAAGGCAACAUAUUUCUUCUGUCUUUUUUUUUUUUUUUCUUUUUUUUCAAGUUUCACAUAUGUAAAGAGAAAUAAAGCAGUGGAACCAAUGCAUAAUCUAAAAUCAUCGAAUUUCGAUGCACAUACCUUUUUUAUUUUCUCCCAGAUCCAUAUUUGAUUGGACAAUGUCGAUAGCCUUCAAAUAUUUCUUGUUUGAUGCCUUCUUAUCCACUCUACGAUCUCCGAGCUUUGACCCAAAAUGCUACACUUUAAAAAAAAAAUCCAUAAAGUAAACCUAAUGUGAAAAUAAUGCCCAAUCUAGUGCAUUUGUGCCACAUAGAUUGCCACAUCAUAAAACCGUAAUUGGUAACUACGGUUUUAUUUUUUUAAAACAUUCAAAACUGUAGUCACCAACCACGGUCUUAACUUUUUUAAAGUUAAAACCGUGGUUGGUAACUACGACUUUGACUGUUUUUACAAAUAGUCAAAGUCGUAGUUACCAACUACGGUUUUAACUUUAAUUCUAAAACCGUAGUUGGUGACUACAACUUUGACUAUUUUAAAAACAGUCAAAGCCGUAGUCACCAACUACGGCUUCAACUUUAAUUUUAUAUAUAUAAAUAAUUAUAUUGCUUGAUUUAAAAUAUUUAACUUUAAUUUAUUUAAAUAAAAAUAUUAUAUUAUUUUGAUUUUAGAUUGACUAAAAAUAUGUGAGUGGUUUAAUAAAAAUAUUUAACUUUAAUUGAUCUCAUUAUUUAAAGAAUAAUAAUAUAUGAAAUUAAAUAAUUGAUGUCUUUAAUUUAAUAUAAAAAUAUUUUGGUUUAGUUUUAUUAAAAUAUUUGACACUAUACUCAAUAUAAAUAUAAUUAGUUAUAAAUAUACUAUUUUAUGCCCUCAUAAUGAAGAAUAUUAUAUUAUUUUGUAACUUUGUACAAAAAGUAAAGCCAAUUAUGCAUUUGUACAAAACAUAAUAUGACUUCAAGUGGGUAAAUAAUUGGAAAAUUACUUAAAUACAACAAAAAUAAUUUUAUUUUCUCCAAUUUUUUCCUUUCAAAAUGGGAUCAAAAUGGAAUGGAAAGGCUUAAAAUUUUAAACUUAAAAUGCCAACCUAAUAGAAUUUGUUUUUCCACUUCUUAAAAUAUAGAAUUGUAGAAAGAAAAUACCUAUGUUUUUCCAAUCAAUUCACCAUUUAGUUUAACUGUUUUGGUAAAUAAAUGAAAAUGCUUUUAGAACAUUUUUGUAAAUUCAUUGAGAAUAAGAAAAAUGUUCCUUAUUGGGUUUUAACGGGAGUUUUGGACAAAAAUGAUUUCUUCAAAACAAAAAAUUCAUAAAUUAAUUUUAUUCUCAAAAUAAUUUUCAAUGUGAUGUGUGUCUUAUUCAUGAGGGUAUUUACAUCAUAAAACUGUAAUUGGUAAUUAUGAUUUUUGAUUUUUUUUUAAAUAGUCAAAAUAGUAGUUGGUGAUCAUAGCUUUAAAUUUAAACCUAAAACCAAUUUUUUUAAGUUCAAAUUUUAAACCAUGCGAAUGUUCAAUUUUUUAAGAAUUAUUUUGAUUGGAGGUUAAGAUUGUAAAUUAGUUUUAAUGCAUUAUUUUUUCUAUAUUGAUAUAGUGUUGUUGUAACUAAUUAGUUACAAAAUUUUAGAUUGUAGAAUUGCUAUAUAUAUAUAAGUUCAAUUUAAGUUUAAAAUUGAUCAUAUUUUCAUUUAAAUAUAUAAUAAUUUGUUCAUAAUAAUAAUAAUAAAAAGUUAACAAUAUAAUGCAAAUGAAAAUAAACACAAAAACUAAAAACUAGUCCUCAAUGAGUGCCACAUGAUGGGGUGGGUCUUCCUCUUUCUUUGCGGACACCUAUGAUACACAGACAUCUUUGUGGAAUCUAACUGUGCAAUCUGCCAUGUCUUAGUAUGUAUAGGUUGAGAUGGAGCUGAUGGAGGCAAGACUCGACGUCUACGUGGACCACGAUGUCUCCUAGGUGGACAUACAUCUAACUAUGUAACAUGUGUAAGGGUAUGAUGCAUGGUAGUCUCUAUGGGAAGAGGUGUAGGUGAUGGUAAAGUGGUAGAUGGUGGGGUGAUCUCAGGUACAGUGAUAUCUGAUAUGGUAGCAUCUAAGAGAGGUGAUAUAGGAGAUGAAAGAAUGACAUCUACUAUAGUGGUAGCUGGUGCAAUAACAUCUGAUAUAGUAGGCUCGAGGAGAGAAAAUAUAAAUGAUGAUGGUGAGGUGACAUGUGGUGUAGUGGUCUCCUCGAGACAAGGUAGAGGUGAUGGUAGAUUAGUAGAUAGUGGGGUAGUCUCUGGUGUAGUGACAUCAGGUAUAGUGGCGUCUGUGGGAGGAAAUAUAGGUGAUGGUAGAGUGCUAUCUGAUACGACAUGCUCUAAGGGAGAAGGUCUAGGUGAAGGUGAUGGUAGGGGUGAAGGGGGAAGUGUGGAAACCUCAGGCGCAAAUGGGGUAGAUGAUGUAAAUGGUGCUAACAUGGUCUCGGGUGGAUGCAUAGAUCAUCGAGGUUGUCGACCAGUUCGCCCACCAUCUCUCCUACUAUCUCUCCCUCGGCCUCGAAUAGGCUACAUCCUAACUGUAGUGGCUAACACAGGUGGUCUCAUAGAUGGGUAUGAUGAUGUAGGCGACUGACGGGCAAAAUGUAUGCGAUGGUCCUCACCAAUAACAUGCAAAAUAUCAAUAGCAAUCCGAUGAAUGUCGCCUAAUGCACCUGAAGUAGGCUCAGCAGAUCGACUAGCAAUCUCAACCAUACCAGUGAUCUAUUAAAAAAAAAAAAAGUUAAACAAACGAAGAUGAUUUUUAAUUAAUUAAAAUUUAAUAAACCAUUUAUAAAUUAAAAAAAUCUUACCAACAACUGAGUAGUUGCUGCUGUACUAUGAUACCUCAUCUGAUCUCUAUAGAGAGGGGGUGUGAUCAAACGUCGUGUAAUACGUCGGUACCACUCCAUAUAUGGAUCAUGAAACUGCAUAGCACCCACCAUAGGUGGUGCCGUCACAAUACGCUCCGCACAACUAGCUCAUAAGGUAAUAUACUGUGCAUGAAAUGCCUCCCAAUCAUACUUAUGUCGUCCUCGCCUAUCCACGGAAUGGAGGUGUUGCUCUAUGGAACAAGAUGGAGGUAUCCCUUGUUGGAGGCCAAACUGUCGCAACACUCGCUCCAGUCGAUGCCACUCGACAAUGUCAAAGCAGAUAAGAGGUGUCAUCAUCCUCCAAAUCUCCUAGUCUGCUAGAGAUAUCGCUGGAAGAUGGGCAACUAAGUCUCCCAUGUAAGGCUCCCAUAAAACUUGUUAAAAUCAAUAUUUGAAAUUAAUAAAGUUAACGUUUAUAUGGUUAACAAUAGCACAUUAGAUCUUAUAUGUACCUGGUCAUGGGUCUGUGCAUCUAAUUGGUCUCGAUAAAAUGUCAACACACGUGAUGGGUUUUGAGCCCAUGAUAAAGGUACUUUCCACCUACAUCCUAACAGAUCAGCUAGUAAACCCUCGUGUAACAAUGCCUCAUCCUGUAAUCCCUGCUCUAAAUGCUCAGUUGGUAAAUCAUCAACUGCAUCAUGCUCUAAAUGCUGGGCUGCUGGAGGGGCUGGUGGUUGACCAAAAUCGAGUUGACCCAGGUGGAGUCUCUCCCAAGACCAUAACUGCAAAAAAAUGUAACAUUAAAAUUUUACUUAAAUUAAAAACUUGAAACAACUAGAAAUUUCAAUCUAAUGUGAAUAAUUAAUUAUACCUGUAAUAGUGUGACACAUCCAGCAAUAUCGGUGGCACCAUCCAAACUCACUCGACACAACUCCCUAUAUAGGUGUGCUAAUACUGCACUACCCCAACUAUACAUAGAUGUUUGAGUCAAGUCUCUAAGAAGUGGGAGAUAACACAUAUGUAUGUGAGUACCCUUCUUGUCUGUGAAUAGCGUUGAACCUAUGAGUCCUAAUAUGAAAGCCCAUGCAUAUUGCUCUAAUGUGGCAUCAUCUAAAUCAAUUGGUGGAUGAGAGAACUGGUGACAUAGUCAUCGUGUCGAUAUCGCUGAUCCUUUAAUCUCAGAUGUAAGGGGAGUCACCCCUAAAAGUUCAUAACAUAGCAAUGACCAAUCUAUAUCACAUGUGCCAGUGAUGGGAAGCCCAUGAAUACGAAGACCUAAUAUGACAGCAACAUCCUGUAAAGUAAUGGUCAUCUCCCCAACAGGUAAGUGAAAUGUGUGUGUCUCAGGACGCCAUCUCUCAACUAGACUAGUGAUCAAUCCGCAAUCUAGUGUAAUGUGUCUAAUACGAUAUACAUCAUAAAAUCCAGAUCGAAUAAUAUAAGGUCAAAGACGAGGAUCCAUCUUCCACUCCUGCAUAAACCUAGAUAUAUGUUGUUGACAAGUCAAGAUUGAAGCAAGCUGUAAAAAUACAAAUAAAUCAUUUAGAUAAUAAACUGCAAUUUUUUUCAUUCUUUAAAGAGAUAUUAUGUGUUUUCAUAUACAUACCUGACCAGAGUCAACUAAAUGAGACCUAUGUCUAUCAUGUAGAACCAAAAUAGACGUAUCUAAUGGAUCUGGAUCAGAACUAUGUCCUCUAUACUCCAUAUCUGUAACAAAAUUGUGAAGAUAAAUAAACAAUACUUAUUGUUUUUAAAUAAAAAAUAUUUUUAAUGGAAAAGUUUUAAAAAUUUAUGGAGUUUUCCAUAUAUUAAGUAUAUAUCAGUUUGAUAAAUUUAAGUAGAUCAAUUCAUUUAUGACCAAUAAACAAGUCAUACUAGUUUAAAAUAAAAUUAGAGAUACAAAUACAAUGAAGCAUUUUGUUAACAUUUUUAAUAGAAAAUUUCAAAAUUUUGACAGAGUUUCCCCUAUAGUAUGGAUAUUAUUCCAAAUACAAAUAACAUGAUUAGGCAAAUAACAUCAAUAUUUAUAAUCAAACCAAAGCCAAUAAUUGAAUAAAGGUAGUAUCAUAGUAGCUUACAUCACAAUAUCCAAGAAAAUUACAUGCACACAUCACAAGGUCUAAUCAACUCUAUUACUGUUUUGACAAGAAUGACGAUUGUGGCCACUUUGUUUGCAUAACCCACAUGUAAUAGAAGUCUUGCCCUCUCUAACAUCCAUUUCAUUAUGCAAACGACUUGAUUUAGGUCGUCCACUCGAUGCACGUUUCAUCGACUUAGAAGGCAUGAUAAUCGGGCCAUCAUAAGGAGGCCACUCAUAUACAUUGAAAAUGGGAUGGAACAAGGGUGCCCAAGUAUUAUAGUACGAUUGUGUACUGUAGUAGUGUUGAACAAGUGGUCUAAAAUCAACUGAACGAAAAUGACAUGCUGCUAGAAUAUGACUACAUGGGAAUCCAUAUAUGAGUGUUUUACCACACAUGCAUGCAUACUCCUGUAAGUUGACGCGAUAUGUUCGACCACGAGUUGAGCUACUCUUAGUACCCCUAUUACUCUUCACGUGGAAUUGUCCUUAGAUGUGAUCAUAUAAAAUAAUCUCAUAAGAUCCCACCUUAACCACAUUUGCCUUCAUCUUAGCAUCAACAUAUGGAGUGUAUUCCUCACUUGAAGCAAGUCGAUUAGCACCUUGUUCCCUUCUCACAACAAAGUAACUAUUUAGCCGAAAAAAUGUCAAUUGAACCAAAGCAGUUACGGGUAAGCUACGAGCCCCUUUAAGCACACUAUUGAACACCUCCGACAUGUUUGUAGUCAUGAUGUCGUACAUUCGACCUCCGUCAUGAGAGAGUGUCCAUUUCUCAAAAGGGAUUGCUUCCAACCAUUGUUGUGCGGCUGCAUUAAUCCUCCCAAUUGUGUUCAUAUGUUUAUUGAAUUUUUCAAUCUUGGUUGCUAAGGCUCCUCUGCACAUAAGAUUUUUCAAUAUUUUAUCCUUGAAUCGAGUCAUAAAAUUGCUAGCAAGAUGACGCAUACAAACCCUAUGAUAUGCGUAUGGCUCAGACCAACCAAGAUGAACAUCGCUCAUUGCAGCCAUAAUGCCUGGAUGUCGAUCUGAUAUAACACAAAGUUUCCUCCUAUUAGUGACUCUUGUUCUAAUACAUGCCAAAAACCAUCCCCAACUAUCAAUAUUCUCACCCUCUGUUAGGGCAAAAGCCAAUGGGAAUAACUGAUUAUUUCCAUCACAACCCAUAGCAAUCAUUAAAGUGCCUUUAUACUUCCCAUACAAAUGUGUACCAUCAAUACUGAGUACAGGCCGACAAUGCUUGAAUCCUUCAAUAGAUGGUUGAAAUGUCCAAAAAACUCGUUGAAAUAUUUCUGUAUUCUCCAUAAUACCAGGAAAUGUUUUUGAAAUUACAACACAUCCUGGAUUUGCCUGCUCUAAGGCAAUGAAAAAAUGGGGCAGCUCUGCAUAUGACUUAUAAAAAUCACCAAAUAAGUUUGUAAGAGCUUUAAGCUUUGCUUUAGAUGCAUUCUUGUAUGACAUUUGGUAUCCGAAUUUCUCCACAAUACUUGCUUGAAUAGCAGCCACUGAUAAUGUGAAUUGUGCCUUAAUCAUUCCUUGGAUAUGAGCAGCAAUCAAGUUGGAAUCUAAUUGUUGAUGAUCCCGAUUCAAGCAAGGAUUUACACAUUUGUGGGGACCAUUGUGUUUAUUGAUUGCAAAUGAAGUUGUACCUUUUACAACCAUAGCAUGAAGUUUCCAUGGACAUUGCGAUUGCUCAGCCUUCUUGCAUCUUAGGACCAACAACUUUGUAGUUGACGAAACAACAACGUACUCUUGGUGUUGACUUAAAGAGUACAACUUCGCAGCAUGUUGUAAAUCUGCUUUUGAAUUAAAAACUUGGCCAACCAUGAACUCUCCACCUGAGUUUCCAAUAUUAGUGUUCCCUCAUGGGGUCCAGUCACUUGAAACGGCGUUACCAAUGUUUUCUACAUUUUCAAACUGCAAUGAUGGUGCCGAGUGAUACUGAACAGGGGAAUACUCUAUUGGAUCAUCAGGAUCUGGGUUAUUUGACAUAUCACAACAUUCCCCAUCCACGGAGACAUAUCUCCCUUGUUCACUUUCCAUUGCUUCGUAAAGAGCUAAGAAAGAUGAAACAACAUUAACAUUAUUGUUUUCCUCAUCAAUAAAUUCAAACACCCCAUCGCCAUCAUGUUGAACAUCUUCUGCUCUCUCACUUUGAUCAUCACCUUCUUGGGAUUCACAUUCUUCUUCAUUUUCAUUUGCUCUACACUCAUAAGUCAUUGCAACUGGGGCACUACUAGGUCCACAACCAUACUCAAAUUCCUCAACAUUAUCAUUUUGUCCGAGUAAUAAUUGUGUGAAGUUACCCAAAAAUUGCCCCCUCUCCCGUGGUUGUAUUGGCACUUGUUCAAUAUACAAUUCAAUUUCGUCCAUUCCAAAUGUGUUAACCAAUUUCAACAUUUGAGAUAAACUAUUAUCAUCCCAUAUUGGACAAGGUUGAAACCUAUUUUCCCUUUUUAAAGGAUAUCUACAGUUGAGGACUAAUUGAAAUUGUUUUUUGUCAAUGCCAGUUCUCGAGUAUAUCCUAGAUAACAAGUGUUCAUAGGUUGAACUAACAGGCACAUCCAAAGGCACAAUUACAACUAGAUCCCCAAUAUACUUUACAUCUGUUUCUGUCCUCAACAUUUUUCCUUUACAAAAGCAAAUCACAAGAACAAUAGAUUCAGACAUGAUUUACCUACAAAAAAUACAAUAUCAAAUGGUUUAAUAAUCAAUGAAAAUAAUAGCAAGAGAAAUUGCAUAUAAUAUUUUAACAUGUGAAUACACAAUUAUAUAAUAAAACACAUUUUUACACAUUAGGAGGAAAAAUAUAAAUCACUUCAUAAUAAUAAUUUUUUUAUUUAAAUAGUUAUCUAUGAUACAAAUAUAAUCAUAGAUAAAUGUUUUAUAGAAUUUUAAUUUAAAACUUAGGUAGUGGGCUAUAAAUCAAUAAAUGUUGAGUUAAAAAAUUACAAUAAUCUUAAAAUUAAAUAAAAAAUAAUCCAUCAAAAAAAAAUUUUAUUAUAAAAUAUCAUAUAUUAAAAUAAAAUUGAACGUUAUGAACUAUUAAAUAAUACAUAAUUUAAAUAAUUAUGUUAUUAUUCAUGAAUCAAUUGAUAUUUGAUUAAAGCUAAAAGUCGAAAAAAAAAUCAAAAUCAAAAUCAAAUGAAAGUAACUGACAAAAAAAAAUAUAUUAAUAAAAUAUCAAUUACACAAUUAUAAAAAUUUGAUAUAUGUGUUUAUUCUGUUUUUGGAAAGCUAGGUCCCUUCUUUUGACUAGUUUCAUUGAUCAGGAGCUGUCUAGAUGAGAAAUUGUGUGUGAAGAUGAAUCAAAAACCUAGGAUAAAUCAACAAUUUCAUAUGAAUUACCAAAUUGCAGAUCUAAAACAGGGGACAACAUGGGAUAUGGGAAGCAUGACCUCAAAAAGAUAGUAGAACCAAGGAUGAGACAUCAGUUUUCAUGGAUAUAUCGGUAGUUGGAUUUUACGAAUAUACUAGGAUAUAUCGGGAAAUAUCAAUGGAAAUUUUGACAAAUAAAUCGAUGGAAGAAAUUUUGAGGAAAAAAAAAAAGAAAAAACAAGAAAUAAUAUGCAUAUUCAAGUUAUUACUUUUAAAUUAUAUAUAUAUAUAUAUAUAUAUAUAUAUAUAUAUAUAUAUUAUUUCUAAUAUUCGAUAAUAAAUUAAUAAUAUAUAGAACUUGAAAGCACAUUUUACAUUGAUAUAUCUAAAAGAUACAAAAGAAAUGAUGAUAUAUGUAUGAUUUUUAAAAUAUUUGAAAUUUUUUUUUCUAUUAAGUUUAAUUAAUAAAAAAAUAUGAACAAAGACUCAUUAAAAAAUUUAUGAUAAUCAUUUUUAUAUUUUUUAUACUUAAAUCAAAUUUGGAAAUAAGAUAAUUAAAAUUAAAUUAUUUAUUAGAUGUUUAUUUUAAUAUCUUAUGUAUGAUAAAAAUGUAUUAAAAAUAUAUUUGUCUCCAAAAUUCCUUUAUUUUUUUUAUUAAAAUGAGAAAAAUAAAAAUUUGUGUGUGUGUAUAUAUAUAUUUAUUAACAAUUGUAAAAAAAAAAAUCACAUUAGUCCCACUGGUCAUGAACUCUUUUGCCAUGUAUAAGAACAAGGGGGUUUGAGUUUUUAAUAUGGUUUUCCCAAAAUUUAAAUUAUUUAUGUUGUCUACCAUAUGAAGUAACAACCAUCUGGAGUGGCAACAAAAAGGUCAAGAUCAGAUUCUGAUGGCUAGGAUAAAGGCCUUGAACCCACCUUAAUAAUAGCAACCAUUACUUUGUUUUCGUGUACACUCUUUCCUCUCUAAAUACAAGGCAAAAAAAAAAAAUUGUUUAAAUGAAGGGCUCUCAUUUUUUCUUCUUCAAAAUUGGCAACUUCCAUACAUAUCAAGAAGAUAACUAUUAGGCAAAUACUAAGUGGAAGGAAAUUAACAAAAGUUGAACUGUUACAAACUUAUACUAGAGGCCUUCUACUCCAAGUGUACUAAGCCUUUCAUUGUACCAUGUAUAUUGUGAAAAGAUCAUAAGCUUAAAGCUACUAUACUUUUUCUCUUUUUCACAUUAAUUACUUUUCUGCAUGGAAAAUGAAAGCAAAAGAGAAAAACAUGUCCCUUGACACUUUCCAUACCAAACAAUCCAUGGUCAGCGUUUUUGUCUAUUUUACUUGUAACUUUUAUGCACUGCACCUCAUUUACCAUUUUUGUAUUUCUCAAAAACUAGCUAGCUAGGUUCUGUUUGACAGCCUUUAAUUGGUAGGAAUAAACUUCUUUUUGAGAACCCAAAUAUAGAAGUUUUUUUUUUUUGCUCGAGAUACUGUACACUUAAGAAAUAGUACAAAAUUUUCCAACUUAUUCUCAUUAUUUUUAGAUUAUUUUUCAAAACACUCUACAAAAAAAAUAUGUGAAAAAUCCUUAAACUUAUUCAAACAAACCACUCUAUGUUUAGAAUAAAUUUUCAAAAGCUAUUUCCAGUCUACAACUUACCAAACAUUGAAAAACCAUUGUUUGUUCUAAAAACAAAACUUUUUUAGAAAAUAGGCCCCCUAAAGGAUCCACAAGAUGAAUAGGGCAAAGAUCAAGGAGAUCAAUAAAAAAUGAUCAGACAGUGAGAUCUAUUAACAUAGUGCUCAAUCUAAACAACCUUGUUCACAAAAAAAAAUAAAAAUAAAUAAAAAAAUAGGUCUAGUUUUUUCAUGAGUUUUACAGUGGUAUGUAUUCAAAUUUCCAUGGAAUGUUUUUGACAAUGAGAAACGUAAGAUUGAACCCACAAGAAGAGAGAAAAACCAAGCUUUGAAGCUUACCUAUCCACAAAUACAGGAGAGCAACCUCAGAAGAAGAAGAAGAAGAAGAAGAAGAAUAUGCUUGUACUAAAGCUUUUGAUUAAGGUUUAAUUUGGAAGAGAAUGGCAAAGAGAUUCUUGAGGUAAACCAAAACAGUAGCAGGAGAAGGAGAAGAAGAAGAAGAAGUAGAAAGAAUAACUAAAAAGGAAGUUGAUCAUGAGCCCUGCCCUUCAUUCAAUUCAUCUGUUUCCCAUGAAAAUAUAUAUGAUGUAAGUCCGAAUAUUGGCUAAAAAUCCAGAAACACAGAUAAUAAAUUUAAAAAUUAUUUUUUACAUUGGGGGUUUCAAGUAAAAUUUUGAAAAUAACUGACAGAUAGUUUAAAAAAUUAUCCUCAAAAAUUGUUUUUUAUAACAAUUUUUAAAAACAGUAUUAGACAAGUUCUAAUAAUUUCUUACUGAGUGGGAGAAUGAGAGAAAAUACAAAUAAAAUAAUUAAAAAUCUUAUAUAUACCAACUGAUGAAGGAUUGAAUGUUCUAGUUUUCAACUUUUCAUUAGUUCAAUAAAAUUACAAUAAAAGGAAUGAGAAUUUCUGCAGAUGCAAAGAAGAGAAUAGAUUUAACAAUAAAAAAUCAUUAAAUUAUGUUUAAUCAGAAUCUCACAGGAAGUUGAAUGGAAAAAAAAUCAAGUAUCACCAAACUAAAGAACUAUAUAAACAAAUCUCAAGGUUCCAGGAAGUGGAGAACUAAACAACAAAACAUUUUGCAUAUAUUUUGAGAAUGGGUUUAAGAUUCUUGUUCAGAUAUUUGAAGAUAUACCAUCUGAGUGGUCCCCUCACUCUUGGUAACAAAUAUUUGAAGAUAUUUUCUAUUUCUAUAACAAAAAUCAUCGGAGUUUUUUUUAUAGUGGUUCCCUCCAUUUUUGGUAUCUUUAACAAAAAGAAAUCCAUACUGGUCCCCCAUUCCAUAUCCGUUUUCUUUACCAAAAAAACCAUUUUCUUUCUGCUAAGCUCAAAAUCAAAAUAAAAUCAAACAUGUCUUUACCAAACAGAAACCAAACAAAUCUGUAACAACAAACCAAACAAAUUUACAAAAAAAAUAAAAUAAAAUUUACGAUUAACUGAAAAAUUCAUAAAUCUUACCUGACAACGACUUCCAAAAUUUGAAUUUGAACCAAGGAUGCAAAGGGAAGGAUGAAACCCUAAAGGGAAGAACGAAACCUUAAAGGGAAGAACAAAAGCCUAAAGGGAAGAAAGCCAAUCGGGGAAAUGGAGAAACCUAAUGGGAAAGGGACGAAAAAGGAAUUCAAAACUGUAGUUACCAACUACGGUUUUGACCAAUUUAAAAAAAUUCAAAACCGUAGUUACCAACUACGGUUUUAUGAUGUGGCAUUCCACAUGGCCCAAACGCACUAGAUUGGGCAUUAUUUUCAUAUUCGGUUUAGUUUAUGCAUUUUUUUUUAAAUGCGGCAUUUUGGGUCAAAGCUCACGAUCUCCGGCCAAAAUCCGGAUGCUGUUGUACUAUCCGUACAUAGCAGCUAGAUGCAAAGUCGUGUUGCCUUGAUUAUCUAACUCAUUUAUUAGGCUUUCCCAUCUUGGUUCUUUUAGAGUAUACUUCAUCACUAUAGACUUCCCACAUUGGGCUGCAACGUGAAGAAUGGUCCAACCUUUAUUGUCAACCAAAUUAUUAGCACAUGGACAGCGUUUGAUGAUCUCUGCCAUCAUAUCAGGGUAGCCUUUUUUAGCUGCUAUGUGAAGAGCAGAACUAUCUUCUUUAUCCCACAAGUAAGCAACUGAUUUAUCACAUUCCAGCAAUUUCCUAGUCGCUUCAAGAUGUCCCAAUUGUGCAGCAUAAUGAAGGGGAGUCCACAUAAAUAUGUCUGUUUCUGUGACCAUAUCUUUCUUUUUGUCCAGUAGUAUUGCAAUAAUGUCAUCUAGCAAUUUAGACCAAGAAAAAGAAAUAUAAUUAAAACAGACUUUUUCAUCCAGAGUACUUUUAGAAAAUAUAUUACGUUCUUUUUAUUUUAAUAUCAGAUAACGGCUCAGGAUUACUUCCCCAUGAGAAGGAUCAGGCAUUAUGCAAUGAAUUUUCCCAUCAAUUAUAAAGAGGGUAGCUACUAGCCAGUGUGGCAUAUAUUGUAAAAGUAAUUGUGUGAUUUUCUUUCCCUGGUCUUACUACUUUUCUAGUUUAGUUAAGCUCUCCACCUAUCAAUUAGAAAAGCAGAAGUAAAGGUUUGGGCUUGGGUAAGUAUUCUUCAAAAAUAAUUCUAAAAAAUAAUUUAUAAGAACUAUUGAAAACCAUUUUCUGAUGAUAUUUUAUAAAACAAAAGUUCUAAUGGCUGUAUUAUUAUGCUUGGUUGGAACUAAUGAAUACAAUUCUGAUGACUAUCUGUCAUAAGUAUAGGAAGGCCAUGCACUCCAUGUAGAUUUGUUCGGCGUCUGUCAGGAAUCAAGAAUCAGUUAAUGGGGCUCCGAAUGUUCUACUAGCCUUGCCAAAAAGUACUUCAUGAGGCUAAACUCAUCCACACUAAAGUGGUGUUUUUUUUUUUUUUUACUUAAUUCUAAAUAGAAGUUUAAUGCUUAAUAGCGUUAAGUAUUAAGUUAUUUAUUUUUAUAAUACUUUAUUUCUAUUAAGCAUUAAAAAGUAAAAAAAAAAAAAAAAAUCAACAUAUCACUUUUUCUAUUCAAUAAAAAGUUUAUAAUAAAUCAUGAAAAAAUAAAAAAACAAAUGAUCUAAAGUUUGAAAGCAAAUUGCUUUUAGCAAAAAACUAAAAAAAACGCUCUCUAAGUCUAUAGAUUUAUGUGUUCUUGGCUUUGUAUAUCUUAGACAUGUUGGAUAAUGGUGUAACAAAGAUUUCUCCAUUUUUUUCUUAUGCAUUUUCUUCUACAAUAUUUUUCAAGCAUCCCGUUGUAGGGAUAUUUACACAUAGUGCAAUUUUGCUUUAUUUUUGUUGGCAACUUCUUCUCUCUGUUGUAUUAUUCCAAGUACCUUAUGUUACGUCUGACUCUAAAAAAUUAUUAAAUGAAGGAAAAAUAUCAAGAAACUUAUUAUUAUUAUUAUUAUUAUUAUUAUGUUUAGUUUAUCAAAAAUUAUUAAAGGAAGGCAAAAAUUGUUAAAAAAAAUAAUUUUUAUUAUAAAAAAAUUAGAAAAAUAAAUACAAUUAAAAUAGGUUAAAAAAAUUAUAUAUGUCCAAAUUAUUUUACAGUUGUGUAAAAAGGAAGAAAAAAAAAAUGAGAAAAAUGAAUUUGAAAAAAUAUUAUUAAUAAUUUUUUAACUUUCAAUUAAUUUUUCAUCUUCCUUUAUUUUUGUUUAUGUUUUCCUUGUCUAGUAUAUUCCUUCAAAAUUUCUAAGAAUCAAACAUGUGGGUUGCGGACUGGUUCGCUGGCCUGCUGGCCUGCUUGCCCGCUUGCCUGGUCCAAGCAUGAAGUUGGGUUGACCUCUAAUGGUCCCUUGGUGGACCAACCCACCAACCUAACCAAACGAAGGUUGCUACCUUGGAUCAAGUGUCUGGGAUUUGAGUAAUAUCUUCUCCUGGGUUAUUAAAUUUUUAUUAGUUUUCAACGGUUUUCUAUUUGUAAUGAUUAAAUUUUUAUUGUAAAAAUGGCUCAUAAAAACAUUGAUUAUCCUAUAACAAUGUUCCAGAAGCAAGAGAUUAUUUACCAUAGCUUUGAACCGCUAAUUUUGAAUAUUGAAAUAAGUGGAAAUAGAAAUAAAUACUAUUAUUAUGUUUAACUUUAUGAAAAUUGUUGUAAAUGAAGUGGUGAAUGACCACAUUGAUGGUCAUUUAUGAACUCCAUUCACUACUACAAAAAUAGUUUAUGGUGUCACUAUUUACGGUGUCACUUUUAAAAUAAUGACACCAUAGGAUUUAUAAUUAAUAAAGGUGACACAUCAUAUAAAAAAUCUUCAAUUGAGGUAGUUAGAUGAUAUUAAUUUUAUAUUUAUAGUGUCAUUUUUUGGGAAGUGACAUCAUAUAAAAUAAUUUUUUUAAGUAUUAUAACCCAUUUUUAGAAUUAAUAAUGAUGGAUACUAUAUAAAAAUCCCAUUGUUUCCAUAUCUCACCCACAAUCCAAAAAAUCUCAAUAUAUAAAUCCUAUAUAUAAAAUCGUGAUCUUCUUCAACCUUUUCUCUCACCCAUAGUCAACAUGCUCACAACCGACAUUCUUCACUUUGUGGACUCCCAAGUAACCCAAAAUCUCUUGGAUCUAUCAUUUUUUUUUUCUUUUAUUAAUGUCAUUAUAUUAAUUGUUUCAACAUCUUUGUAUUAUGAUUUUUGUGAAUUGUGUAUUCUUGAGUUGUAGGGAAGAAAAAUUUAGGUUUAAUCUUCUAGCGUAGAAGAAAAAACUGUAGAUUAAUUGAUUUUUUAAUCUAAACCAAACACAUGAUCAAAUCCUUAAAAAAAGUGAAAAACAGAAAAAAAAAAUGAAUGAUUUUUAAUAUCUAUUUGUGUGAGAAUGACAGGCACAGAAUUUUUUUGAGAUAUACUAUCACAUAAUCUUCAUCCUUUCUAAAAAACGAGAGAGGAAAAAAAAUGAUUUUUCUGUUUGUAUCUAAGUGGGAAUGAGAUAUAGAAUUUCGUUGAGAGUAUCCAACCCCAAAAGGACCAAUUCGGGAAGGCAUGUGUGGUAUUGGCGGAAGAUGAUAAGAUGGAAAUCAUAACCAUAGCCAUGUUCGAUCUCUCUAUGUCUUUCUAUCCUCUUCAAUUAAUUCAUGGGCAUAGAUAUUUUAUUUAGUUUUUAUAUUUAGUUUAUUUAGUUUCUAAAAUCCAAUUAGCUAGAUUUUUUAUUUGAUUUUAUUUUUAUAUUUAAGUAGUUGAGUUUUGGAAAGUUUUUAUAUUUUGUUAAUAGAAAUAGAAAUUUUUAUAUUUUUUAUUAUUAGGAAUUUCUAUUUUGUUAAAUUGUAAGUAUCUAUCUCAAUAAGAGAUUAUUAAUAUUCAAAUGAAAGUGAUGAAAGAGAGUAAAUAUUUUAAUGCUCAAUUAUAUUUUAAUGUUUUUUUUUUUUACAUAAGGGUUUAUUUAUGUUUUCAAUUUUGAAGUUCCCUUUCCAAGUCCAUCAACAAAAGUAGUGUCCAACCUUAAAAUGGGCAUGUGUGGUAUUGACGGGAGAUGAUAAGAUGGAAAUCAUAACCAUAGCCAUGUUCUCUCUGUGUCUUUCUAUCCCCUUCAAUUAAUUCAUGGGCAUAGAUAUUUUAUUUAGUUUUUAUAUUUAGUUUAUUUAUAGUUUAUUUAGUUUCUAAAAUCCAAUUAGCUAGAUAUUUUAUUUGAUUUUGUUUUUAUAUUUAAGUAGUUGAGUUUUGGAAAGUUUUUAUAUUUUGUUAAUAAAAAUAGAUAUGAGGACUUAAAAGGGUUUAUAUUUAGGUAGUGCUUGAGCCAAGGAAAAUGAUAGUCCACUAUCUUGACCCUAUGCAUCACAAACCAUGUGAGGACUUAAAGGAUAUCGUAAACAUGUAAGUUCUUCCUAUUAUUUUUCAUAGUAUUAUUUUUAAAUAAAAAAAAUACAUUCACCUCAAACACAUUUUUUUAUUAUUUAUAUAUAUUAAAACAUAUAACAUUUACCUAUUUUUAAAAUGUACCCAUUGAACUUAUUUACAUAGGACUCUUCGAAUAUCUGCAAAGAAAACAUCUAAGAGGGAGUCAUCUUAGAAACUAGUGCAAGUGACAUCCAAAAAAUUUUCUUUACACAUUAGCUUAUGCAUUUGCACCAUUUAUAUAUGUGAGUACUAAUGUUAUUUUAUAAUUGAUCGAUUAGUGUCCAAGACAAGGAGGGUUCGAAUGUGGCUACUUUGUUAUGAGAUUCAUUAAAGAGAUAAUUUUUUAUCCUACAAUUAUUGCUUCAAAGGUAUUACUUAUUAAAUGAAUUGUACAUAGUUUUAGGCUUCCAAAUGUUAUGCAUUUUAAUGUUAUUUUCUUAUUUGAUUUCAGUUUUGUGAUAAAAAAAAACAUAUUCUCAAGUAGAAUUAUAUUUCCAUUUAUUCAUUAGAAGAAGCACCCUUCGAUGAAAUUAGAGGAGAAUGGGCUACUUUUGUGCUACAACUAAUCAUGAAUCAUGUUAAUGCAUCAUGAUCACCAUGCAUGGUGAGUCCCUUAGCUACUACAUGAAUUUUUCCAUAGGUAUUGUAUAGUAAUGCUUAUUCUUUGAAUAAUGUUUCUAUUUGAAAAAAAAAAUAGUUCUUAGAUUUGUUCAUUUAUGAUAACAUCGAUCCAUGUUUAUUUUCUUCAAUAAAAAUCUCUAAAACUCAUUAAAUUUUGAAAUGCAGGUAUACACUCUUGGGAUGGUGAAAUGGAGAAUAAAAAGAAAGAAGAAGGCAACAAGAUUUUGGGUUUUUAAAUGCAACUCUUAUGUUAUACGUUGUAGGACAUAAACGUUACUUUAAUUGCAACUGAGAAAUUUAGAUUUUUAGAUGGGACUUUUAUGUCAUUUUAUGGUUAGCCGGUUUUAUGCUUAGGAAAUGGAGGUAUACAUGAAUCUUGGGAUCUUUAACAUUUCUAAAUCAUGUUUUGGUAUGUAUUCACUCUUCUUUUUUAGUUUUGAUGGGUUUGAUAUGUUGGACGUACUAUCCUUUUGUGAACAUUUGAUAUACAAAUAUUAUUAGAUGAUCAAUGUAUUAUGAGUUAUUCUAGAAACAUUACAGAAAAAUGAGUUAAAUAUAAUAUGAUUGUUAUAUUUAUGGACAAAAUAUAAAUAGGUUAAUCUUAUUAAUUCAUAAGCAUUACAAAAAUCAACAACUAAAACCAAUCAUAUCUUCCACAAUAAUUUACAAUGAUGUGAUACCAUAACUUAAAGGUGAUGCAUUUAAUGUGACAUCAUAACUCAAAGAUGAUGUAUUUAAUGUGACACCCUAUCAUCACUAGAAAUAUAUGGUGUCACUUCCAAAUGGGUCACCAUUUAUCUACUUUGGUGUCACUUCCAAAUAUGUCACCAAUUGGUACCCUCUAUGGUGUCAGUGGAGAAAGUGACGCUAUGUUGUAGUGACACCCUAUGUUUAUGGUGACUCGUUAUAAAUGUCACCAUAUACCUUUUUCCUUGUAGUGAUUUACUCAUCUUUAAGAUGAGUAAUGGGAGUUCAUAUUAUGAAGCCUAUAAAAGGCUUUUUACAAAAAAAAUAAAAUUCUCUUCCUCUCAUUCUCUCUCUCUUUCUUUCAUUCUCUCAAUUUUCUCAACUCUCUUCUCUGAUUCCUUCUUCCCAUUAUAUAUAUUGUUAAAGUAAGAUAUAUUUUAUCUCUACUACUUUAUUUGUGUUGCAUUUAUCCUUGUUUUACAACAAAAAUUAUAUUUUAGAAUAAUUUUUAUAAAAAUUAUGGUGAAUAUUUGAAGGCACCCAAAGCAUAUUAACUUGUACUUAAUAAAGAUAAGGCCAUAUUGAAUGUUUUGAUAUUGGUUUAUGAAACUACUUAGAGGAGAGUGAAUAGGCGGUCCUCUGCUUACAACACUCAAAUUGAAGUUUUAAAUAUUUUUAUUAACUCUUAAUUUAAUCAAUAUAUGUAAUUAAUAAAUAGAGCAAAGAAUAAUCUUACACUUGACAUGUGAUGUACAUGGAAAAUCAUCUACAGAAUCUAUAAAAAAAACUUGACGAUGAAAAAUUCAUGAGUCAAUUGAUCAUAGAGCAAAUUCACUAAUUUUGAUAGAAUAAAUACAUAAUCUUACCUAGAUGAAAUACUACCUUCCUUCAAGCAUCUUACACAGGUCAGUACUUACACUUGCUUUCAUGUUCAUAAUGCAAAACCCAUGUAUUCCUUAGUGAAUACCUUAAAACUUUAAGAGAUGUGAUCAACCACCAUGAACAACUUCAAACAAGAUAUGAGCUUUUGGAGUAUCAGGAAUAUGCAAAAGAUAAUAACAAUAAAUUGUAGGGUACGAUGAUGUAUGAAAGUACAAAGUUGAGCAAUGUAUGAUGGCAAAAAACUAACUAAAAAAGAUUUGAAAAGCUGACAAAUAUAGGAUAUUUAUGCAUAACAUCAAGACCGCUUAAGCCCAUUUUGUGGGCACUCGAGCGCUCCUUGUUAAUUUUAGCUUUUCUAAUUUAGCUUCAAGCCCAUUUUGAAUCUAAGUCCACUUUACACCUUAUUCAUGUCAUUAUAUUGUGAACAAGAUAACCCUACUUACCUGAACAAUCAUGUGAAUGAAUAAAAAAUGAUCACAUAUCUUCAAGGCCAGUGCAUACAUAGAGUUGAGUAAAAAAAAUAUUUGGAAUAAAAUUGUUAACUUAAACUAAUUAGUCUAGAUCACUAACACAAAUAAUAUCAAAUUUAGUUAAAAUACAAAUACACCUUCCCAUGAGCAACAUUAUUAUGUUUUACCUUCUUCAUCUUUUACAAGUUUUUAGUUAUAGAAAUAAUGAGAUUAAAAAAUUGAAGGGUAAAUUGCUCCGAUGACUAACUUGAGUGCCUUGGGGCAAUUUUUCUUUGCUUUACAUAUCUCAUAUACCUUAUUAUUGGGAGAUUAUUAAAGAUCGAAUCACAAUAGGACCAAUCCUAAAAUAAAUUCCCCAAAAUCAUUGAUAUUUGAGGCUAUGUAAUUUUUUUGCUCCAACAAGUUCAAUAUUUUGAAUAAGUUUAUCAUACAUGCAUGGAUGUACUUCAUUCUACUACUUGACUAGGGUAGCAAUCAAAAUAGAAGCAAACCUAAAAUCAAUGCUCCAAUAACGUUAAUGUUUGGAGCUUCAUAAUUUUUUUGCUCUAAUAAUUUUGAUAUUUUAGACAAAAUUAUUUUACAUUGAUCGACUUGCUUCUUUAUGUUUAAGUAAAGGGAGAGUUUUUCUUGCCUAAAUCUUGACACUUAAAGAUACUAAUAUUUAUGUUUUGAACAUGAGAUAAGGGACAAAUCACUAUCUUUAACUUGAAUUUAUGUUAAUGCAUGCUUUGAGAACUAAUACGCCAUCUUUCUUUUUUUUUUUAGUAUAAAAGCAUAAAAAGGGAGGAAAUGUAAGCAACUUGAUGUAAUUCUAGCAUUUGGGAUGGAAUGGAGGAGCAAAUAGGCAGCAAGAUGAGCCCUAGUGCUUGCUAAAGUAAAUAAAUAAAUAAUAAAAGCGAAAAGGCAAAAGAAAACUACAAAGGCAUUCUAAAUUGGUUUAGGAGUAGCUAAAAGUGAUUUGGAGAAGCCAAAAUCGAUUUCAAAAGGUUAUUUAAUCAAUGUUAAAACCAAUUUGUGAAUGAGAAUUUUCAUAUUAAUGGAGUCUCACAUCAUAAAAGCGAUUUAAAGGAGGUUGAAAUCGAAAUUCCAAUCUUAGGUUAAAAGUUAAAAUUGGUUUCCAUAUUGAAAUUUUGAUUUUAUCUUGUUGAAAUCAGUUUUUCCAAAAUUUACAGCAUAUGCCAAAUCAAAAUUUCACACUUUGGUUAAUUUGGUAUCAAAAUCUAGAUUUUAGGCAAUUUUGAUGUAAUUUCAACUAAUUAAGUUAUACGUUUGCUAUGGUGGCCAAUGAGAUUAGGCCAAGUGCCUUUUUAGGGUUAAGAUAUUUAUAUUUUCAUUUUUUUUUCAAGGUUACAAAGAGAACAUUUUUACAAUUUUGUUUGUAGUCACACUUUCUAGACUUUUGUUUCUUUCUUUUUAUUAAUAUUCUUUUUUUUUUCUUAUGGAAUUUGGGUGUGAAAUCUCAAUAUAAGAGAUUAAGAUCUUUAAUUUUGGAGAUGUAGCAUGAAGAUACAUGGAAGAUUUGGACAAGGAGCAUAAGAAAAGUAAUGUCAAAUUAAUUGAUCAUUAGGUUUUCAUUUUUACCUUAUUAGAAUGAGAUCAUCUAUGAAAUUAUGGUUAGACUAAGAUCCUAGUGAUACUUCUAAAACCAUUUGAUCACUAGUUAACAUAAUUUGAUAUACUAUCAUGAUUGAAUUGAAAAUUGAUUGUACAAGAUAGAUGAGUGGUACGAAUGUAUAAACAUAAACCUCAAUUAACCAAUCUAUAUUAUUUAUUUUAGUGAAUCAUGUAAAAAGAGUAUAAAUGUCUUAAAAUUCAAUUUGAUCCCAUAUUGACUUUGGUCUUAAACCCUAGAUCUAUGAUUUACUCUCUCUCUCUCUCUCUCUCCUUCUCUUCUUAUGAAUUUGAAGCUAAAUUUUGAAAGCUCCAGAGUUGUUAUCAUAGAUUUGUCUUAAUCAAUUUAAUCUAAAUUCGGUCUUUUUAGAAAAAUUUAUCUAUUAAAUUCACAAUUUUGGGUAUAAGAAUACUUUGUUCAAUACAUAAAUAGUCAAAUGUGUUAGUCUUUAAAGGAUGACAUCUAGAUACCAUACACCAUAACUAUCCUCUCUUUGUUUUUUCUUGGCUAUGAUUUUUAUAAUAAUAAAGAUUUUCGUUCUAAAACAAAGAGUAUCGAUAAAAAAAAAAAAAAGUGUCAUUUUUGUUAGAGAUUGACGACUAUUUUGAAUUGAUAGAUUGUCUUAGUUUUUAGGAGCUUAGAGCUUGUUUUACGACGUGAUUUAAAAAUAUCUUUCUAUUUUUCUAAAAAAAAUGACUUCUAAAAUUUAAUAGCAUUGUUUAGCAAUUGUUCUCUAGAAAUGGUUCAAAAAAAAAAUUAUGAACGUUCUCUUAGAGAACAUAGAGAAAUAAGAAUAAUAAUAAUUAAAAAAAUGAUAAUAUAAGAUUGUGGACCCCGCACUUCUGCACAUGCGUUCCACUCGAUGACGAAACUCAUUGUUUUAUUUGUUUAGUGAAAUUUUGAUUUUUAGAAAAGACUUGGAGUCACCACUUAUUUUUGUUUUAUUUUUAAGGGAAAACAAAAUAAGAAAGAAAACUCUAAGUGUGACUUCUUAUUUGGAAAAGAGGGUCUAUGGAAAACCAAACUUGGGUUUGGGGGUCAAGUUACUUAUUGGGAAGGUAUGGUAAGGACCAUAACAUCCCUCCAAACCCCUAAAAAUGAGUCUCUACUAAAUAAGGUGAAGCAAACGUGGAAAUUGACAAGGAAAUUGUUAGCCCAAGGGUUCUCCUAAUCGGGUUUUGAUGGUAACAAACCAUGGUUAAGUGACUAAUUGGUUUAAAUGUUUAAGAAUCUCAGGUACAAACCCGAAAAUUCAUCAAAGAACCAAAUGGAUAAAAGAUCGAGACGCUUAGAAGACUUGUGAUCAUAGGAAACUAAUGCAAAAUGAAUGCAUGAGUGCACUUAGGAUUUUCAUAUGUUUCAUGCACCUUAGUGAUAACCCGACUCUUGGUAGCUUGGCAUGUAAGGGUAUCAACAAAAUUUAUACCUAACGUCCUUACACUAAAGUAGCAAAGCUACUAUAGCAUAGUGGCUCUAGGAUCGAACACUGGGAAGGGUUUUUACUUUAACUGAUGAAGUUCGGAGGAUGGAGUGAACUUUUCUUAAUAAAGAUUAGGUUAAGAUGAAAACAUAAAAAGAUGAAGGUGUUGUAAACUAAACUAACAUGCAAAUAGGUUAAAAGAUGGGAAAAGAAGUUUCUCAAAGCUUUGGAUAGCCAUGCUUAACUCACCGUGUAAAAAUAGAGAUUUUGGAACUUUUCACCUCGAGUUGGGGAAGCAACUCAGGUGAUGCUUACUUCUCGAACCGGUAUGUGUUUAACAACUGAGUUUUAGUCCUUCAAAACUUACAAAAAGGGUAGCUGAACCUCAUAAAUGCCCUUUUAAUGAUAUAGGUCAUCUCCUCGACUUGCAAUACAAUGGCUCGUAGGAGAUAACUAAUGAACGUCAGUGGAUCUAACAAUAAGAAUCCACUGAGACCAAAAGGUUAUCAAGUAUUGGCCAUUCAAAGCAAGUCAGAGGGAUUAAAAGCUUUACUUUGAAUGAAAACAUUUAUGAUGCUCAACUACUUACAUUUAUGGCUUGGAAAUCUCCAUCCUGACACGGGAGCUUCACAUGGCAUCCAUUACUUCAAGAAACUAAAAGGUUUUAGCCUCUCAUCCUUGGGGAUUUCAUCCUCCAAGGAUGUUUGGCUACUAAGAAAAUAGAAAAUAGUAGAGAGAAAAAGAAAGCAAAAGAUAUUAUGUAUUUAGCUAAGUGUAAAAUUUUACAAAAGAUGGUCCCCUGGAGAAAGUUCCCCCGACCAUCCUAAAAUGAAAAUUACAAAACAAUAUAUAACAGGUUGUUUACCCCUGUAUCCUUGCUUAACAACUAAGGAAUCAUUUAAUUGGUGGAUUACAAGGAGAGAAUUGGGAUUUAGACAACAAAUAUCUGAGGCAAAAUAACAAAAAACGUUGGUCGCAAAUAUCUGGAAGCACUCAGGAGAAUUUCGCAGGCGCACAAAAUGGCUGCGAAAUUUCGCAGAUGAACAAGAUGGCUGCGAAAUCAUUUCGCAGCCGAAGGCUGAUUUCGCAGCCAAAGGCUGAUUUCGCAACCCUGCGAAAUUGGCCUUCAGCUUGGAGUGAUCUGCUUCCAUUGGCUCUAACUUCUUCAUUUCAACUCUAAUUUGCGAACCGUUUGAAGCAUUGGAUUGUUGACUUCCCGAUCUUCGAAACGACAUAAAGCAUGCAUAAAUUGGACUAUAGGAAGUACUCCAAAAGUGGCUGAAAUGACUGUCAUCAAGAAUGCUUCAAGGUAGAUUCUCUCUUUACUUCUCCUCCUUGCAUUCCGGAUUGGUUAUGGCAAAGGACUUUAAGGCUUCAAAGCUCUGAUUCUUCAUGUUCCUGAGCUUUCCAUUGCUUUACCAUGGAUUCCAAAUAACUCUCCUCCAUCUUGGAUUGCUUUGGUGAUCAAAUUACUAACAAAAACACCAAAACUUACACAAAGUGAUUAGAAGUGAUUGCAAAGGUCCUUAAUAUGUUAAUUGGGUUAAAGGGCGAUAAUUACUACUCAAAAGUGUUUAAAAGAGUUAAUUACAAGCUAUCAAAUAGCCCUUUUUGAGUAGUAAUCACUUAGAAAACUCGGUUUAUUCUUUAAAAUGUCGAUUUCAUUAAAACUUGAGUUUUUAACUAAUUUACCUUAGGCAAAAUGUUUCAAAAUUGACUUAAUAAUUUACCUAAAGACCUUGCCUAAGUGUUAGAAAAAAAAAAAAGAAUCAAAAAAUAGGUUUUUCCGGGCCAAAAAGGCUCAACCGGUCGAGGCUAUGGCCAACCGGUCAACUGGUUAAGGAAUCGGUCGAUCGGUUGAGGUUGUCUGGUCGAGGACCGGUCGAGGAAGGUCAAAAACCUUCUCUCUCUCCCAUAGCCUUCUCUUCCCAAUCGAGGUGAUUCCCUUACCGGUCAAGGUCCGGUCAAGGACCGGUCAAGGUCCGGUCAAGGACCGGUCAAGGUCCGGUCGAGGACCGAUCGAGGACCGGUCGAGGACCGAUCGAGGACCGGUCGAGGACCGAUCGAGGACCGGUCGAGGUCCGGUCGAGGACCAGUCGAGGUCCGGUCGGGGAAUCGGUCGACCAGUUGAGGUUGUCUGGUCGAGGACCGGUUGAGGAAGGUCAAAAACCUUCUCUCUCUCCUAGUAGCCUUCUCUUCCCAGUCGAGGUGAUUCCCUUACCUGUCAAGGUCCGGUCAAGGACCGGUCAACGAGGUCCGGUCGAGGACCGAUCGAGGACCGGUCGAGGUCCGGUCGAGGUCCGAUUGAGGCAACGAUAACCUAUCAUGCAUUAAAUGCUCCAACGGCUAGUGAACCGGUCGACCCCCAGCUCAACCGAACGAGGUUGCCUUUUGCUGUUUUUGACUCCCGAGCUUAGAAACCUAUAAAUUGAGAGCUCCACUUCAUUUAUUGAUAAGAUAACACUUGCAUUCAAAGCCCACCUACCUGUUCUUGAUCAAAAAGCUCUCAUUUCUUUCAUAGUGCAUUAAAUUACCACUUACAUAUCCUUUAGUGCACUCUUGUUUGUCAUCCUAGCUUUGUCUUGUAUUUGAGCCAUUUUUAAGCUAGGUUGAGUGAUUAUAUCUUGUAACAAUCCGAGUGUUAAAGUCUUCAAGAGGGUUGAAUCUUGAAGAGGUUGUGUAAGAGCCCAUUGGAUUCGGAAUCCAAGUGUAAGAAGAUUGGAAGCUUGGUUGAAGCUUCAAAUUAGUGGAACCCUCACUCGGUUAGAAGGUUGAAGAGAGUGGACGUAGGCAAGGAAGUGACGAACCACUAUAAACCCAAGUUUGAAUUCUCUAAACUCUAUCUCUUUACUUUGUUCAUAUUUUGUUUAAAUUUGUUGUGAUUGAAAAGAUUUUAAAAACCCAAUUCACCCCCCAUUUUGGGUGUUUUUCUUAACUAAGCAUAGCCUUUGUUUUCUCAUAAAUCAAUAGAUACCAAUAAAAUGAUUGAAUAAUAAAACAAAUCGAGCAUGAGAAUGAAUAAAUAAAUGAAGUAGGAGUGAGAGCGUACCUUAGCAGCAAAUAAUAGUGCACUAUCAUGGAAAAAAUGUUAGCUCAAGUACAAAAUUUAUCGCAUGCAUAUCAAAGAGCAAGACAAAGAUCAAGCAAUAUUCAUUAAGGUGUGGCUCUUAUAAAGGUGCAAAAAGAAGUUUGAUAAGCCCACAAUGCAAACAAAAGAUUCUCUGACCAAUCCCGAGAAGUCUCAAUCAUCCUCUGCAAGAUCCUCUUAAUAUUCUUAUUCACAGCCUCUACCACUUCGUUAGUCUGCGGCCUAUACGCAGAUGAUCUAUGAUGCUGGAUAUCGUAUCUCUGUAAUAAAGUGUCAACAUCUACUCUAAAAUGUACUUCUAUGCUCAAAAUCAGCUCAUGAGGGACUUCAUAGCGACAAAUAAUGUGUGAUAUGAUGAAACUAGCGACCCAAAAUGAUUUCAAUCUCGCAUAUGAAGCAGCCUCCACCCACUUGGUAAAGUAAUCAAUGACGACCAAGAUGAACUCAUGACUACUGGAAGACUUUGGCGAAAUCUUCCCAAUAAUGUUUAUACCCCAUACUGAAAAUGGUCAUGGUGAAUUCAGUGCAUGUAACUCUAAAAAGGGUACGUAGAUAAGGUCUUUAUGAAUCUAGCACUCUCGACAUCUUUAAACAAACUGGCAAUAAUAUUUCAUAGUCAACCAAAAAUAGUCGGUCUUCAUGACCUUACAAGCUAAUAUAUGUCCUCCCAUAUGUGGUCCACAAACUCCCACAUGAACCUCUCUCAUCACUCAAUCGGUAGAGGCGUGGUGAAAGCACAAUAGUAAUAUCCCAUCAACUGAUCGUUUGUACAAUGUCUCCCCACAGAUCACAAACCAGGUGGCUAACUAUCUCAAUGCUCUCUUAUCCUUCGUUGUGGCAACCUCAGGAUAUAUGUCAAGUCUCAAAAACUGAUAUAUGUCAUAGUACCAAGGCAAACCAUCAUCCAACUCUGCCUCAUCAAUCAAGCAACAAUAGGUAGGAACUAAUCUCGACUCAAUCAGUAAAGGGCGAACAAUGGUAUCAGCGGGAAUAUCAAUCAUGGAAGCUAGAGUAGCUAAGGCAUCAACAAACUGGUUUUGUGCUCUAGGCAGAUGAGUAUAACUCAAAUCAUCAAAUCUCCCAACCACUAGCUCUAAGCAUGCAUGGUAAGGCUUAAGUUUCACAUCUUUAGUCUUCCAAUUGCCUUAAAUCUAUCUCAAUACCAGAUUGGAGUCACUAAACACCUCCAUCUGUCUAAUCCCAAGCUUAAGAGUUGUCUCUAAUCCCAAGAUACAAGCCUCAUACUCAACAAUAUUGUUCAUGGCAAGGUGUCGAUCAAAGAAUGCCAAACGAACAAAUCUAGGAAUGUGGUCACCAUGAUGGGAUAUCAGUAGAACACCUAUCUCGUGUCUAGAAUGGUUGGCCGCACCAUCAAAGUACAUGCGCCAACCUGACGAAGUAGUCACUGCAGCAAUAUCCUCAUCUAGAAAGUCAUCAUCAAUAGCUCUACCAUCAGAAAAACUAGUAAUGAGGCUAAGUAAUCUACAACAAUGCUCCAUCUGAUAGACUUUUGAGUGACAUAAUGAAUAUCAAACUCAAUCAAGAGUACCAACCAUCUUAUGAGUCGAUCAAUCAAAGCAAGCCUGUCAAACAAAUAUCUCAGAGGAUCUAGACAAGAUAUCAAGUGCACUAAAUACUCCAUCAUGUAAUGUCUCAAUCUCUUAGUAGCCCAAACCAACGCCAAACAGAAGCGUUCAAUCAUGACAUAUCUUGUCUCAUAAUCAAGCAUCCUCUUACUCAAAUAAUAAAUAGCUCGCUCAUUUCCAGAAUCAUUAAGCUGAGCUAGCAUGCAUCCCAAGGCUAUAUCUGAGACUGACAAGUAUAGGAAUAAGGGACGACCUGGUGUAGGAGGCACCAAGACUAGAGGCGAAAACAAGUACUCCAUGAUCCUCUCAAAUGCACGCUGACACUCAUCAUCCCAAACAAGAGGUCGACUCUUCCUCAAGAGUAAAAAAAUGGGCUCGCAGAUAUCUGUCAAUCUGGCGAUGAAUCUACUGAUGUACUAUAGUCUACCUAAAAAACCUUUGAUCUCUCUCUCAGUUCUCGGCGCAGGCAUGUCAAGGAUGGCUCUAAUCUUAUCUGGAUCUAUUUCUAUGCCUCUCUCACUGACCAUGUAUCCCAGAAGUCACUUAAAAAGUGCACUUCUUAGGAUUCAGUCCUAAUCUGAACUAUCUGAUCAUAUCAAAGAAUCUCUUUAAAGCUACUAGGUGAUCUACUCUAUCUUGGGAUUUCACUAUCAUGUCGUCUAUAUAGACCUCGACAUCCUGAUGCAUCAUGUCAGGGAAAAGGAUAGUCGCUGCUCUUUGAUAAGUAUCUCCUGCAUUCUUCAACCCAAAUGGCAUAAGUAGCAGUAAGUACCCCACUCAGUAAUCAAAGACAUCUUCUCCAUGUCCUUUAGAGCCAUCAUAAUCUGAUUGUACCCAAAAAAUCUGUCCAUAAAGGACAACAUCGAAUGACCUGUUGUACUAUCAACUAGCAUGUCAAUGUGUGGGAGAGAAAAAUCAUCCUUGGGAUUGACCUUGUUGAGAUCUCAGAAAUCAACACACACUCUCACCUUGCCAUUCUUUUUGGGAACAAGGACGACAUUGGCCAACCACUCAGGAUACUCAACCACUGAUAAGAAUCCCACACUAAGUUGCUUCUGAAUUUCUUCUUUCACCUGCAGACUCCAACGAGGAUGCAAUCACCUCAACUUCUGCUUAAUCGGUCUAGCAAGGGGUAGUAGUGGCAAGUAAUGUUGGACUAUGGAUAGAUCAAGGCUAGAUAUGUCCUCAUAAGACUCUACAAGUGAUGUUGGACUAUGAAUGGAUCAAGGCCAGACAUGUCCUCAUAAGACCAUGCAAAGACAUCCAAAUAUGAUAUGAGUAACUGGGCAAGGCCACCACUCUCAUCUGUAAACAAAUCCAAUCCAAUCCUUAGCUCCCUAGGCUGGUCUGUUGUACCAAAAUCAACAAUCUCAGCGUCUCCUGUGGUAGGUGAAACUCUCUGAUCACUAGGACUCAAAUCAAAAGCAGAAGAAGAGUCCGCAUCUGAAUUGUGAUGUACAAUCUCAUCAUCUAUAUCAAAUAUUUGUGAUGUGGGUGAAUGAGGUGCAGAUAAAGUGUUAUCACAAGAAAUAGGCAAAUACUCAAAAAGACUCAUAUCCAUAUAUGAAGAAAGAGUCAGUAGAUCAUCAGAAUGGGAGACAAACCUUGAUAGUAUAUCAAAAGAAAGUGGUGGGUCCACAUGUUUGGACUCUACCAUGACUGGGCUAUUCACACACACAAAUACAUCAUCAUCAACUAUAUCAUCCUCUGAAAACUCCAAAGCAGGAGCAAUCUGGAUCUCCUCAGCAACCUCGAUGGCGGACACCCCAAAUAGAUCAAAUGGAGAAGCAAACUCAGGUUGGACUAUCCCAUCAAUCUGACUCAUACUCAUCGCGAGCAUCUCAUCAAUGUACCUGUCAUGUGGAACAACUCCAUCCACCAUGUCCCUAAUCUCAGCAAAUGUCCCAUGCUCGUCAACCUCAUCCAAGAAAUAGAGUGUCAUGAGGCUCAUAUGAUCUGGAAAUGAUGGGGUGGCUAAUGCAGAAGCAGAAGUGCCAGGAGCUCCAUCACUCAACCGUAGCUGAUGGACAAGACGCUGAAGCUCAACCUCCUGAACAGUGUUGAAUCCAUCAAUAAUCACACUUGAAUGCGUCUAUGGCUUUGACGCCCUCACAAAGUAGUCCGCCAAGCUCAUGUUGCAUGAGCAAAUAGGAUAGUCAAAUGGUGUGUGAGUCAAUCGGGCUUUCACUCUCUCUUUGCUCAAUCACACCAUAUAUCAAUAAUCGGCCUCAAUAGAAAUAAACCCAAAUCCAAAUGGUACAUCACGAUAAAAAAUAGUUAUAAACUCAUUGGGCCCAUGCUAACAUCGCCCUAAUCCCAUGCUCGGUAGAAAAGACAUGCUCCUCAUCAUGUCAAGCACCAUUGUACUACCGUGUUGAUCAAAUGACAUAGCCAUAAAGUCCCUACAAAAAUCCUCAAUCUCCAGAGUCUACACCUCAUCAAAUGUGAACCCAGUAAAAAACAAAUCAUCCUCAUUGUGACUAAUCUGAAGCAUUGGCUUGGAAGAAGCAAACAUAUCUCCAAUGGACCGCACUAUGAUGACCUGGCCAUCAUGAAUGAACUUCACCUUCUGAUGAAGGAAAGAAGGAAUGGCCCCAGCACUAUCAAUCCAAGGUCGGCCAAUAGUAGGUUAAAAGAUGUAGAAAUCCUCAAAACCUGGAACAGAAUAGGAAAUGUAGUUGGACCUAUCAAUAGCUUGAUCUCCAAAGUGCCCAUGACCUCCCUCUUAAUGCUAUCAUAUGCUCUGACUUUCUGAGUAGAGGGACCAAAGUUUGAGGAUGCAUAGCCGAGGGCAAUGACAUAAGCUAAGGGACAGACGUUCAGGGUUGGGUCAUCGUCCAAAAUGACAUAUAGGACUCGGUGGCCUAAAAAACCAACUAAGAUGUAUAGAGGACAUGUAUGGUCUGAACCCUCGGGUGGCAAAUCAUCAUCUAAAAAUAUAAUACAAGUGGCUCUGCCAACCGUCAUCAUGUGAAUCAACCCCUCGAGAAUAGUGGUAGUCUCGACUCUAAUCUAACUCAAGGCUCAAAUCAAUGCAUUUUUAUGAGUGCUAGAAGAUGCCAAUAAGCUCUAAAUAGAUAUACAAGUCUGGGUACUCUACAACUGUCUCAGAAUAUCAUCAUCAUCUCUCUUGACCUCCUCAUGAGAGGCUGCACCCUCCAAGGGUCUAGCGGUUGUGAGGGGUUGUUGUCAUACUACCUUACCUCUGUGAAUAACAUAUUGUAUAUCUGGAGUAUGAACAUCAUCAACAUAUGGAGUAUGUACCUCAUCAACGUCUGGAAUCAAAACAAACGGAGUCUGAACACUAUAACAUGGAAAAAUCAAUGGCUCGACUAUAGUCGACUGUAUUGAUGUCACAUCGGGAACCAAUUUGAAUAGUGUGGGCAUCCAUGGGCCCAAGGUCAUUCUACUUACCUCAUAAAUCCCAUCUACUACUAUAGGCUCUAGCACUGACUCAUCCCAACUCAGCAUGUGGAUAUGAUCAUAUGGCUUAGUGAAAUCCAUGAAAUGUAUACCGUUGGUUGGUAGAGAGACUGCAUGUGAAGUAUAAGCUGACAGAGGGUUAGUGGUUACACUUGGCUGACCCAAGUGAACCAAACCCUGAUCUAUCAAGUCCUCGAUGGCGUGCCUCAAAGCAGUGCAAUGGUCCGUGUCAUGCCCUAGACCUUGAUGGUAAGAACAAUAUAAAUCCAUCCUGAAGAGAGGUGGCAUGAGUUGAGGUAUAUGUCGAGGAGCUAACUGAGUUAACAAACCACCCUCCAUGAGCUUUUAGAAAGCUCGGUUCAAAGGCAUACCUAGUUGGGAGAACUAUUGUGUCAACCUUUGUACAAAAGAAAUAAUAGUCUAUGGGGCUCGGGGCUGAGGGUAUAAAGUAGGAGGCCUAUCUAUGACAUGUGCAGCAAAAACAGGUUGUGAGACCAGAUGUAGAUAAGUAUGAGUCAUAGGUUUGGAGGAAACAGGUGGCCUAUACUGUACAUGAGGUGGUGGUGGGUAGUAGAAUCCAGAAGGCUGCCCAACUGUCUGAUAGCACUCACAUCUUUUAGUCUCUGUCCUCCUAAAGGCUUCUUUCCCUAAGAGUCAGUAGGGGAAGACUCGGACCAUAAUCCUCUAGUUAUGUCCUCCUCUAUACCAUAUAAAUCCUGUACCAAAGAUCCAAAAUCCGUAUGAGGAAAUCCCAUCAAGUGCCUAGCAAAUCAAGGCUGCAAGCUCCUCGUGAUCAUACUAAUCUAAUCAUUCUCUGAAGGAUGAUCAAUAACCUAUGAAAUCUUCUCUCUUUAGCGGGAGAUAAAUGAGGUGACCGACUUCUCUAGCCUUUAUCUCAAAGCCUCUAACUCUCUCCUCGAAACAUCAAUGACAAUGUUAAAUGCAAACUGUCUCAAGAACUUCUAGGCCAAAUCAUCCCAAGUCCGGCGGCAUGAUACAUCCAAUGAAGCAAACCAACGUUAUGCCACACCACUCAGGGAUAUAGGAAAAAACAUAACCAUCUAGGCCUCAUCCAGUCCAUGGGCCCUCAUAACCGUACUAUAAAGCCUCAAAUGGAUGCGAGGAAAGCCAAUGUCCGUGUAUCUCUCAAUCUUAGACAUCCUAAACUUGGUUGAUAAACUGGCCACUGGUGCUCCAUUAAAAUCCUCCCAAGUAAUAGCUUCAUCUGAAGUCUUCAUCUGUCUCAUCCUCCGCUCAAGUCUAUCCAUACGAGCAUGUGGGUCCUCUGAGAUCGGGGUAGGCACUAUGACAGGAAGCAAGGCAACCUCAGUCUGACUCUAUAAAGUAAAUGAUAUAGGUUGUGAAACUAUCUAACCAAGUGGGAGAAGUGGCGGAAUAGUGGGAUCAUACUGCACACUCUCCUGAACUAGAACCUUUUGGGUUUGCUACCCAUCCAUCAUUUGAUCAAGACUAGUUAUGGCCUCCUGGAUCGAAGCCAUAGCAGCAACGAACUAAUCAAAUGUAACCACCUACGAAUCCAUAUCUGCCUAAUCUAACUGGUCUGACACUCUGAUCAAUCUACCUUUAACUCUGAUCUAAGAAGUUGAACUCAUAUCAAACAUAUCAAUACACCUACAAUAGUGGAAAUACUAGAUAAGAUAUUGUGUAAGGGAAACUCUACAAGGAGUGUUUAUCAACUAUGCAGGAAGGUAACCUGGAAGUAUUGAAACUGAUAUCUAAUUCUGAGCAAAUAUAUAAGAGACUACUACGAAGGUAACUAAAUUUAUCACUACUGACCCAGCUCUGAAGGCCCAUAGAUGCACCCACGUGUGGGAAAGGAAAUUCUGAUCGAAUAAUCUAAGGCUCAACCUAUAAGGUCAAGGUGGCUCUAAAAAAAAAAAAAGAUGGACUUUAAAGGAUCCAUAGCAGAAGCGAUCAUACCCUUCGACGGUAUGCAACCCUUUGCACGCCUUUGAAAAGACGAGGCUCUUCCAUGCAAGAUGGUCAUCACCUCUACACAUGCACUACCUCGACAUCCUAAGGGUAUUUGCUAUAGUGAAAGCUCUCACAACUCUCAGCACUCAGUAGUCAACUAAAGUGCAUAGUGAGUGGUGCAGGUGCAUCCGAAAAACCUAUGAAGCUAAAGUAGAAAAAAAAAUACAUUAGUCACACAAAUAUCCAUGAAACCUAGCUCUAGGCUAUUCAGGUCUUCAAAGAUCGGACUCCAAUCAACAUCAAUGUGUCGACCUCCUCAAGAAUGCUCCUAAACAUCAAUAUAGCCCAUCACUAGACCUUACUCCUAACCACUAGCUCGGUCAUAGAAACAAGUACACACAAGGCCUCACACUUGCAAAUAUAAGAACCAAAAUGAAGGAAAUGACCGAAACCAAAGGGUUGGAGGUAAGGGGAUAGAUGUGUGAUCCACACGGACAACCAACAUACAAUCACAUAGGAGAAGAUUAGUUAUGCAACAAGCAGUCAAGCAGAGCGCAAGUAUAUCAUCCAUGUCCAUACACAAGCCAAACAAAAAUAUGACAAUCAAAAUGACUAGCAACAAGGAUAGCAUGCUCAAAUAUAAUCAAGAUAACAUACAAGCAAGAUAAUCAACACUAAGACAAAUAAAAGAUGCAGCAAAGUGAACAUACAUGUCAAAGUAAGUAGGAUAAUCAAGGCAAGAGCAAGAUCGAUCAAUACCAUCAACAUGCCAAUGUUGCAAAGGGAUAUAACAAUUAAGCAUAGAAAAUCGUUGCAUCAAAAUCCUCAAUGUGCUAUGAUCACUCAAGCAUUGAAAAUUGUAAUUUUGAAAAAUUAUUUGAAAAUUGGAGUUUUGAAAAUUAAAUUUAAAAAUUAGAAUUUUGGAAAAUUAAAUUUAAGAAUUAGAAUUUUGGAAAUUGAAUUUGAAAGAAAUUGGAGUUUUGAAAAUUAAUUGAGAAUUGGAGUUUUGAAAGUUAGUUUUAAGAAUUGGAGUUUUGAAAAUUAAUUUUGAAAGAAAUUGGGGUUUUGAAAAUUAAUUGAAAAUCGGAGUUUUAAAAAUUAAAUUUAAGAAUUGGAGUUUUGAAAAUUAAUUUUGAAAGAAAUUGGAGUUUUGAAAAUUAAUUGAGAAUUGGAGUUUUGAAAAUUAGUUUUAAGAAUUAGAGUUUUGGAAAUUAAAUUUAAGAAUUUGAAUUUUGGAAAUUAAAUUUGAAAGAAAUUGGAAUUUUGAAAAUUAUUUGAAAAUGGAAGUUUUAAAAAUUAAAUUUGAAAAUCGGAAUUUCAAAAAAUUAUUUGAAAAUUACAUUUAAGAAUUGGAAUUUUUUUAAAAUAGAAGUUUUGAAAAUUAAAUAUGAAAAUCGGAAUUUCGAAAAAUUAUUUGAGAAUGGAAUUUUUAAAAGAUCAAUUUUGUUAACAUAAAAAGAUGGAUUAGGAGGGUGACAUGUUAGGCUUGGGAUUUGGGUCUAAUAGAUAGGCUUUGAUAGAGGUUUUGCAAAGGUGGCCAUACAGGAGUUAUUCACAUGCUUAUGAAUGGUGGGGGAAGAAAACUCAGACCAGAUUUGAAAAUAAGAACAUAAAUAUGAUCUCCAAUGCAUAAAAUAGCUUAAAUUAAAUCAAAUUAUUCCCAAGCCAAAAGCCAAAGUAUAAAUAAAUAAACCAACAACAGCACACCUAUGAAUGGCUCAGAAAUCCAAUAAAUUCAAACACAUAACCUAAUGUUCAUGCUUAGCAAACAAUCCACAAAAAAGAAAAUAACAAAAAGGAAGAAGAGCAUAUUAUGGUGAAGCAGAAUCAAACCUAAGCAAGUCCUCUCACUCUUUCUGUUUUUCUCUCUUAGAUACCGACUCUCUGUUUUUUCUUUUUUUCACUCAAGCUCUCUUCCUCAAGCUCCGUUUUCAGCUUGUUUUUCUUCCCCUUCCAACUUUAAAAAAAAACCUCUCCUUGCUCCUCUUUCUUCCUCCCAACGGCCACCUCUUGCUCUUGCUAAAAAAACCUCAUUUUCCUAUCUCCACACCAGCUCAUUUUUCUUCUCAAAACGUCUCCUGUUUUUUGUCCAGCUCUCAAAACCCCCACCUGUUGAUAACCUCUCCAAUCCGGCUCCCCCUCUCCAUCCCUUUUUUUUUUUUUCUCUUCAAUCCUCCCCUCCAAGCUUCAGUUUUUCUCUAAAAAAAAAACCAUCCUCUCCUAGUCUCAUCUUCCCUCUUAAAAACAGCUCACCCAUGGACAACCUCUCCAUUUUUCUCUCCCGUUAGCUUCCACCAGCUCUCUGCUUCCUGUCCACUCCUCUAUUUUUCAUUCAGAAAAAGUCUCAUCUCAACCACCACCAUGGCAAGGUGGUGGUGUGUUCUUGCCACACAUCCCAUGCAACUUUGAGCACUCGUGAAAAGGUCGUCCCCCACUUUUCCAAAAAAAAAGCCCAGCUCACUGUAGCCAAAUAUGGGUCUACAAAUAUGAUUAUUUUAUUCUUUCAUUUAUUUUCCACCAAUCAAUACCGAAAAUCUUAAAAUAUAAUCAUUUUCUUAAUUACAUGUGGUUUUUAUAUUUUCUUUAAUUUCUCUAAAUUUUGUCAUUAGGAAAAUAAAUUCUAAAUUAAAUAGUAUUUAAUACGUAUGAUUUAGUAAUGUUUUAAAAUGAUUUGAAACUAAAAAUUUAUGUAAUUAGUAUUAAAAAUCAUGAAACUAAUAAUCAAUCUAGGUAAUAUUAGAAAUUUACAAAACAAAAUUCAUUAUAUAUGCCUUCACUAGUUUAUGUUUUUAUACAUAAUCAUAAUUUUGUGAAUUUUUUCACUAGACAAAUAGACUUCAAGUAAGCAAAACUUAAUCUAUUAGAUUCAUGAAUGAAUCUAAUAAAUUUUAAACAUAAUUUGAAACUCAAAUAGUAAACCAAUUCAUACCAUAAAUUUAUGGAUAAAAGUUAAUCAAGAAUAACUCUAUUAGUUCUCUUUUAUGUAGAAUCAUAUUUUUCCAAAAUUUGCUCACCAGAAAAAUGGAUUUCAAGUGAAACAAGACUUAAUACGUUAGAUUUAUUAACAAGUCUAUUAAUUCAAAAAUAUUUAAAAAUAAAAAAUAAAACAAUUAUUAAUAUAAGUUGACAAACUAAAAUUGUUCCAAAAUGACUCUCCUCUACACAUAUCUAUAUUAUUUUAAAAUUUGUUAUUAAGCAAAUAGAUUUAAAAUCAAGCAAGACUUAAAAUGUUGAAUUUAUUAAUGAAUUUAAUUGUUUUUAAAAUAAUUUGAAACUUGAAAAUAGAUAAAAUCACUACCAAAAAUAAUAGAUCAAAACUAGUACAUAAUGAGUCAUAGCUUUAUUGCUCUUUAUAUGUACACAACUAUAUUUUACGAGUUUUAUCACUAAGUAAAUAGAUUUUAAAUUAUGUGAGACUUAAAACUUUAAAUUCUUUAAUGAACCUUCUAAAUUUUAAGGAUAAUUUGAAAUCUAAAAAUUUGAUCAAAUUAAUUAUAUACUAAAUCAAAACUUGUCCAAAAUAGGUCCAUGCUAAAAUACUAAAUAUGUACAUGCAACGGUUUUAAAUAGAAUAUUAUUAACCAUUAUUAUUUUUUAAUUAUUAUUUUUUUAAAAGAAAAAUUAUUAUGCUUUUAUGAAGGUAUUAAUCUCUAUAUUUUUAUAAUAUAUAAUGAAAUAGUAUUAGUUUUUUUAAUAAACAAAAUAUAAUUUAUGAUCUUAAUAUUAGUUUUCAUAUUUUACGAAAAAAAUAUUUAUUUUAAAAUUUUAUUUGUAAUUAAAAAAUUAUUUUUAUUUUUAAUAAGACUUGAAUUAACUUGAAUUAAUAUUAUAAUUGAAUUUAUAAUUUUUUUCUAAAAUCAAAGCAUAAAAACUAUUUAUAAAAACAACUUAUUUAGAUAAGGUUUUUUUUUAUUUCUUUGAAAAGUGUUUUUAAAAGAUAACUUGCCAAAUAGUCUUGUCUUUCGAAAAUAUACAAAAUAAAAUAAAAUAAAUUAUUUUUGUUCUUUAACUUAAAAACUGUUAUUAAAAACAAGUAUAAGAAAAUAUUAUCAAAGUGAGCCGUUAGUUUUUAGUAAUUAGUUAUUUUUGACAAAGUUUAGUGUUUCCACAUUCAGAAAGUUUAAACUAAUUUGUUUUCAUUUUAGUUUAAUAUUCUCAUUAGCUGUUCUUUUCUUUUUUUACCUUAGAAUUUCUCCAAUUUUAUGCUUAGUAGGUAAAUAGAUUUUGCAGGUAGACUCCAAUGAAUUAAUCAACCAAUUCAACCUAUGGUAGAAAACAAUUAAGGUCAAAACAACAAUAACAAUCGACCUAUGAUGUCUUCCAUGAAUACAGAUCAAUGGGAGAGCAUUUGAACCCUCCUCAUCUUAGUACACCUUCAUGCUUCAUCAUGUCGUAGGAUCAUGUGACCAUCAAGCCUCAAUUGGUGCCUUUACUCUUGAUCUUCAAAGACAAUGGAAAUGAAAACCCUCACACCAAUAUCAAGGAUGUCAAAGAAAUUUGCUUCACCUUUCAAGAAGCAAACAUGCCUCUAGAUGCGUUAAUAAGAAUAAAGCUUUUUCCACUUACGUUGAUAGAUCGAGCAAAAACAUGGUUGAACACCCUUGGACCACAAGGCAUUGGGACCUAGAAUAGGUUGCAAUUGAUCUUCCUUAAAAUUUGUUCCUACCACACAAGACUAAUGCAUUGAAAAGGGAAAUGUCAAAUUUUACAACCUGGGAAAACAAUAAAUUUUUCUCAUGUUAAGAGCACUUUAAAUGGAUUUUCAAAGCAUGCCCACAUCAUGUCUUUGAUAAUUACAAGUUGAUUUUCAAAGCAAUGUUAGAGACGAUGUGCGGAGGAAAUUUCAUAAGAGUCUAGAUAAAACUCCUUCAAUUUCUAGAUUAUGUGGUUGAAGCAACAAAGAGUUAGAUAGAUCAUGUGAUUAAGGAAUCACAAAGAAUGCAAAGUUCCAAAAAAAUUGAAAGUUUGUGAUAUCUUCAACUUGUUUGAAAGCAUGGAUUUUCAAUUAAAUAUUUCUACCUUAACUAGGAGAUUAGAAGACUUGGAGACCAAAGGAGUCUAAGAGGUCAAAGCAAUGAAUAAGUUAAGAGUGAUGAGAUGUUUGAUAUGCUAGUUAAAGGAGCACAAGGUUACAAGUUGUCCAACACUUCUAGUAGUGAGGCACAUGUUAUCAAAGUUGGCCAACACUUUUGAUUCAUUCAGAUAGAAUAGUAAAACUCUCCAUUCUCCAACACCUAUAAUCUAGGUUAGAUUAAUCAUCUUAACUUAUCUUGGAGAUGGAGUAGUCAAUUUCGUUAGCAAAAUCAUGCUAUGAACCAACAUUCAAAAUGCUUAAUAUCCCUAAUUAAUGAAAAUAAAUUACACACAAUAGAUAAGUUGUGAUUACUCAAUACAAGGUUGGGUGAUAGUUGUAUUUUCCAACACAUAAUGAUGUAAUUGCAAUAACAAUUUAUGGUCGAUAGUGGCCACACAAGCCCCAAGUAAAGGCUUCCCACCUUUGCAUUCAUCAUUCCCAACAUUAGGAAUUCUAAUUGCAUCUAUGCCUAAUACGUACUCUAUGCAAAACUCUAAAGCUUCCUUUGUAUCAUGGCAUUCAACAAAACAUCCCUCUCAGCAAUUAUGAUUUUGUACAUAACCCUUUAAUACCUUCAUAACCUUUCAAAAGAAUACAUCCAUCUAAGGUAAACUGGCCUACAUGAUCUCGUUUUUCUUGUCAAGUGCAUUAUUUAAUGAAGCAUAAUGUCAAAAAAUGAAGGUGGAAUUUUUUUUUCAAGUAAGCAUAAUAUCACCACCAACUCAUCUUAUAGUCUAUCUAAUUUAAACACAUAGACUACUUUGCUACAUGAGGCAUUGAAAAAUAAGCAUAAUCUAGAUAUAGUGUUUCACAUGUUUAAGUAGAAUAUAUUGUAAUUCUACUAGUAAUAUGUUGCAUGAGUGCAUGAUAAUCAUGGGAUUUAAGACCAUAAAGCUUCAAAUUUUCCAUUGACACAAGUUUUAUGAAGUUAGAGGACUAUCCUUCAAGGACUUUCAAGUCAACUAAGGUUUGAUAUACCACUUUUUUCUCUAUCCUAGAAAGUGUGUAGCAUGUAGGUGGGAGGCAAGUCUACUUUAAGUCAAAUUUUGGUGCCAAUUCAAACCUUAUGCCCAUCUCCAUAAGAUCCAACCCAAAAUUGAGUUCAUCUUUUAUUUUCCUGGAAUGUUAAGCAAGGUGCCAAUGAUGCUUUCGCACACAUUUUUCUCAAUUUGCAUAACAUCUAAUUUGUAAUCGACAUACAAAUGUUUCCAAUAUUCUAGAUCAAAGAAUAUGGGCUUCUUUUUCCAACAAAUUGUAGUAUUCACAUUAGAAGUACUUGCUUUAACCUUCUUUUUUCCCCAUGAUUAAAAAUGGAAUCAACUUCUUCUAGUAUUUCCUCUCUAGUUAAUGGUUAUGGAGGUAGCCCAAACUCUUGCUAACCAUUGAAUGCCUUCUUUUGUUUCCUAUAAGGAUGGUUAUAUGGAAGAAACCAUCUAUAACCUAUAAACAAGUUCUUCUUCCCAUGUUUCGAUCUACAAGAAUAUGUUUCUUUCCCACAUAUUGGUAAGCAUAAUGUCCCUUAACAUGAACAACUCUCGUUAAUGUGCAUCAUAUACUUUGACUCUUACCUCCCAAAGAGUUUUAAGAGCUUCCACCAAUAGUGCCAAGUAAACAUCUAUGUCAUUUCCAGGUUAUCAUGGAUUUGAUAUCAAUAAUGAUAACAUCAUAAAUUUCUAUUUCAUGCACAACCAUGGUGGAAGGUUAUAUGCGAUCAUUAUAUAUAAUUGACUAAAUACUAUGACAACUACUAAGAGAAUUGUGAGGAUUUAUGCCAUCUAUUAAAAUAGUAAGUCUAAGUUUUCUAGUCUUAGAAACAAACCUGGGCCAUAAAUGGUCAACUAGCUUCCAUGAUGGAGAAUCAAAUGGGUAAUGCAAAUUCCCAUCAAAAUUUCUUUCUUGGGCAUGCCAUGUGAGAUUUUUUUUACUAUUUGUGAGGAUUGGAAUGUUUUUUUAAACCUUGAGAUAGGUGGAAAAUACCACAAGACUUUUGCAGGAACACUUAUUCUCCUUUUGUUUCCUUUUUUACUUACCUUCUACCUUGAUGUUCCACAAGUACAACAUAAUGAUACAUUUUUAUGCUUAUUUCUAUAAAGAUAACAAUCAUUAGGGCAAACAUGUAUUUUUUCAUAUUCCAUUCUCAAUGCAUUUAAGGUUUUUUUUUUUUUUUUUUUUGCUUCAUACAUGCAUUUCAUUGUUGAUUGGGAGUGUAUCACUUAACAUUUGAAGUAACUCUAAAAAAAUUUUGUCAAACCACACAUAUCUUACUAUCAAGUUAUACAAUUUUACCAAUGCAGAUAACUUUAUAAACUUUGAACAAGCAAGAUAUAAAGGUUUUUUAGCAUCUUCAAGUAGUCUUUUAAAUGAUUAGGGAUCCUUCAUAUAAUCAUCUUGUGCAGCAUAGACCAUCUAAAUGGUAUUGUCUAAAUCAUCACAAUUAAGUUGAUCAUAAUGAUAUCCUUCACAGUUGUUGCUUCCUUACUAAGAACUACCUCUCCAUGCUAAUACCGUGUGCAGUAACUUUGAUUAAUUCCAUUGAAAUAUAAGUGUUCUCUAAUCACUUGAGGAGUAUGGUUCAUUAAGUUGCUAUAAUGUAGGCAUGGACAUCUAAUAUAGUUCAAAUCUCUAGCAUUUAGACUUAUAAAUUGAAUAAAGCUGUCAACCCCUUCUUCAUACUCUUGUGAUCUUCUAUCCUUAGACUACAUCCAAGAUCAAUCCAUUUUUGGGUUGAUUCAACUAAAUUCCUAUAUAACACAAGUUGCAUGAUUUAUUAAUUAUUAAUUCCUAAACCAAACAAGGAUAUAAAUUGAGCUAUACAACUAAUAAAUAAAGUAUUAAAACACGAAAUAGCAUCAUAAUUGUACCUAUAUUAUAGCACAUGCAACCACCUACAUAUGUUCAAUCUUAAACACUUAAUGUUACUUCAUUCAAUAUAAAUUAAAUAAAUGCAUAACUUCAUUUAUUAGCAUGCAAUAAAUUAUCAAUAGAAUGUAUGGGGAUAAUACCCUAAUUAGUAUUAGUGAUAAAUCAUAUCCCAUGAUAAUCCAUUAUGUAAUAUAAAUACUAAAACAAGAUAGGAAGACUAAGAACUUAACUAAUUUAGCAUCAUACAACUAAAUCUAAAGUACCCAAUUUUAUUGUGUUCACUAAAAGAAAGAAGUAGUAGAAAAUUAAUUUACUUUGCAAUUCUAUAUGAUCCAAGUGUAUAUAGUAUAUCAAAUCCUCAAGUAUGAACUCUCACUACAAGAAAUAAGUUUUUAUUAGUUGGAUUCUCAAAAUUAAGAUACUAUUAAUGUAUAUAGAUUCCAUGAAAAUGCUUGUCUUCACAAGGUUGGAAUUUCUAUCCCAUCUAAGAAUUGUAUGUUUUUAAAAUAUUACACAAAGAAGCAAAAUUUAAAAUUGUCAUGAAAAUUUCAACAACAUUUCUCUCCUAUUCUCGUAGAUGAGCCCAAAUUCUCAAUGAAAAUCCUUAAUCAUGUUUUUUAAGUAACUUUGUAAAUUUGGAAUGGCUAAAUGCAGUUUCUAUAUUUUUAUCUACUAGAAGCCUUAAGUUAUAAAAUUGAACUAAUAAAUGGGUUAGGUCAUGAUUGGGAAGCUUGUUUUAGAUCUACCAUCUAUAUUAUUUUAUUUUAAUGGAGCCCAAACUAAAUAGGGAACCCAACCAUCUACCACAAUACCAUGUCAUUUUACUAAUAUGGCCUUUGUUUAUUGGUCAAAUUGGGUCCUAUUUGUUUGUACAAAUUGACACUGUAUGUGGAGUGCAGUGUUCAAUAGUUGGUGAUCCAUUUCAUAAUUUUAAAAUAAAGAAUUUGUUUGUUGAUAAAACAACAACCAUCCACCACCCAUUCAACUAACAAGAUUUAAGAUUAUUGUUUCUUUCCUAUGGGUGAUAAUAAAAAUAAAAAAAUUAAGCCCUAAUACAAUGAAAAUAGAAAAAAAAAAAUUGAAUAGUUUGAUUUUAAGAAAUUAUUAAACAAAAUGAUGAAAAUUGCUAUUGGAAUUCACCAAUUAAUCAAUUCUUCAACUACCACAAUGAUUCCCAAACAAUAGACAAAUCCUAAGUCUAAAGGUACCGUUAUGUCAUCUAAAAAUCCAAAAUAUUUAUCCAAACCUAAACUCUAAAACCCAAUGUGUUUCAAACCUCAUCUUAGUAGGAUUUUUUUUUUAAACAUUAUUUUAAAAAAUUAUAAUUAAAGCAUUGUUGUUUAAAAAAUAAAUAAAAAAAUACAACACUUUUCAUCACUUGUUUUAUUUUUGCACUAAACUCGUAUUUGUUCAAGAGGCGAAAUCACUUUUUAUAUUGAAUUGAAAGACGAGUUCACUUUUCACCUUAAAUUUUUCUAUACAGAACUUGCUUUUUCAAAAGAUAAGUUCACUUUUCCAAUGUUGAACUCGUCUUUUGAAAAAUACAACUUCACUUGAAAUCUAAAAAUGUGAUAGUUUAAAAAAAAAUAAAAAAAAAUUGGUGGUACAACCUUUUAAAAAAGUACACUACUCUUGUAGAAAGGCCUAUCUCAAUACUCCUUUGACUACUAGACUCAAUAGAGUGUGACUUGGUAUAUCAUUUUACAUGCAAUGUUAGAUUUAUUUUUUUUAUUUUUUUUUGGUUUUCAUAUUCUCAUAAACCAAAAAUGGAAACUAAUGAAUAAAAAUAAAAAUUAAAGAAAAAAAAAAAGCAUUUAAAAUAUAUAUCAAGAAAGAAAGAUAUUGAUCACCUAUUUCUUUCAACAUAAGUUCCUCUAAGUAAAAUGAUAAGGUUGCCACUAUGGUUUAAUCUCAGGAGGUUUAAGAGCACACAUCUUCAAUACGGGAAGGUUUGAGAGCACAUCUUUAAUAGGGGAAGGUUUGAGAGCACAUCUUCAAUAGGAGGAGGUUUGGGAACACAUCUUUGGUGGGAAAAUAAGAUUGAUAACUUCUUCUUUUUUAAAUAUAUACUGCUAUUAAAAAUGUGAGGUGUUUGUCAAUUUUUUCAUUCCAAAAAUGUCUGACAACUUACCUUUUAAUUCUAAAAAUACUUCUCAUCAAUUUAUUAAUAACAAUAUAUUAAUAUUUAAUAUUACAAAAUGUAUUCUAUUAUCAUAAUCUAUUAGUAUCAAAUGACAUUAUACAUUUUAUUCUCUUUAGAACCUAUAAUAUUCUUUGACUCUUGAUGAUGUGCCUAAGCCCCAUAUUUUCAAUGCCCACAUAAGCCUUUUCUAUCAUUUUCUCCUCUCCAUGGUCACAACAGCUUCUUCUUCAAGCUUUUAGAUUUUUCUUUGCAAAAUUGCCAUCGUAACAUUCCUCUUCGCCACAAAUGGCAGUCGAUUCAAGACUAUGUCUAGAGUUAUGGUCAUGGUUCUGGAAGGUUUGGAUUGAUGAAAGUGUUAUGUUAGGGACAAGAGAGAGCUUCAAUGAAAUGUAAUGUUUUGGGGAAAGCUAAGAAUGACAAUGGUGGCAAAGAAGGUGUUCCUGAAAAGAAGAAACAGUUUGUGUGGUGGUUUCAGGAGGGGUGGUUGUAUUUUCACAUUCAUAGGAGUGACACAUUUGUUGUCAAUUCUUACUUGGAACCCAUACUGAAGGCACAUUUUCUAUGAAUUUCUUUUCCCCUGUUAAUUUAGUUUGGAUGAAUAAACUGUUAUUGUGUUUCAUAAAAGCAAUAUGGAGGGUUGGUUUGGAUAGUGGUGAUACUCCACAUUCAGAUAUGUUUUCCUUUUGUAUUUUGGAAACUAAUGAAUCAUAACAUGCUUAUUGGUGAAAGGAGAUUGUUGUUUAUCCCCUAUUUGUUUAUAGAGAAUGAAUUGUGUUUGUGGAGUUGACAAUUGAAGAUGUUGACUGUGAUUUAAAUCCAAAAAGUUUUAGAGAAUUGGUCAAAUAAAUCUCUGAUAAAUAUAUUUUUUUAAUGAAUUUACAACUCUUAUCUAAGUAAUUUAUCGCAUUGAUGGUAUCUAUGUAUAUCAAUUAUUUGUGUUCUAAUUUAUUGUGAUUCUAUCUCUUGUGUUAUUAAUCAUUUAGGUUAUUGGAUUUUAACAUUUUGAUUUUUAUCAUUUCCCAUAUUUUUAAUUCAUUGCAUUUUUGUUCAUUGUGAAUGUUAUUUAUUUAUUAUUUUAGCACUCAUUGGGUUUUUUGUGAACACAAUUAGGUCAACUGUUGUUGCCAUUAGUGUUUUUGAUGAUUUUGCUUACAUGUUUAUUAGGGAAAUAUUAGAAUUCAAGGUGUUUGGUACAUUUGAGAGGUAAUCCAAUUUAGUAUUAGAGUAUACCUUUUUUUUUUAUGAAUCCUGACUUUUUUUUUAUUGGGAUCAAAAUUUGUUACUUACUCUAGAAAUUUAGUAUUUUUGUAAAUACUUUUAAUUUGUCUAAUUAUAUUUUUUUAUAAGUAUUUAUAACUUAAAGGUUUUACUAAAAAGAAAAUGAAGUUAGUAGUUUUAAAUUGAAAUUAGUCUUAUUUCUUAAGGUUUUUUUCCUUUUUCAUUUUUAGCUUAAUUGAAUCUAGAACUUUCUUGUAAAUUAUAAUUCUAAAAGGAGUUUUAAUUACAACCUAUUAAUAUUUAAUGUUACCAAAAUCUAUUAAUUAUUCCCUUUAAAAUCACCCUAUAACAUUAUAAAAUAUUAUAAUUAAUACAUCAUCUAAUCAACAAUUAAGAAUUACCCCUUCACUCUUCAAAUUUCUUAUGAUGACAGUUUCACUUUUCAUUUCUAAAGUUUGAAAACUUUUUAAAUUUCUGAUAACUUUUUCCUCUUUGAAGAGAAUUAAGAAGUUUUUGUAAAUUGGCACUCCCAAUUUGAAUGAAGUGCUAUUUGGUGAGUUGUUAUUUAGUGUUCUGAAUGAUUUUACUUAAAUGUUUGUGUUACUUAUGAGAAUAAUUUGAUUACUUUGUUGAAUUUUAUUUUUAUGAUUUUGAGCUUUUUAAAACAAUACUCAAUUCUUUGAGUUUGUUGGAUGUGAGUUGGAAGAAAAUUGAAAUUUAAGGUAAUUGGUAAAUUUGAGAGGUAACUAAAUUUAGUAUUCAAGUAUACAUUUUUUUGUAAUGAAUUUUAAUUCUUUAUUUUAUAAUUCAAUGUUUAUUAGAAUUGAAGUUUGCUACUUAUUAUAUAAAUUUAGUAUUUUUGUAAAUACUUUUAAUUUUUAUUAUUUUUAGACAAGUAUUCACAAGUUAAAUCUUUUAAUAAAAAAAAUAAAGUUAAUUGUUUCAAUUGAAAUUUGGGUAAAUGUUUCUAGAGUAUGUUUUUCUUCAUUUUUUGUCUUAUUGGAUCUUAAUUUUAGAAUAAUUAGAACUCUCUAAAAAAUAAAAUCCAUAUUUUUUUUAAUAUAAAUUACCAUUCUAGAGCUAAAUGCAUUUCCUUAUUUUAUAAUUCAAUGUCCAAUAAUAUGCAUAGGAAUUGGACAAUAUAGUUUUUUGUUUUAUAAUCCAAUAUCUAUAAUAAUUGGAAACUAUAGUUCCUUAUUUUAUAAUCCAAUGUCUAUAGAAAUUAGAGAUUCUUAUUUAUGCUAUAAAUUUAGUAUUUUUACACAUUCUUUUAAUUUGUCUUAUUUUGUUUCUUUUAAAUAUUAUCUUUAACCAAUAUUCACAACUUAAAUCUUAUAAUAGGAAAAGUAAAGUUCCUUAUUUUAAUUUAAAUUGAGGUAAGUGUUUUUCAAGAUUUUUUUUUUUUUUUUUUUCAUUUUUAGUUUAGUUGGAUCUUCACUUUGGGAUAACUAGAAUUUUCUCAUAAUUUUUGUUUGUUUGUUUUUUUUAAAUACCAACCACUAUUCUAAAAUGAAUUAAAAAUAACCACAUUUAACAAUUCGAGAAUGAAAUAUCAAGUAUAUUUGAGAGAUCAAAAACAAUUUUUAUUCUUACUAAGAUAUUUGUCUUUUUAUUUGCUCAUGGUUCUUGUUAUUAUGACUUUGUAUUACAUUCCAGAAACAUAUAGUUUUUCCUUGUGUAAAUAAAUUAAUAAAAUUAAAGGAAAUUGACAAGGAAAACAUAAAAAUAAAAAGUAUGUUUGAAUAAAUAAUCCAAUUUUUUUUUUUUUAAUAUUCAUCUACUUUUCAUAAAAUUAGGACAAGUAAAAGUUACAUUUUGUUGUCCCUAAAUUGCAAUGAAUUUAAAUUAACAAUAGAUAACGGGUUUAAAUAAAAUUUGGUACAUAUCAUUGCUAAGGUGACAUUUAUUUUGCCUAACUUAGAAAAAUUGAUUUUAAAAAGAAUUUUACCAUCUAAGAUUUUUGGAAUGGAAAAAUGUAACAUUAUUUAUAUUUCAUCUCAGUCCUUUUUCCUUUCUAUUUAUAUUUCAACCCAAUCAUUUUUUUUCCUUUUUUAUGUCUAGUUUGAUUAUUUGACUUUGAAUCUCUUCUUAGUUUCAUACAAGGAUUUUAAAAGAAUAAAUUCACAUAUUUAAUUUUUUUUAUUGGAUUUGUUUUCAUAUUACCUAAUCUACGUCGCAUGUGAACACUUCCUAACAUAUAUAUAUAUAUAUAUAUAUAUAUAUACACAUAUGUAUGGAAGAGUAAGAUGACUGUUUCAAAGAAUCAUUUUUAUAAAAAUGACUAUUUAGAAGAGUUAAGGAGCAAGUCUUUGAGGGGAAAUAAAAUCAAUAGUAAAAGAAUAGGAUGACGUUUCGAAAGAAUCAUCUUUAUAAAGAUGACUAUUUAAAAGAGUUAUGGUCUCUUUCCCAAAGUAGAUAUUUAAUUUGAGAACGAGUGGGAAAAUAAAAUUAAUAGCAAUUUGCCUUUUAAUAUUUACAUAAAAGGGAAAGGAUAGGAUGAUUUUUUCAAAGAAUUGACUUCACAAAAUAGAUAUUUAAAUUGCAAAGUCAUUAUUUAUCAUAUUAAUUAAAGAUAAUGAAUUUUUUUUAAAAAAAGUCAUUGAAACAACUGUCAUUAUCUCCUUUUUUGUUGUAGUGACUUUGGAUUUACUAUUAGAUACAUAAUUAACAAAUCAAAGGAUUGAGUGCAAUUAAUUACAAUAGAUUUUUUUGUAGAUAUUAGAAUGUUGAUAGAGGCUGGACAAAAAGGAGGUAACUAGGAUUAAGGCAUAAUGGAGUAUUCCACAGUGAAGGCCAAGAACAGGGAAGAAAAAAUGAGUCAGCUGCAGGUGUUAACCUGCUCUGAUACCAUGAGGGAAAAUAAGAAGGGGAAUAAUUGGUAUAUAUUUUUCUCUAUCUACUGAUGGAAUGAAAAAGCAUCCUAGCCUCCUACGAGGGUCUAACCUUGUGAUUCUCCACUGUAUCAUAUCAGGGUGAUCCAUGGCUUGGUAGUCUUUUCCCUAAAACCUCUUCAUAUUGGCUCGUAACCGAUUCAAAAUUCACGAAAUUCAUAUAGAUCGUUCAAUGAAGUCCCCUAAUCAAGUUCAAGGUAGCCUUUGGUUAUUCUGAAAAUAGAUUUUUUUUUUUUGUUUUUUGUAGGUAUUAGAAUGUUCAUAGGGGCUGGACAAAAAGGAGGUAACUAGGAUUAAGGCAUAAUGGAGUAUUCCACAAUGAAGGCCAAGAACAGGGAAGAAAAAAUGAGUCAGCUGCAGGUGUUAACCUGCUCUGAUACCAUGAGGGAAAAUAAGAGGGAAUAAUUGGUAUAUAUUUUUCUCUAUCUAUUGAUAGAAUGAAAAAGCACCCUCCUACCAGGGUCUAACUUUGUGAUUUUCCACUGUAUCAUAUCAGGGUGAUCUGAACAAAUAACCUUGUUUUAACAAUUAGUCAUCCAUGGCUUGGUAGUCUUUUCCCUAAAACCUCUUCAUAUUAGCUCGUAACCGAUUCAAAAUUCACGAAAUUCAUAUAGAUCGUUCAAUGAAGUCCCCUAAUCAAGUUCAAGGUAGUCUUUGGUUAUUCUGGAAAUAUGACUAAUCUACUUCAGUACAAAAUGUUGAAGUUACAGAAGAAACAAGCCAUGCAUAAAUCACCCACACCCCUCUUCCAAAUUAACAAGCCAUGCACAAAUCAAAUUCCCAUACAUCAAUAUUAUUUUACAUGUCUUUUUAACAGACUGAAUUCAUUAAGACAGAAGAGUACAUAACUCAGAGGUGAAUCCUACACAGCCACUUCUACAGAACCCCAAAGAUGUAAAAGGUCAGGAACAGACACCCAAGCACAAAUGCAGAGGUUGAAAGCUCUGAGGAACUGGGUAGCACCAAAUAAAUGCCAGAAGUAAAUGCUAUCACCAUUCCUAGGAUGGAAACGUAUGUGAGUAUGGCUG
rnacentral:lncRNA from 1 species